UCAAAUAUUUCUGCUGAAUCGGAUAUUCAAUGCAAACAUAUUGGAAAAAUCACCCAUCAAGAAAGAUCACCUUUAAAUACAUCCCUCAUAUUUGAUCUCUUGCAAACACACUUCUUUUAUUAUAAAUAUUAGUAAGUAACUAAAAAAAGUAUCCUUUGUCUGCCCUAGCCGAAAAAACACACAGCCUCCUUAAAUGUUAUUAUCAACCUGAUUAAACAAUUAUUUUUGUAUUUAAAAAACUUCCUUUUUCUAGAUUUAUACGUUUUAUUAUAUUUCAGCCGUAAAAUAGGUAUUGAUGAUUUCAGAAAUUUGAAGUUUCUCAUAAUAUUACUUAACACCUCUAAAGUUUAAAAAAUUUCAUAAACUAUUAUUGCUAAUUUAUUAGAAGUUUUACAUUAAACUUGAAAGUUCGUGCAUAUGCUCUCAUAGCUUAUAGCUUAUGUAUCAUGUCUGACAUCACCCAGUUCUCUCUUGUGACCGUCACGACCGUCGUCCACCUUAAAACUCCGAUUUCCACAGGAUCCAACUUUAACUUAUCGUUUCGACCAAAAAAAAAAAAAAGAAGACCACACGACAGUUGUCCACCUCACACUUCCAAGGACCAUUCUUUGUAUUAAUGCUUCCUUUUUUCUAAGAAGACAGUAUAGCAUAUGUUGACAAGGGUUCUUAGAGGUGAUGGGAUGAACGAAUUGUUGGUAAUCUUACUCGUUAAACCAUGCAUGCAAUUUCCAUUUAAAUUGAGUUAGGACGGUUUUGAGCGUCGAGCACUUUUGAAAGAAAGGAUUGCUUUACAGGUACGUAAUCCAAAAACAAUAGGAUUUGAAACUUAGAAAGUUGAUAAGAAGGUAUUAUAUAAUUAGAGAAAAAUACAGUUUUGGUACCUAAAUUUUGACGCACGAGCGGUUUUAGUCCACAAAUUUUGGAUGAAAACAAAUUUGGUACCCGAACUUUCAAAUUUUGAGCAUAUUAAGUACCCUUGACGAUUUUUUCCCAAAUUGUUACCGGAAACAGCUAUGUGACUGUCACGUGUCCAGACAAAAUGGAAUAAAAAAAUGUCAAAAUGCAGUUUUGGUACCUAAACUUUGAUGCACGAGCGAUUUUAGUCCUCAAAUUUUGGACAAAAACAAAUUUGGUACUCGAACUUUCAAAUUUUGAGCACAUUAAGUAUCCUUGACGAUUUUUUUCCAAAUUGUUACCGAAAAAAGCCAUAUGACAGUCAUGUGGCCGGCCAUAAUUGUAUAAAAAAAAGGCCAAAAAAUGUCAAAUGCCAUUAUAGUACUAAGUAUUAAAUACAUUUUAAUUGUGGCCUUUUUUGACAUUUUUUGAGCCUUUUUUUUUAUACAAUUGUGGCCGGCCACAUGACUAUCAUAUGGCUUUUUUCGGUAACAAUUUGGGAAAAAAUCGUCAAGGGUACGUAAUGUGUUCAAAAUUUGAAAGUUCGGGUACCAAAUUUGUUUUCGUUCAAAAUUUGAGGACUAAAACCGCUCGUACGUCAAAGUUUAGGUACCAAAACUGCAUUUUAACCUUUUUUUAUUCCAUUUUGGCUGGACACGUGACAGUCACAUAGCUGUUUCCGGUAACAAUUUGGGAAAAAAUUGUCAAUGGUACUUAAUAUGCUCAAAAUUUAAAAGUUCGGGUACCAAAUUUGUUUUCAUCCAAAAUUUGUGGAUUAAAACCGCUCGUGUGUCAAAAUUUAGAUACCAAAACUGUAUUUUUCUCUAUAUAAUUAUAAGGUACCUGUCAUGGUGCGAUAUGUUGCACUACUGUCAAUCAUGUUUAACCAAAUAAAUAAAGUAAUUCUAUCAUGUUUAGCAAGGGCGGAACUAGGGGGAUGGGGAGUGGCCUCAUCCCCCAAGUUUUAUAAAAUUUAAUUUUCUUUUCCUGUAAAAUUAAAAUUUAUAAAAAUACUUUUUAUAAAUUUAAGCUCUCAUCCUUGCAAAAGCCUAAAACAUUUUAGUUUCCAUGUUAAAGUUUAGGUAUCCUAAAGGUUGCCCCCUCAAAUUAUAUUUUCUUGUUUUGUCUAUAACGUUUAGUACCUACUAGACAAAUUAAUAAUUCUAUUUUUUCAUUGUCAAACCAUCUAUCUCAAAAUUAACAAAAUAAAAACUCUUUCACUGUCACUCAUGUGGACCACAUUGAAUAUAUUCCGUCAUAAAGAAGGCAUGAGGGUCGUCCACAAGUGCAGAUCCAAUUGUACAUCUGCAAUACACGACAUGGAAUGUACCUAUCUUUGAAUUCCAUAACCGUAGUUAGAUUUUAUAACACAAAUCUUCGAUAAGAAGAAAAUCAUGUGUACACGCACGUGUAAAGAAGUGAUAAAUCAUUGGAGUUCACCUAGUGAUCAAGAGAAUACUCUUAGAAUAUUUUUUCACUGUCAAGUUCAGGAUUCAAAUUUCAUGUUUGAUAGUUGGAGGUAGGAAGUAUAUAUGUAAAGAAGUGAUAUAUUUUGAUAAUAGGUACUGUGGAUUUUGAUUGCGAGUUAUUCAAGAAAAAACUUUUAGAAUAUUUCCUAGACACGUUUCUCAUUUACCUGUUUACAUUGUAUAGAUUACGUCACUAGAAUGUAUUUUUCUACAAAUUCUCCCAUCCAAAUAGAUCCAGUUCUUGAUUUUUUCAAAACUAAACAAAAAUUUGUAUUGCUCAGAAUCGAUGAUGGAAGAAGCUUGAGGAAUAGAAGAACAAGUGAAGAAUGGAAACAAGGGUACGGUAAAAAUGAAAGUUUGAACAUCAUUGAAUGGUCAAAGACUCAAAGCUGUCGUGGCUUAAAUUUGAAGUCCCGGAGGGGGAGGAGAAUUUGAAGUUCAUGAAUUGAGAUCUUGAUUUCAAAUCUCUCUAUUUUUCCCGCUUUUACGGCCCACAAAUUUUCCCUGCUGAAGAAAAAAAAAGAGGGGAUUAGUGUUUGUAAGCCUAAACAUUUAUUAUGCUUGCCUUCAAGCACUUUGAUAUAUAUGAACAUCGUACUCAACGAUUGCCAUCGAAGAUUCCCCUCAGCCAAUAAGUACAGAAAUGAGUGAUCAUCUUUUUCUGCCUUUUAGGUGCCUUUCUAUUCCCAUUUCCCACUCAGCCGAUAAGAAUAGAAAUGAGUGAUCAUCUUUUUCUGAGCUUUAGUUGCCUUUUUAUUUCCUUUUGCCACGAUAGUUGGGACCUCUUGGCUACUACUUUACAAAUUGAAAAGGAACCUUGUGAAGGAAAAAAACAGAAAAGGAACCAUGUGAAGCCUCAGUCGUUUCUGCUAUUACUCUUUUUCUGGCACGAUAUUUAUUCUUUUGGUCGAGAACGUAGUAAUAGAUACUGUUCAAUUAUAUCUCAACAUAAAGGGAUAGUUUUAGAAAUCUCCUCUAAGGUUUCUAACAAUUUUAUUUAGCACCCACAAAUUUUUAAAAAUUUCACUUGUCUCUCUUACUUGAAGUUUUUUUGUAUCAUUUAUGACCAUUUUAAAAUAUAAUAUUAAAAAUUUAUUUUGGGGGGAGAGAAUACGAUUUCAUUCCAAACUUGCCCAUUUUCUUGUGAUUUCUUGAUUGUAAAAAUACAACUAAUUUUUCUCUUAAUUUUUGUAAAUUGAUCGAUAAAAUUUUAAAAAUUGGUAACAAGAUCGAUAAACUCUUUAAUAGUUUUUGUGUCAUUGUUUUGAACAAGAAAUGUUAAAUUACUUAAACUUAUGAAUAAUUUACAAUACUCUUAAAAAUAACUUGCAAUAAUUUACAAUCAAAAUAUUACAACCAUAAUAAUACCUUUUUGUACUAGCUUAAAAAUAAUACAAACAAAUUUAUAUAUAAUUUUUAGCAUGUUGUAUGUUUUACUUUUUAAACCAUCGAGUUAGACAAAAAAUUAGAAAAUUGAAAAAAAAUGUAAAUGAUUUAUAAAACGUCUUAAAUUUACUCAAAGCACUUUACAGUAAAAAAAAAAACACUAUAUUCUGUCCAAUAAGAAUAAGUCUUCAUAUUUUUUGUUUUUAUUUGUCAUUAAUAUACUCAAGUUUUUGUAAUAAAAAAUAAGAUAAUAAAAGGGCAAAUUUGGAACGAGAUUAUAUUCACUCUCUCAAAAUGGAUUUUUUAAUAUUAUAUUUUUCAAAUGGGUUGUAAAUGAUACAAAAAAAUUUUAAGUAAGAGAGGCAAGUGAGAUUUUUUAAAAUUCAAAGGUGCUAAGUGAAACUGUCAAAGUUUCUGAAAUUAUCCCCAAUAUUAAUAAGGAAUACUUGGUACUGCAAAUGAAGCAAUUAAGUAUGUCGUUUAUGCAAUUAACCUACAGUAGUUUUCUUUUUCUUUUUUUCUUGUGCCCUGAAAUUUCUUUUUUAUAAUCAACAGAGAUAUCCACAUUUUCUUGAAAACCUUGAAGCCAUUUCAAUACAUAUGGUGGAUGACAAAGGAUCCACCAAUUGGUUCAGUGAUACAAUAUUAUGUACAUACAGUUAUAACACAGAUACAAUUGGUUCGGAUUAACUCUACUUUGCACUUUUAAACUUAUAUCACUUUCUCACUUUGCACCAUGAACUUCAAUUUUGGAUACUUUACACCUUAAACUCCUAAUUUCAAGCACUUUGUACCCUAUAUUCUUAAAUUUAUUCCAUUUAAUUUCAAUCAAUUAUUAUAUUCAUAAAAUUAAUGAGAUAGAGGGAGGUAAAAAUUAAUAUAAAUGUACUUUUGUUAUAACACUGAUUCCUUAAUUUUUUUAAUCAUUGUUAGCACAUUAUCAUUGAUUUAUAUGGUCUUAAUUGUUAGCAAAAAUUAAUGAGGUGAAAGAUGGUGCAAAUUAAUGACAAUAUAUUGUUUUAUUUUUGCUAUGAUACUUUGAUACCUUUUAAUUACUUUCAGCAUAUUAUCAUUGAUUUGUUGAGUUCUCUAUGACAUUAGUUUUGCAAAAGUUGUCAAAUGGGACAAACUGGAGAGUUUAGGGUGUAAAAUUAUCCAAAUUAACAGUUUAUGAUACAAAGUGUCCAAAAUUGAUUCAGAGUGUAAAGUGAAAGAUUGAUACAAGUUUGGAGGUGCAAAGUGGAGUUUGCCCCAAUUGGUUCAGUACAACCAAAUGUAUCUACGGCCUAGUACAAAUUAUCUCACGUAUCUAUACUUCCUUCACUACUUUCAACGAAAGCAUGUAAAUUGUUUUCUCAAUUAAUUGAAGUUGAUCCAAAUUAAGUAAGUGUAAAUCUUAUACAUACUGACAAAAUAAUAGUGCAUGCACCAUCAUAGUUAGACAUAUAUACAUAUACAAAAUUUAUAUUUUAAAUUAAAAUUUAGAUUACUUACCAUAUAUCCAAUUGUAAUAAUUUAUACGUUAUCAAUGUAUAGAGUGUUAAUUCAUUAAUUAUUAUUUAUCAGUAACAUGAUAUAUAUACUAAUCUUUCACUCCCGAGUCAGACACCAUGGCAGAUUGACCAUGAGCAGGAUUUUCAAAUUGGGCAGCUUAAUAAGAAACCCUAAGGUAUGUUUGGUACCCCAUAGAAUUGGGGUUUAGAAUUGGAAUUGGAACCCCAAUUCUAAUUCUUGUGUUUGGAUGCUGCCUUUUCCAUAGAAUUAGCAUUGAAUUCUAAUUCCAAGAGGUUCCAAUUCCAUGAAUUGAAUUCUUUACCAGAUCAAAAGAAUUCUAAUUCCAAUUCCACAAUUAAACGGGUCCAAACGCGGAUCUAAUUUGGAUCAAAAAUUAAAAUCGGGUCAAGGGUAUCGGCACCCCUCUCUUUCUAUCUAACUCACCAUUUUUCCUCAGCCGCAUGUGCUCUCAUUGCUCUUUCUAUCGGGCCGCUCUCAUUGCUCUUGGAAGUCCCCACUUGUACCUUUUCCGACCUAAGAUCCUCAGGUAAUCUUAACGCCAGAUUCAGAUGCAUGAUGAAGCCAUCCAUAUCUUGUCGGAUUAUUUGUAAUUUAAGGAAAAAAAAAAAAGAGAGAAGAGGAAAUGUUCUUGUGAAUAGCCCAUAUCUUGUCCAUCCUGAUAUUUUGUAUUUUGUGGCUAUAUUUGCAAUUAUAAGCAAUUUAUGAGUUGAGUGUUGACUGUAUGCGGCAAAUUGAAGCAAAAUUCCAUUUGGGCUUUUAGUUACUUUUAAUUAAUUGUGAAAAUUGGAGUGCAAGAUUAUAAUGUUGUUGCGAAAAUGGGAUGCAGGUAGAGUUUAUGGGAGUGGGAGGAAUCUGAAUCCAUUGUUGUGGACGUGGAAUUCGAGUCCGAAAUGGAAUGGUGGAUUUGGGAGAUGCAUUGAGGACUCGAUUGGGAAUGUGGAUGUUGGUGGUGGUGUAGGUGUUUCCACCACAGCUACUAGUCAUUGCUCAACUGUGGAGAGGCUGUACGCUUGGGAGAAGAAAUUGUACCAGGAGGUCAAGGUACCUACUACCAUCAGCUUUGUGUGCUACUAAAUCGAGAAUUGUGUGCUACUGCUUCUGGAUUUUGGAACGGACCCCAACAGCAGAGGUAUCUCCAACUUUCAUACUGCUUUAAGUUAUGACGUCCAAAUACUGCUAUGGGAACCCAACUUUGUGAUGAUAUAGAAGCAGGAAAACAAUUUAAACAAUUCACCUCAUUAUCAAGAGGGCUGUCCUCCUUGCACCCCCCACAUCAUUUGUCGCAAACUAAUGACAAUUAUAAUUUGCAUGCCCCUUCUUCAUGUUUUAUAACUACAGUAAUGGCAGCAAUAGUAAAAACUUAGCGAAAUGUGGCUCCUAAUACUCUCCGGGCGUCAGUUUUAUUUAUUAAUUUGAGCCGUCUUUGAUUUAAUUGCUAGUACUGUAUGAUUUACCCCUCAUCCUGUCCGAGUGCGGACUGUAUGGGCUGGCCCUCUUGCAUCAAUGAGAAGUGAAAAAUACCCUUUUGGUCAUUCCGUACAAGUUGAAAAUGGCUGGAUCUGCAUCUCCUAGACAACUGUAACACCAGUCUCAUUUACUCUUUUAAAAGGUGUCUAUAUUUACUGCGAUUGUCCAUUUCAUUUUGGUCUGCCUGUUGAUCUGUAUUUUUUUCAUUUUGUAUUUUGUUAUUGCUGUUUUUGGGGGUUGUUGUACUCAAAUCUUUUAUAACUCCCUUCUCAUAUGGUUUGAGUUUUGGCUUUUUUAAGUGUAGAAUUCUCCUUACUCAUUAAAGAGACUAACAUGCUCUCUACAAAAUAAUUGGUAUCUUUGAGGCAUAAAUAUCACUUCUGAAUCUUGAUGCCUUCUCUUAGUGAAAGUUCAUUCGACAUUUAAGGCAAAUCAUUUUUUUCUAGUUUUGUUUGAAGACAGCAUAAGCAAAGAAUUGGAAUGUCCAGCCAUAGUCAUAGAACUUAAAAUACAGGAAUUCUGUUUACCUUUGAUGGACGUUUCCCUUUAUUUACUCUUCAAUGAUAUGAAAUCAAUGUCCAGCCCAACACGUUUUUAAGUUUAGAGAUCGAUUGCCUUUCAUGACUAGGUGCAUAUUUGCCUUUCAUUUUUAGUUCUAUAAUGCAGUAGCUAUUAAAUAUGUUCUUAAGAACAUGACAUUGUGAUGUUUUUCUGGUGCAUAUCUGCCUCAGAUAUGGCAUCUGAAGCAACAUCUCAGUCAAAAGGGAAAGGCAAAGGGUAUUUCACUUGGACUCCUGAAAUGGAUCGUGUAAUGGGCACCUGUUUUAUUGACCAAAUGAACCAAGGAAACAAAUUGGAUGGUAAAUGUGCAUGGAAGACAGCAGCCUACACCGUAGUAAUGAAUGCUUUAUUCGAUAAGCUCAAUAUAUCUGUGACAAAGGCUAAUAUUUUAUCUCGUUUCAAGACAUGGGAGAAACACUAUGACAUCCUAUACCCACUGCUCCAGUCAUGUAACUCUGGGUCUGCGAUAAUAUGGGACUACUCUAGAGGUAGAAUUGAUGUUCGUGAUGAGGAUGUAUGGAAUGCUCGAGUAAGUGAGAAUCCAAAAAUUCUUCCUUAUAGAAAAAAAAUUGUGGUUGAAAAUUGGGAGGAUAUCUGUACACUGUUUUCACAAGAUCGUGCAAAUGGAGAGGGUGCCCAAACUGUUUUUGAGGCUAAUGUUGAAACUGAAGUUGAAGAGUCUGCUAAUGUAGAGGAAUCAUUUGAGACUGAUUCACGAUCUUUAGAAGAUGAAGUUAUGAAUGCACUGCUAGCUCGACAACGGUCAAAAUCAAAAGCUUCAUCUUCAACAAAUGAUCGUGGCACAAAGAGAAAACUAACGAGCUCUCAAGUACUUUACAAGGUGUUGGGACGAAUGGCAGAUUCACUGGAUAAGUACUUAAAUUCAGAAUGUUCAAAAGUUACAACUAAAAUGGUGGAAGACGAGUUAUCUAAAAUUGAAUUGGAUAGAUUUCAAUUGUUGAAGGGUAUUGAUUUACUUAUGAAUGACAGGACAAAGUAUGACACUUUUUCUGGUCUUCAAGAUGACUUAAAAAAGGAUUGGCUAUUGAUGCACAUUGGUAAUUGAUUUUUUUUUUUUUGGUAAUCUCCAGUUGAAGUUGUUUUUGUAGAAGAAGUUGAGCUAUUUUCUAUUUGUUUUUGGGAUGAUAAGAAUGGAACAUUGGAUCUUUUGUCUGAUGAACUAGCAUUUUUUAUAUUGAGAUUAACAUAGCUGCCUGGGUUGAUGCCCUGACUUGUCCUUGAGCUGCACGAAGCUUUGCAUUCUUUCUCAAAGUUAAGGAGCUUUUGUAUAAGUGCUCUUCCUGUAUUCUGUCGGUUUUUAGCUGUACUUGUCAGUGCUUAAUUUCAGAUAAGACUCAUGCAUUAGUUUGAUCCUUUUCUGGAGCAACGAAUAUAUUGAUGGAUGGAGUUCUUUCUUUGUUGGAUGGCAAAUUUCAAAGUCUUCAUUCACUGUCAAGGGCUAGCCAGGAUUCGUAGUGCUCUAAAACGUCUAGAUGAUUUGGAAAUGUUGCAGCACCUUUCCCUGUUUCUGAUGAUAUCUCUAUCUGUCAUGAACCACUUAGAUAAUCUUUAUCAUUUGUCACAUGUAACCUGCUUGCUUCAUCACUCGACUUUAUUUCCACGUUCCAACUUCCAACUUCUAGAAUAUCAAGAGAAAAAAAACCACCUUAUUCUAGUCCCAUCAUUUUGGCAUUUUCAAGUUAGAAAGUUUUUGUUUUUCCAAGUAGUAGUAAUACCUGUACACAUUUGGCUGAGGGAGGAUAAGUCCCUAACCUUAGAAGCAUGUAAAUCUAAAGUCACAUUUUUUUUAGACGUUUAAAACAAAAAGUCUAGAACUUUUUGGCCAGGACAAACAAUGAGAGAGAGAGAGAGAGUACUUCAUUGAUUGCCCAUUUUCUUUCGAAUUAAUCUUACAAUUUGGUUUCACCAAAAAAGUCGAUUUGUAUAUUUUGUCUUCUUUUUCACUAUUUUCUUCGGUCAGGUAAUUUGUGAGUAAUUCACUGUCCGAUAUUCUACCAUGUUUUAAGAAAUAUGCUAGUGUCAUUGGGGAUUUACUUUUAAGGGCUUGAGGUCCAGUUUUGGUUGGAUGCCAAUAUCUAUACCAUACGUUGAACAAAAGAAAUUGACAUAAAAGUGGAAAAAAAUAAAUUAUUAAAGGCACAAAUUGGUUUUUACUUUUAAAUAAAUCUUUAAUAAAAAUUAGCUAAAUGUAAAGAAAAAAAUUAUUAUAUAGAAAAAAGGAAAAAAAGAAAAAUUUUAUGUAAGCAAAUGUUUCAUGAAAACAAUUCUAAUUCCUAAUGAAUUCUUUUCUCAUGCAAACAAAGGAUUUGGAAUUCCAAAUAAAUUCCGUAUCAAUUCUAUGCAUUUCCCAAACGAAAGAAUUGGAAUAACUUGGAAUUCCAAUUCAUAGAAUUCCAAUUCUAUAGAAUUCCAAUUCUAAUUCAAUUCUAAUUCUAUAAAACCAAACGCACCCUAAGCCACAUUCCAUCUUCCGUUUGAAAAGUCCAACCCAAUCUAGCUACUUAUGUGUAAACUUGUACACAUUUCAUCGUCCGUUUGAAAAAGUCGAACCCAAUCUAGCUACUUAUGUGUAAACUUGUACGAAUCUGCUGAGCUAUACUCAAAAACCCAUUAUUCAGUUUCAAAUCCGCUGAUAGCAUGCUGGAACACAAGUACGUAAGGGGAUCAUAUUCUGGUAUUGUAGUUUAUCAUGAUUUUCUUCAGGAAAAGACUUAAACCCACCUGCAAAGACUUAAACCCCACCUGCACUAGGGUACAACAAACAAAGGUGAGUUGGAUAUACUUCCGUAUGACUGCAGAACUCAUUUCCACAAUGCGAUUUUGAUGCAGCAAUAAGAAAUUAUAUCAAACUUGAAAUCAGUCAUCCUUUGGGGUUCUAUAAAUACCAUCCUCCCUGUCAGUUAUGGACACAUUCCUGCCUAGCUACUUUUAGUUUCAGCCAACUACAUAUUCAUUCCUAGCUCAACUGAAAUUAAACUUUCCAUGGCAUACCAGAGCGCCUACAAUAUGAAUUACCAGAUACUACUAUGCUUGGUACUCUUCUCCCUAGGCCUUCUCCUACCACUGCCAUCCCAUUCUGCUGAUCCAAGCCCAUUGCAAGAUUUCUGCGUUGCAGAUCUUAAUUCCUCUUUAUACAUUAAUGGCUUUCCGUGCAAAAACCCUGAUAAUGUAUCUUCACAAGACUUCUUCGCCAAUGGGUUCCAACAAAGUCCAGGAGAAUUCAAUAUUUUUGACGUCAAUGUCACUCGUCAAGAUGUUCAUCGAUUUCCAGGACUCAACACUCUGGGGAUGUCAAUGAACCGAGUGGUUUUGAAGCCUGGAGGGCUGAAUGAACCCCACGUCCACCCUCGUGCAUCCGAGCUGGCUCUAGUCAUGGAUGGAAAUCUGUUUGUAGGCUUUGUGACAACCGGAAACGUUUUCUACUGGAAAAUUGUGACUUCAGGAGAGUUGUUUGUGAUUCCUCCUGGGCUAGUGCACUUCCAACUGAAUAUUGGACACGAGAACGCACGCUUCUUCGCCUCGUUCAACAGUCAAAAUCCAGGGAUUCAGUUCGCCCCCCUUGCUCUUUUUAACUCCAAACCUUCGAUUCCUGAUCUCGUGUUGAGUAAAGCAUUUCAAGUAAAUCAAAGUAUCAUUGAGCUCAUUAAGUCUAGGUUUGCAACUGUGUCGACUGUGUCGACGGUGCUUAAGUCAUCUUACUAACAUCCUAUUCCAGGGUGUUGUUCAUUAUUGUUGGCAUAUUAAACCAGGGUCAAAAAAUAAAAAUUUCUAUACUAUCGUUUAGUGGUAUUUUGGUCAAGAAGUUUAAAGUAGCUCUGUUGGAGCAAGUUAUGGUAUUGUUACUGUUUACCAGCUAGUAUUGUAUUAAAUAAUUUCUUAUGGUUGUCAAUAGUCAUAUUAUUGUAUUCAGUUGAAAAGAAUGAAAUUUUAGAAGUUUUGUUGUUGUAUGUGUGUAAUAAAGCCUUCCUAUAUAUAUUGGUUUUGUGAAAUUUAUCUCCAAUAGUUUUUUUGGUAUAAUUGUUGAGGUUCUACAUCUAGUAUCAGAGCUAUAGAUUCAUGAAAUUGAUCUUGGAGUAAGUUAUGCAUUGCUUAGUCGAUCGCAUAAGGCCAUGAGGUUGGUUUGGAGUAUUUAAUUGGUCAAAAUUUGGCCAUAAAAUUGGUCUGCAAAUUAUUAGUUUGAUUGUGGAUGUUGCAAUAGAGAUUGGUUAAGAAUUCUGUUAUUGAUUAUCAAAAUCACAAAUUGAUAAAUUAUCAAUGAAUUGACAUAAAAAAAACAGGUGCUUGGAUUAUUGUAGCAAUUUAAAAACAAAUUAAGUGGCAGGAUGAACUUGUCCAGAUGCGUGGAACACUGCAGCAACAAAAGGUUUUGAAGAUUUAGAAUUCAAUUGAUAUUAAUGGACUUUGCUAGGGAGAUUAUUAUUUGUGAACCUGAUUCAAGGGUGAGUUCGAUUUAAAAGAAAUAAUGUUGACAUGGUAUAUCAAGGUUUAAAAUUUGAAGUUUAUAUACUAUUUUUUAGUAGUAUUUUGGUCACAAAAGUUUUUAGUAGUUUUAUUAAAAUCUAGGUAUGGUAAUUUCACUAUUUUGGAAUUUCUACUGUAUUAGAUAAUUCUUGUGGAUGUCAAUCACGUAGUCUAUAAGUAGGGAGUUAUAUACUUAUAUUAUUGUAUUCAGUUGAAAAGAGUGAAAAUUGCAUAGCCUUGUUAUUAUGGUAUUAUUAAUAUUAUAUUAUUGAUAUUAUUACCCUUUUCUCACAUAGGUAUAUCUGUUAAUUAGCAUUCCAUAUGUAUUAAUUUUGUGAAAUUUUUCUCAUAUAGUUUUUUUGGUAUAAUUGUUGGGAUCUACAAUUCUUAUAGCCUAUUUGAGACAACAAUAUUAAUUAAACAAUAAAUUGAAUAAAAUUAUAUAAUAAAAGAUUAAUGAAAUGUGAUUUUAAGGAGGUGUUAUCGGAGAUUUUAGUACAAAUAUGUAAAUGUUGAUGUUUAAAAUGUAUAAGCUUUUUUCACACUAAUUAAUCUUUGUAGAGUUGGAAGUAAUUAAUUUAAAAAGAUAUUAAUUUUCUAUGAAAAUAAAAGAUAUACACUAUAUUUGGCAAUAGUGAAAUUAAUUUUUUUUGGUAUAAUUUAAAAACGUUAUAUUCUUGCUUAAGCUUUUUGAAGUAGGACAAUUAGUUAAACUCUUUGUUUAUAUAACAGAGUUGUGGUAAAAAAAUUUCCACUUUUAUCAUUAUCUCUGUAAAGUAAUCAUGUGUUGAUGCCUAUUAGUUUGUUAAAAUUUAUUAAAUUUAUAAUAUCUUACGUACAAAAACAUUUUGCAAAUAGCAGUAUGCAUUAUUUAUUAUUUUCAACUAGAAGGAAUGUUAAUGUAGAAAAUUUUACUUCGGGAGACUUAUUGAUAAGUUAGUUUAACUAAAUUUUUUUUCCUACUCAAAGGAAGCAUAAAAGUAAAAUAAUUUACUUGGAUAGGCUUUUCAAUAAUUGAUUUAAUGAAAUACUUUUUGCCUAAAAUAUAGGGAUUUAAGCAUUUGAACUAAAGUAACAAAUAAUGAAUAUAUAACAUUAGUUAAAUUUAUUAAAGAAUAAAAUAAAUUCACAAAUCUUAAGAAAUAACACAUAGCAAAGUAUUGGAAAGGUUCUAGGAGAUAUGGAUGGAUGAAUAGUAUAUAUUACUAGCUUUUUAACUAGUGCUAUGCACAAGAAUUAAAAACUUUUUUAAAAAAAUUAAAAUUUAAAAUAAAUAUAUAAUAAUCAAUAAAAAAUUAUCUAAAAUCCUUACAAUGAAUGCAAAAAACUAAGAGUGCAUCAAAUUUUUGUACAAUUGUAUAAAUAUUAAUUCUUAUCUAAAAUUGUGAUUAUGCUUGAAAGAUGUAGGCAUAUUUUUCUCUAACAUUUAACUUUUAACAUUGUUUUCAACAAUUGUAACUACAACUCUUUUCAGGACCUUUGCACAUAUACUUGAAAAUAUACGUACUUGCUUCAUUCUUGUGUUUAAAUAGAGGGAUACAUUUGAUUGAAUUUGUUGAAAUCAAGAUAAAAAACCAAAGUCUAUUAUAAUUUAUUGAAAUUUUCUAUAUAAGGUACCCAAUGUAAAUUUGUUUGGAUAAAUUUUUAUUUUAUUAGAAAAUAAGAAGUCAAGAAUAAGUUAAAUAAUUAAAACAUUAAAUUAGAUUAUUUUAUUUUAACAAUUUGACAAUCUCCAUAAAUUCAAACCCUCAUAUUGCAUUAUAAUGUUAAUAAAUAUUUUUUUAAAAAAAAUUUCUAGUAGGGAUUAAGGAAGGAGUGGAGUAUAAGAAGCACUCGGAAAGGAAAUUUCCGUUUUAGCCACUAGAAAUAUUUAUUAACUAUAAGAUGAAUUAGAAAUAUUUAGAAAGCCACUAGGCAUAUUUUAAAAAGCCGCAGGGAGGUUAUUUAUACAAUUGGGGAAUACCGUGAUAGCCAUCCAAAAUGCUCUUUAUAGUUUUUAUAUAUAUGUAAGACUAGGAGGUGAUCACCGUGCAAAUGCACGGUGUUAAUGCCCAAUAUUGCUUUGUGCCCAGGAUUAUUUAGCAGCAAUGUAAAUUGUGCUUGAAAAUAAAUUAUACAAUACUAAGUAAACUAUGAUUGCAAAUCAUCUAUGUCAAGAACUUGGUUUUAGGUCAAAAUAAUAAUUAAUACAGGAGUUAAAAUGGUCUUCCCAAAUGUUUAUUAAAUACCAUGAAUUAGGAAGCACAUUAUAGAAUAUAAAUUACAUUCAAAGUACAUAAUCCAAUUUGAUAAAAUUAUAAAAAGAACGAAAGAACUUAGUGUCAAGAUUGGAACAAAAUCAGCUUUCAAGGCUCCAAUAACUACUCAAAGAGGAAUAGGCUAAGCUGUAUCGAUAUCUGCCAAUCCUAUUUGCAGCAUUCUCUCGAUCAUUCUUGUGGCUGCUGCCAUUUAUUUGCCUGUUAAACAGUGGGAGAGGAUUAACAAGGAAUGAUUUCAAGUGUCUGUAAAGCUUCUUGGACGUCUCUAUAUUGAUUGCAUACCCUGCAUUCUUUAUUAUUAUCAGUUCUAAAUAUUGAGGCUAUUGAAGUUCGCAUUGUCAAUGCCGAAAAUUUCAACCAAAUAUGAGAAUUCAUUAUAGUGAAGGCAACUUCUUUAAGUGCCCUAAACUUGGGACAGGAAGGUUUGAUGCAGCACAUGAGCAUUCUUCCAUGCAAGUUAGACGCAACAAAGCUGGUCAAAUUAAGUUUUUAGCAAUAAUUAAGAUAAAGAACCAUGAUUUAAAUUUUAUACAAUAAUUAGAAAAAAGGUAAGAAAAGGUCUGCGAAAAUAGAUGAGAUGUCAAUAUCUACUUAUGUACCUAGGUAAAAGGUGAACAACAGAGUGACAAUAUCUGCAUAAAACUUCCUAUGUGUAUUGAAAAUUAUUAGGCCGUUCACAGUUUGGACAGGCCAAAUAAAAAUCUCUGUCAUUCUUAAAACUCAUUUCAACACAAGCUGUGAUCCAUGCUAUGCCUGUUUUCCAUUAAACAGAAAUAAGAAAGAAGCAGAAUGAGAACAAAUUCAGAGUAUACAUAGAGAGAGUAGCUUUAACGAUGAAAGGAUUAAUGAGUCCUACAAACCCUGAUGCAGUAGCUUAGCUAUAUGUUAACAAGCUACAUACCUUUAAUGAUGAAAGAAUUAAAGAGCCUUACAAUUAAAGUUACCUUUGUUGCACCAUAGGUGAACACAUGAGAGAAUUUCGAACCACCCCAAGCAAGUGGACAACAACGCAAUGCACCGCAUGAAAGGACACAUAGAAUCACAUAAGAUUUCCACUAAUACACAAGAAAUCAGAAGGGGAAAAAUUACAAAGAAUAAAUUAGAAUUUUUGUAAAGUUUUUGUACUCCCUAUAACAACAUAACAAACUUUCCAAACAAUUUGAUAUGAUAAUUACACAUCAUCCCUAACCAAGUAGCAGAUAUAGUAGAAUCAUUUUUAAAAAAAAAGCUUUUCUAAAAAUGUGACAAAAACACUAAGAUAACAUGAAGCCACCAAUCCUUGUCUUUCUGAAGGAUGACUUACAUCUGAUAAUAUACCGAAAGGUGCAAAAUAAUCAAUUUUAAAACAGGUGAGCUAAACCAAAACAAAGUAAAAAUACUGAGAAAAGAGCCUCAUUUCAUUCUUUCCAUUUGUCAAACUAUCACAGUUCGCUUUCGCUGCAUAAAAAGAGCAUUAUUUCUAUAAUUCUAAAUGCUUUAUUUCUAUCACAGUUCACCACAUAUUCAACAAAAAAAAUUGCAGCAGAAGAUAAAACAGAGAAAAGCAAAAAAAAAAAAAACACUUUUGAGACCUAAGAAACAGAGAUUGUACAAACAAAGAUGAAAAGUGCUUUAUUUCUAUAAUUCUAAAAAACUCAGAAAACCCAAAACAAUGCCAUUCAUGAGCCACGACAGCAACAAACAUCUAUGCAAGAAAAAAUAGCAAAUAGUAAAAAAAAAAAACCUGCCAUCAACUGCUGUUCAUUCUUCUUCUUUCGCAUAGCUACUUUUCUUGCCAAUGUCAGCCCAAGGAAAAAUCACAAAAAAUACCAGAAAAAAAUGAAGACAAACCUGAAGCCAACUGUGUCAAUCAAUGUGGUCAAUCAAAGUGAAAGACAAUAAAAAAUACUUAUCUUAAAAAUUGGUCUUAAAUUUUGUUUCAGGGUUGCUCCUAUUUAAUAUUCACAAAAAUUACAUGAAUUACUAAUGAGCUACCAUAUGAAAAAAACAAAGAUGAUUUUUCUGAACAGGGCGGCUCACAAAAAAGUCCAAGAGUGACUAACCGGUGAUCCUAGCGAGCAAAUGCAACAAUUUUGCCAUCUGGCCGGAUUGAUGUUCCUGCUAUUCCAGGUCGCUCCAAUGUAAUUUCUUUCUUGACCAGUGCUGAUCCCUAUAUCGCAAGCCGGUAGAAAGAUGCAUAACUUAGAAAUUUGAAAUUUAAGACAUUAAAAAUGACCAAAAGUCUCUUCCUCCUACCCGCUGGCCGCUGCUCAAAGAAAUAUUGCAUGUCAAUGAUGCCUAUCACAUGCAGCUCAAGUUCAAACUACAAUUCAAUCAUCAUUUUAGCCCAACUGCAAUUUAAAUCCUUCAAAAUUGCAAACCAGGAAGUUCUGAACUUGUUUUUAAGUAAGGUGCAUCUGACACAUUACAAACGAGCAUAACAUCUCGUGAUCACUUGGCAUUUGCCAGACGAGGAGGAGACUAUUAUGAGACCACUUGGAAGUCAAGAAUGCAAAAUUAAGAAAAACAGUAAUCCUCACACUAAGAAAAUUAAAGUUCAAAAUAGGCACCUUCUGAUGUUAAAUAGUCACCAAUUGCAAAACAAAAGAUUGUUGGAUUGAGGUAUAUUAGCAUCAAAUUUACUUCAAGAAUAGGAAAUGAAAACACCAUAGAGGAGUUGUAAACAAAUGGCACGUGAUAUUUUUAUCUUCUCUUAUAUUUCUUUUUUGCAAGGCAAAGGCAGCAAUGACUAACAGCAGCAUGCCACAUCCUGUUAGCUGAAAGUGUAAAGAUGCCAUGCAAUAAAGUGACUUAACAUGCUAGGGAUAAGAAUUUAUCAAGCUUGAAUUUACCAAUUGAUAAUCCAAAUAGAAAAACACAAGUUUUUCAUCAGCAGCUCCAGAGAUACCACCACUGCAUGCCCCAUCAAUACAAAGGCUCAAAACUGCAAAAAAGGAACGAGAUCUCAAUUUUUUUUGUUGGGUUUCUUGGGGAGAGAGAAGUCGCAAUCAACAAAUAACAUGAUGUAUAUGGAGCCAGCACCACUAUACCUGGUUCUUUAUGAAACUUAACAGAAUUCAUUGGAACCCCUGGAUUCCUUACAUCCCACCAGGCCAUGGAACCAUCCUCAUAUCUAAAAUAUUGAAAAUAUAAAGGGAGUGAAUAAACUUCAUUUGAUAGUUCAAGAAUUUCAAUCAGAUGUAAGGUACAUCUGCUCUAUGCAGACUCUAAGCAACUGUUCCAGUGACAUCAAGCAUCUACCAAUCACAGCAACUAAAAAAAUAAUAAAGCCAUUUAAUCAGAUAAAAUGCAGCAAACAAUCAUAGAGACAUGGUUUUUUAGGGGAAACAAGGUUGUCGAUUGUACCAUUUUUGUGACAAGAAUCAUAAUUCCAAGACCAAAGAAUGACAAAGAAAAGGCUGGAUGUUAUAUAUCAAUAAACGGGCCAUACUUUAUGUAUCCUUUUUCAAAAAAAAAAAACCAUGAAGCUUUGACCAAAAGUUUCUUGUUCAUAUGGUGACCUUGCUCCAUAUCUAAAAGCUAAGAUUUUUGGUAAGGAGUAGUAACCUGAAUGCAAAAAAAGUUUGGGUGAUUUUUAUCAGUUAAGAUGAGCGACAGAGGUGGGAGUAGCUUCAACCAAUUAAUCAUUCUUUAAGGAAACCUGAACCACACUCAUCAGGAAAUAUCCAAUGAUAAAGAUAGCAUUCAUGGGUUUCCCCAAUCAUUUGUUGUCAUGCCAUCAUGAGCACAAGCCCUUCUCCCAAUUCUAUAAGCCUUUCCACCGUAUUGCAAUAGAAGCUGAGUCCGAAGGCAGAAAAAAGAUGAGCAAAUAAAAUGAGGACAUACCCGGUCAAAACAUUUAGGUAGCCCUAUGAUUCAGGAGAUAAAAAUGCUUGAAGCGCCAUGCACAUUCCUGGGGUCAAAUAUCAAAUUAGGGGCAGAUAGACAGAACUUCCUGCAUGGAAAAAAAAGGGAGAAAACCACACAUUGUCACACUUUCAUUAACAUAGAAAAGAAGAAGGGGGAGGGGGGUACGCAAAAAAAUAAAUAAGAUGAGCCUUCAGUAUAUAUGAAAUAAAUAGAAAUUACAAGCAAAUUUUAUUUCCAUGAUAGUAAUCCAGAGCAUUCAACAGGUCACUUUUGCAAAGAAAGUGCAGGUCAUCAUUUAAAGAGUCAAAGUUUAAGAAAGUGAGAGACCAUUUACAUGGUGAGAAAAAAAAUGGAGAAUGCCAAACAACUAAGACAAAACCCCUCCAUGGUCCAAGUCCUCGGAGCUAAAAUCUUAGAUCAUUAAUGAUUGUAGGGAUAAACUAAAACUAAAAGGAUCCAUGGUCAUAAAAAUAUGGGGUAAAGCACUUUUGAUAUUUGAGAUUUAAAAAUCGAACCACAAAAAAAAUCAAAAUAUAACUAAUAAAAAAUUAAAGAAAUUUCAAGAAAAGGAAAAAUUAUCAAAAAAAAUAAAAAUAAAAAAGAACCUUCACAGAAGAUCUCAUCACCAGGUCCAGAAGGCAGUGAUGGAAAAACUAAUUACCAACAGAGACCCGUAUAUACAGAGAGAGAGAGUGAGAGAGAGAGAGAGAGAGGGAGAGAAUCAGGGCGAGCACAAAAAAUUGAUAGAUUCAGAUAGAAAACUCUGUAUUUUUAGAGCCAUCAUAGUAUAAAAUUUUCCCGAAUUGUGGGGAAAAAAUUAUCAGGCGCUUUAGGAAUCCACAUGCCUAUCAAGUUUUGGCCGCUACAAGCCCUAGAAUUUCAGACCUUCUUCAAUCUCUUUUUUUCAUCCUCUUCUUCGUCAACCAUGUCCCUGAGCCUAGUAAUUUUCGAGAAAUCGCAGCAAAACUCUCCUAUUCUCAGGCUGCUGGGGUCUCAAAUCACCAGCAAACACAGCAAGCAAGUAGGAGCAAAAAGAAACCAGCAUAGGAUGAAAUGAUGAGAAACAAACCAAAUGGAACCCAAAAGAAAAACUUCAACACAAAACCCCUAUAUUUCCUCUUCUUAGAGGGUGUUGAAGAUUUUUUGAGUAACCCCAAAAAAAAUUACAGGAAAGUCACGGCAACAAAAAUGGAAGAAACUAUGCAUAAAAAAAAAGGAAAAUGAAGGGGAGAAAAUAAAACUUGUGAGUAGCCAAACAAAAAAAAGACCCAUAAAGAGACUCGAGGGAGGGAGGAAGAUGAAGAAGAACAAGAGAGAGAAUCGAGAGUGAAAGGGGAAGAAGAUUACCAACCAUUUUCUAUCUCGAGCCCAUCGUCCAUCAAAUUCUAAGCACCCACUCAUCAGAAGAAGAAAUAAAUCUGGACCCUCCAAUCGAGAUUACAAUCUCUCCCAAGUACAAUCAAAUGCCGGAAAUUGAGGAGAGACUUCUGGGUCUCAUGGAAAAAAUGGAGUUUUGUCUAGAGGACAAAAUGGAGUUCUGUAUAGGAACCAGUCUUCAAGACCUCUUGACAUUGAUUGAUGCUGCUACGUUUUGAAAGACAGAAAAAAAAAAAAAAAGAAGAAGAAGGAACAGACGACGUCGUCGUUUGGUUUAUCGGAGGAAAGAAGAAAAGCCCUCAAACAAAUACAAGAGGGAGGACAACCAAGUGGCAUAUCACCUCCAGCCAAUCUCCAGUUGCCACAUGGGCGGACGACCAUCCAACGUGGCAGGGGGCGGUUCCCUCUUUAUCUAUAUUGUUAAUAACCUCAUAAAGUUUACCCUGGUCUAAACAGAUGAUAACUAUUCUAGGGCGUUUCUGUCCUUUUACUUAAAAUUACGUGUUUGCCCUUCUAAACAUAAUAGGCUUCCAGAACAGUAGCUCACUAUUUGGGCUGAAUUUUGGUUUUUCACCUGCACUUUUUCUUCUGUUCAUCCGCGUCUUUCCCUUCCUCCUCUGUACCAUCCCUUGAUGCUUCUUUUGACUUUUGGUUUUAGCCUACCAUCUUUCUGUUUCUUUCCUGUAGAUUUCUUUUUCCUCUCAUCAGACGAAAGGAAGAAGCUGCAGUUCAACUGCUUUAGCAGAUGGUGUCUUCUCCUUUAUUCAAUGUCAAAUAAACUCUUUUUUUCUGUAAUUUCUUGCUCAGAAUUUGCUUACCCACGGGAUAAUUCUACUUGGAAGGAGGAAAAUGGGGAACUUUUGGUUAGAUUAGGUUGUACUUCUUGGCCAAAAAAUCAGCAAAUUUUUCCCCAAAUUAUGCGUAGCCUUCGGAUUCAUCUUAUAGAUAAUUCUUACAGGAUGGCAUUUUGGGGAAUAUUAUCCCCCAACUACAGCCGACUUUGUAGCCACGGGAUGCUUUUCUUCUUUGGUUGACUUUUAUAGAUAAAUUUGAGUCUUGGUUUUGAUUGUCAAAAUUCCUUUUUUUCCUAUUUUAUUAGUUUCAGUGUAGCUGAAUGUGUUCUUCUAAACUUUUAAUACAAAUUUAGCCCCAUUUUUAAAUAUGAUUACAACAUGUUUUGAUCCUUUCGAUAUUACUCUAAUGACUAAAAUAAGUUCUGGAGUAAUUUUUUUCAUUAUCUAAACAUUCAAUGCAUUGCUUUUUAGUUUUUUUUUUUCUCUUCUUAUUUUAUGACUGACGACAUGGAAAAUUUGUAGGAGAGUAUGGGAGGAUUUGGGUUUUUUUGAAUUUCCCUUCUCCAGAAUUCUGUUAUUUCUACUUGAAGUUGGCUUGAAGGUAAGAUUUUUUUCCCCUUUUCUAACUCUUAAGAAAUUAAGUGAAUGACUUCUCUUUAUGGGACAACCAUUCUACUAAAAGCAAUUUGUGUUCUUUGUUCUCUGUUUUACAGAUGGCUAGGUGCCAUGGAAGCAAUCAUUCUACUGAAAGCCAUUUUUACAUUUUCUUCUCUGUUGUACAAAUGUUCCUUUUCUUUCAUGUAAAAAAUAAUAUUCUAAGCUGAAGGUGAAUGAAUGUAAUCCCCAGAAACUAGUAUAUUCAUUGUAAAGGUGUAUGAAUUUAUACUUUUUAAAUGGAAAGGAUAUUAUGUAAUUUCAUUUAAAAAGUAAGGUUCUACCUUUGCUUCUUUAUUCUUACUCUUAUUGAUUAAACAUUUACAAAUGCAACAUAGUAUAGGAUAUUUUGAUUUUCAUUGGAGAGAUGCUACUGCUAGAAAGCAAUAAUUUACGCACAUAAUAUUUUCCACAUCUUGCUAGUAAACGUAUUUGGCAUGCUAUGUUUACAACCUGAUGACCAAUGAUGCAAGCAAUCCACAAAAGUUUUUCAAUUAUACCACAAAAUCACUGAACUUAAUAAACUUUUCUACAAGAAUCUCUAAUAUUGGAUUUCUUUUCAGCUAAAACUUUAAUCCUCUAGCCUAAAAAUGCUUUUAAAAAAUUUUUAAACUUAAAAAGAAAAAAGAACAACAAAUAAUAACGGUAUUUAGGUUGGUAUUUCAAUUAAUAAAAAUAAAAAAUAAUGUUCAUAUCUAAUAUUGUUAGGAUCAACACUUCUUCAAUUUUAAUAGAUGGGCGUGAGCUAUGGUAAACACCUUAAUACAUUAUAUACAUCUACAUAAGAAUUGUCACUACUUACAAUUUAGGUGCUCUGAAUUAUAUUUUCUACACAAUAGGUUGGGAAUUGGUUGUGCUAUUGGAUUUAGAUGAAUGAUUAUUUAGUCUGAUGAGAAUUUUGAACCUUUUCAAAUGGGUAAUUUACUUCUAAUUUAGAAUAAGAAUUAGAUACAAUUGUGCCCAAGUUUAAAAAUAAAGAGUGGCAAGGAAUUUUUCAAUAUUUGUUACACAAUAGAUUGGGCAUUGGCUGUGCCUUGCACAGCCAGAACCAUUCUAGUAUUUUCAUAGAAGGAAAUAUACUUGCUUGCCCAUAAUCUGAUAUUGUCCUUUGCAAAUUAUGCUUAACUUCAAUAUCUGUUGUACAGUAUUUUCUUUUUUCAUAGCUUGAGCCCACAAAGAGAUUAUCAUUCUUUAUCUUUUUCAACCAAAGCUAAAGUUGCCGAUCAUUAUAGCACCAAAAAUAUAAUAAUAAUAACCUUACAAAUUUUCCAAAGGACAAAGAAAUGACAUAUUUUAAAUUUUCAGUAUGUCAUACUCUUAAAUGAUCAUGAUGCAACUAAGUUAUGAAAGAUAAUUAACAUCUCAAAAUUCAUACUUGAAACACUAAUGAUUGUAUCUUUAUCUUAUGAUGUUAUGGUUUAUCUAAAAUAUGUAUACUAUUUGAAAAAAGAAAUGAAAGGAAUAUGAAAGUUUUUCUUAAACUCACAAAAUACAAAAGAAUGCAAGCAAUGUACAUGUAGACCUAUCUAAACAUAGUGGUAAAGUCACUCUAUCUUAUUUUCAAAAGGUAUCUAAAUACCCAAUCAUCCCAUAAAAGAUGAAUAUAAAAAAAAAACAUGAAAAAGAAUAUUGAGGUUUUUUUCGCUCAUUUUGAAUAUGUGAAUAAAAUUCAUGUUGAAACAUAUAAUUGUUAAAUAUUGUGCAUAUUGAAACAUGUACUUGUUAAAUAUUGUGCAUGAAGUAAUGGAACAAAAAAAGGUCUAUAACGAAAAAGAAAAAAAUUAAAUUUAUGUAUAAAUGUUAAUAUAAUGAAACUUACCUUGAGUUGUGGAUAGCAGGUGAAACAAAAGAUGAUAGAUUAGUUUUUUUUCAAGGUUAACAACAAAAAAACCCCUUGUGGUUUAGCUAUCAUACAGAAAAGCCCCCUGUGGUUUCAUAUCAUACGCGUCGGUACCCCAUGGUUUGAAUUAUUCAGAAAAGUAGACGGAAAUCGUUAAAACAGACGAAACUGGGUGAAAAGAUGAAAAUACCCUUUUGAUAUAAACGAAAAUUGCAGAAGUAAUUUUGCACUUUCAUUCUGUCAAAACCAACGGGAGAGAAAAAACACGUACACAAAAACAAGAACAAAAAAAUCUGUUAAAGGUAUCCGAACAGAGCUUGAAAAAAGGGGUAGAAAAGAGUUUUCAUUGAUUAUUUGUGGGAUAAGAAGACUAAGUGGGAUUAGUUGAGGGGGACAACCUGACAAGGAGUAAAAUAUGUCAGAAAAUAGAAUAACGGCCUUUCUUCCCGCUUUUUUUCUGCUUUCCUUUGCUUUGCCUCCUCCUUUCUUCAGGCAAAGAGCAUAUUGUUCUUGACUUUCUUUCAUGAAUGAAACAAAGUUCCACCACUCCCCCCUUCCCGGCCCCUUGCUUCCUUUUUGCCUUUUUAUCUGCAUGGAUAAAAGAAUAAUACAAUCUACUAUAAAACAAACCCAUUAUCUUCAUACUACUUAUUGACUGUAGAAAUGGUCCGUUCCUUUUUAAGCUUUUGUUGAUUUAUUUGUUUAAGCAUACGAGCUUCAGAGUCUUCCGAGGCUGAGGCUUCGGCUUCGGCCAAAAUUGAAGGCAGCAUUCGAAGGGUAUUUUCGAACAUAAGACCCAACUGUUGAAUCAAGGAGACACUUGGUAAAGAAAAGUCCAGCUACAUAAACGAAAAAACAGGGGACCAAAGACUAACCAUUCGCUGCAUCGCUGCUGCUGCGAGCAUUUGGCCAGUGGCAGUUGCUGAUGGUGUUUGUCCAUUGCCAAGGAGUGGCCAACCCAGAGCAGAAAGGAAAAUAAGAAAAUUUGAGAAGCAAUAAACUAAGUUUAAGACUCGAAAAAAGUGGGGUUAAAGAAGCUAAGUGAGACGGAGAGAGAGCGAGACGGAAACCCAGGUGGAGAUGUUGCUGUUGAUAGUGUCUUUUGGCCAUUUUGUCAAACAGCUAGCUUUCAAAGAUCAUACUAGAUUGCAAUCCUCCACCUGGGUUUCUGUUAUUUUGUCAAACAGCUAGCUCGUCUAUUGUUAUUAAAGUGUGAAGGAUAAAGUAGGUAUAUCACGUGAAAGUUUGUGGUAGAAAUCUAUUUUUCGCAAGAAACAUGUGCCUUUCCAGUGCGUUAAGACACACGCGGUACAUUUUAUGAUUUUCGUCCACUUUUCAAAAUAAUUCAAAUAAUGGGGCAUCGAUUUGUAUGAUAUGAAACCACAUGGGGCUUUUCUGUAUGAUGGCUAAACUACAGGGGACUUUUUUGUUGUUAACCCUUUUUUUUAUGGAAAAGAUCAUUUCAUUCAAAAAAAUCUGCACUAAUGGCAUAAAAUACAUCAAACAAACAUGAUUCAGAUACAUAUAGAUAUGAAAUCAAUAGAUAUAAUAGAUCUAAAAAAAUAAUACAAAUAAAGAUAAUAUUGAUGCUCCUAUAUAUCUUCUAUCCAGAUGAAUCACUGUAACCCAAUACAUCAAUGCAUGUUUGCUGACAAUCAGAUCUGAUUAAACUGGUUCAAAUCCAAAUAGAAAUUUGGAUCCGACAAUAAUGGAGAAAUUGUAUAUUUGAGAAACUAGAUUCUAGAUCUACAAAAUCUAAAAUUUCACAAAGAUAAAAACCUAAAAAAACUCUCACAAGAAAAAAUUUAGAAGAGAAUAAAACUCUCACUAAACAAUCUAGGAGAAAAGAAACUGUCACUAGGAGAUCCUAAGAGAGAAGAAUCUCUCAUUAGGAAAUCCUAAAAGAGAAUUUAUUCAAAUAAGAGAAACUAUAAACCAUAAAGAGUACUUCCACCCGUGGGGAAAGACCAGAUUUGGUCUCUCUCCCAUGGGAGAGAUGAAGAAGAUCUUGAUUGGAAGAGUUCUAAAGAGAAGGAAGGAAAAAGAGUUUUAGAGAGAGAAAUGCUUUCAAUCAUGGAUGAUAAAUUAGUUAGAUAGAGAAAUUUAGAAAUAUGAAAGAGCUCAACCAAUUAUUUAGGAUUAAUGUAGUACUGAAAGUAAUAAUUUGGUUAGAAUUUAACUACUUUGUUGAAUUUGAAAGUAGAUUAGAUUUGGUAGUAGUAUUUGAAAUAUGUAAAAAUAAGUGUUAACUAAUAAGACUGUCAGAUUGUACUAUUUAAAUAGAACAUAAUAUUUGGAUAGAGUUUAAUUGGUUUGUUGAAUAUGAAAGCAAAUUAGAUUAGAAUUUGGAUAAUAAAAGUUAUUAGAUUAGAAUUUGAAUAGUGGAAUUAUAUGAAAAUUGGACAUGUUAGCCUUAUAUAAUAGAACAUAUUUGGUAUUGGAGAAUGUUAAGUGAUGAGUUUAGAAUUUUAAAGACUAACUUUUUAUUGCAGUGGUUUUUUUAUACUUGUAACUUUGAAUGUAUAUCACAUGUGCAUAAUUUGAAGUUCGAAUUUGAAUUCAUGUUAUGUGAAAUGAUCUAAACCUGUUAGUGUAAAACUAAUAAAGAUCUUUUAAUCAGAUCUGAUUAAAACUGGUUCAAAUCCAAAUAGAAAUUUGGAUCUGACAAUAACAUAUUUGACAAACUAGAUUCUAGAUCUACAAAAUCUAAAAUUUCACAAAGAUAAAAACCUAAAAAACUCUCACAAGAAAAAGCUUAGAAGAGAAUAAAACUCUCACUAAAACAAUCUAGGAGAAAAGAAACUCUCACUAGGAGAUCCUAAGAGAGAAGAAUCUCUCAUUAGGAAAUCCUAAAAGAGAAUUUAUUCGAAUAAGAGAAACUAAAAACUAUAAAGAGUACUUCCACCCAUGGGGAAAGACCAGAUUUGGUCUCUCUCCCAUGGGAGAGAUAAAGAAGAUCUUGAUUGGAAGAGUUCUAAAGAGAAGGAAGGAAAAAGAGUUUUAGAGAGAGAAAUGCUUUAAAUCAUGGAUGAUAAAUUAGUUAGAUAGAGAAAUUUAGAAAUAUGAAAGAGCUCAACCAAUUAUUUAGGAUUAAUGUAGUACUGAAAGUAAUAAUUUGGCUAGAAUUUAACUACUUUGUUGAAUUUGAAAGUAGAUUAGAUUUGGUAGUAGUAUUUGAAAUAUGUAAAAAUAAGUGUUAAUUAAUAAGACUGUCAGAUUGUCCUAUUUAAAUAGAACAUAAUAUUUGGAUAGAGUUUAAUUGGUUUGUUGAAUAUGAAAGCAAAUUAGAUUAGAAUUUGGAUAAUAAAAGUUAUUAGAUUAGAAUUUGAAUAGUGGAAUUAUAUGAAAAUUGGACAUGUUAGCCUUAUAUAAUAGAACAUAUUUGGUAUUGGAGAAUGUUAAGUGAUGAGUUUAGAAUUUUAAAGACUAACUUUUUAUUGCAGUGAUUUGUUUAUACUUGUAACUUUGAAUGUAUAUCACAUGUGCAUGAUUUGAAGUUCGAAUUUAAAUUCAUGUUAUGUGAAAUGAUCUAAACUUGUUAGUAUAAAACAAAUUAUAUGCUGAUAGUAUAUAAAAAAUUUAUCCAAAUUUUUAUAGCAUUCAAAAAAAAUUACAAAACACAUACCAUACUAUUAGGGAGGCUUAUUGGUAAGUUAGUUUAACUAUGAUUUUUACUAUCGAUAGGAAACGCUAAAGUAAAGAAUUUUUUACUUAUUUUUUUACCAAGUUAGUUUAACCCUGUUGAACUAACAAAUAGACAGGCUUUUUGAUAAGUUCGUUUAACCAAACUUUGUCCUAUCGAAUUUAAACACUUGAAUUAAACUGAUAGAUAAGCAUUAAAUAACAUUAAUCGAACUUGUUAAAGAAUAAAUAAUCCAAAAAUCUUGAAAAAUGAUGCAUGCCAUAUUAUUGGAAAUCUUCUAGAACAUAUCAAUUAGUGAAUAGUAUAUAGCAUGGAUAGAUAGAUAGAUAGAUAGAGAUAUAGAUGUAUGAUACCAAUUCAAAUCCUAAAUUAAUCAAUUGAAAGAAAAAUAGACUAAUAACAAAAAAAGAAAAAAAGAGACCAUCGAUGCAUUAUGUUCGUGUGUUAUGUUCCAAAAUCUUUUAUUGCUUCAACCACCCUCGCACCAAGUGUGAGGUCUUGUAACUUCAUAGCGAACAAACUAGCUUGUUUUAUUGAUAAGUACGGAUCACUUGUUCACAAACGAUCAUGUAUUCAAAUUUCACUCCAAAUAAUAUGAGGAUUUUAUAUAUAUGGGCAAUUAGUAAGAGCUCCUACAGGUGACUUAUAAUUUUAAAAACAUAUUUUGACCUGUAGUGGUGAUCAAAAUCGAAUCCACCUAAACUGUUUUUUUUUUUUUUACUUUAAAAAAACUUCACAAGUUCCUCUUCAUGCUUUUCUAGAUAUUUGGCUCCAAUUCUUCCCUCAAUUCUAUGGCUUUUCUUGCAUGCCUGAAGCCUUGUCUAGAAACUAAUGAAUAGCGGUGAGCGCACGUCGGGUACCUGUCUCAUCCACCAUUUAGCUGACCCAACCCAUACUUUGUGGGUCAGCCAUUUUCUAACACUUACCCUUUCCGGAUAUCAGCGGGUACCCCCAGGUACCGGUUGAUAUUGGGUCGAAUCAAUGAGUACCCGUCCCGCCCUACUUAUCAUUUAAUUUUUUAAAAAUAAUUUAUACUAAUUUAAUUUUAUAUUUUACACAUUCAUCUAAUAUUUAAUAAAAAAAUUUUCUCAAAAAAAGUCUCUUACUAAGAAACAAACAUACGAAGAGAAUACAAGAAAAGGGAAAAAAAUUAAAGAAUUUAAAAUCAAUAAAAGUUUGAAAUAAGUAGCACUUUUUUUUUUAAAUAUACGUUCCACAUUAAUUAAAUUCUUUUCUAUAAAACAUAAGAUCAUGACCUUUACAAAUGAAUCUUAUAAAUAAACUAUAGUCUUUCAUAUUUUUAAUGCAAUUUGUUUAAUGAAAUUGUUUAUUUAGCUCUAAAAUAUUAUUUUAUAGUACGUAUAUAAAAAUAAAAAAAAUAUGCGGGGUGGGUCAGGUAUCCGCAAAUUUUUAAUUAUGUGACCCUAACCUGCCUCGCAUCUUAGCAGGUAUUCGACCCUCUUUUGACCCAAUCAAAUAAUAUAGAUCAGGUAUCCUAAUUUUCGGAUGGGAUUGAAUCGGAUAUGUCGAGUUUUCGGGUUUGCGGAUAAUUUUGCCCACUCCUGCUAAUGAACAUACCUGGGAAGUUCAAGAUUUUAUCCGGAACAGUCGACUAAUUGUUUGGAGAGUUUUCUACAUACUAUCCAAAAUAUACCAGUAAAUACCACAAAUAAAAAGAAAACUUAGGGUUUAUCACCUAAACAACAGAUCAACACAUGAUGCAUCUUUCAUUUCCUCACACAUAUUGCUGCACCCCAUUUUUGAAAAUAAAAAAUGAAAGUGGGUAAAAAUGAGUUUUUGAUUUUAUUUUAGAAAAUAAAGAAAAAUGGCCUAAAAUGGAACAUAUAAAGUGCAACGGUUUAGACCCAAAAUUUAGUUUAAAAAAGGAUUUUUAAAGAAAAAUAGGAGUCACCAUUUGAUAUCAAGUUUAGGUGUACCAAGUCACCUAAAAUGUAUUUUAAAUAAAAACCAAUAAAACCCUUUUAAUGACUCUAGAUCUUUCAAAAUGAGAGAAAAGAAUUCGGGAGUCAUGUUUGAAGAAAGGAAAGACAAAGAUUUAAUCUAAGGUACCCUUUCAACCUAACCAAGAUUAGUUGCGAAAUUUAGUCAAAAAAUUUCCUAGUCUAACCUAUAAAACUUAUCACAUUUUAGAUGUUUCUAUAUGGAUGCAAGUCUAUAUGUCUUUUCAAAGUUUAAUUGGUACCAAUCACAUUGAUUGUGAUGCCCAAGAAUGAUUUUUUGAAGAGGUCACGAAAAAUGCAAAAAGAUGAGACUCAAAAAAGGCAAUCAUAAUAUAUAAGUAAAUAUACAUGAUCUAAAAGAGGGAAAUACAACAUAAUGGGUACAAAAUACUAAAAUUCGUGACUCAGUUUUCCUUCUUAUAGAGGGGUAAUAGUGUGCUAAGGCUAAAAAGUCAUACUCGUCCAUUUUCCAUAUUCGAAAGGUGACUCUUUUAACCUAAGUAAGCAAAUGAACUAACCUACUUCUAAUUUCCUAGAAUGAGAUGUAAUUCUAAAUGAUAUGGUUCAAAUAUAUGGAGGGUAAGGAAAUAAUAAAAGGGGAAAUGACAUACAAUUGAAAAUAACCUAAAAAUAGAAAAAAAAAAUGCAUGAGAUGUAAUAAAUGCCACACAAGGUAUGAAUUAAGCGCGAACACAGUCUAAAGGGUCUAGAAUUGGACUAAUCCAUUUCUAAAAGUUCUCACUAGUAUUGGACUAGUGAAAAAUUGGGGAGAAAGGCUACAACUAACAUUCGACUAGCGUGAUGACAUCAUGCAUUUAUUAUAAAUAAAUAAAACAUAUAAAAUAUAAUUAAAGUAAAUAAACACAUAAAACAUGUAGAGUACAUAACACAUAGACAUAAUAUCUAGAUGCAAAAUUUUAGAGAAAAUAAAUAAAUACAUAAGCACACAAGCACAUAAGCAUGCAAGUAAAUAAAAACUAACUAUUACUUUGGGGUCCUAAAUACAAUUUAGAUAGGAAAUUUUUAGAAAUAAUAAACCUAUCUAUUAUAUUUGUCUAACUAAUUAUAUUUUGGCAAAAAAAAUAAAAUCUAUCUAUUGACUAAAUAUAUUUCUUGGGCACCUAUCUAUUACAAGUUGGCAUUUAAAUGCCUCCCAAAUAAUAAUCGAAAAUUAAAUACAAUAAAUGAAAACUUAAAAUGAAUAGAAUGAGUAAAUAAAAGAAAAAACACUCAAAACAUACAAUUACACAUAAAAAAACACAUAGGAGCACAUAAAAGGAUUUAAAAUAAUAAUAGAAGGUUCCUCCCUUGAAUUAGUAGCUAAAUGAAAUAGAGUUUGUCCUAUUUAUACUCCAAAAUCAACAAAAUAGUUAAGGCACCAAUUUAAUUAACAAUUUAAAAGAAAAUGUAAACAUGUAGCAAAUUUACUUUACUAUUUUAAAGAAAUAUGAAUAAACUUAAAAUCUCAAAAAUUUACUAAUCAAAUGCAUUUAAAUGAAGCAUGAUUAACAAUUAAAGAAGAUAAAUGAUUAUAUUUAAGAAAUCAAAACCAUCAGGGACUCAAUUGUAAAAAAUUAAAAAGUUUUUGGAGUCAAAUUAUAAUUCUUACAAAGAUUAGGGAUCAAAAUCAAAGAAAAAUAAAGUUUAUGGACCAAAAUGUAAUUAAAUUAAGUGUUAAUCACAUUUAAUCCCCUUAAAGUAUACCACAUUUCUCAGUUUACCCCCUAACUUUUAAUUUUGCUCACUUAACCCCCUAUAGGACAAAAUUGCCCUUGUAUUAUUUUGACUUUUUAUUUACCUUGUUUUCUUUUCUUUUAUUUCUUUUUCUCUUUCUUCUUUAUUUAAUUCUUCCUCUUUCCCACAAAAAUUUUCACCUUAAUUAUUGAAAUUAAAAAAGAGGAAUUGUAGAGAUCUAUCUUCUCCUUAAAUGAUUAAAAAAAUAUUCAAAUCACUUUCCUAAAAUACAAUUUUUUUAGCCUUUCAAUUCUUUUAAUUUUGGAUUUUCCUCUUUCCUUUCUAGUUUCUUAUUUUAUUCUCAAGAAAAUAUCAUAAGAUGAAAUUGUUUUCCUUUCUUUUAUUUUUUUCUCUUUUUUCUCUCUUUCAUCCUUCCCAAUAGAAAAUUCUAUUUCAACAAAAAUUUUUGUUUUGAGUUUGUAAUUGCAUAUUUCUGGGUGAAUGUUUAAAAAGCAUCAAAAAAUAGUUUUAAUUUUUUGUAUGAUACCACGUGUCACAAAUUUCAAUUGAUGAUUAUUAAUUAGGUCACAAUUUCAUCUUAAGAUAUUUUCUUGGGAAUAAAAUGAGAAACUAGAAAGGAAAGAGGAAAACCCAAAAUUAAAAGAAUUGAAAGGCUAAAAAAGUUGUAUUUUAGGAAAGUGAUUUGAAUAUUUUUUUAAUCAUUUAAGGAGAAGAUAGAUCUCUGCAAUUUCUCUUUUUUAAUUUUAAUUAUUGAGGUGAAGAUUUUUGUGGGAAAGAGGAAGAAUUAAAUAAAGAAAAAAGAGAAAAAGAAAUAAAAGAAAGGAAAACAAGGUAAAUGAAAAGUCAAAAUAAUGUAAGGGUAAUUUUAUCCUAUAGGAGGUUAAGUGAGUAAAAUUAAAUGUUAGGGGGUAAACUGAGAAAUGGGGUAUACCUUAAGAGGAUUAAAUGUGAUUAACCCUUAAAUUAAGGAUCUAAUUGAAAGAAAUUCAAAAUUUAGGACUACAAUGAAAUUACUCAAAAGAUUAGGGACUAAAUUACAAAUUUUGUUUUUUGAUUUCUCAAAAAAAAAAAAAAAAAAAAAGAAGACAACAUCGGGCCAUUUUUUUCUUUUCUUUUCUUUUCUUUUGUUUUGGGCUAAGUUACUUCGGCCCAGCAAAUCAGCCUAUCGCGCUCUUUUUUUAAAAAAUAAAAUUUAUUUAUAGUUGAACAAAUUAUUUUUGAUUUUAUAAAAUAAAUAAAGAAAAAAGGCUUAAAAUGAGACUUAAAAUAUGCGACGGUUUAGACCCAAAAUAAUAGUCUAAAAAGGGUUUUUUAAGAACAAAUAGAAGUCAUCACUUGGUAUUGAAUUUAGGUGUACAAUUGUCACCCCAAAUAUAUUAUUUUUUAAAUAAAUAAAUAAUAAAUAAAACCCUUUUUAGACUACUUCAGAUCUUUGAAAACAAGAGAAAAGAGUUCGGGAGUCACAGUUGCAGAAAGGGAAAGCAAAGAUUUGAUAGAAUCAAAUCUAAGACACCAUUUCAACCUAACCAAAAUUAGUUGCAAGAUUUAGUCGAAAUUUUUCCUAAUCUAACAUAUAAACUUAUCACAUUUUGGAUGUUUCUAUAUGGAUGCAAAACCUGGACUUAGGGGAUAUCGAGAAGGUCAAGAUGUUUCUUCAAAAUUUAAUUGGUACAAAUCACAUUAUUUGUGAUGGCCAAGAAUAAUUCUUAGAAGAGAUCACGAAUAUGCAAAAGAUGAGACUCAAAGAAAAGAAUAAUUAUAAUAUAUAGAUAUACAUGAGUUAAAAGAGAGGAAUGCAACAUAAUGGGUACAGGAGACUAAGAUUUGUGACUUCAAUUUUCCUUUUUUAUUGAGAGGAUGAGAGCGUGCUAAGGUUAGCUAGGAAGCCACACUCGUUCAUUCGCAUAUUUGAAGGGUAACUCUCCUAACCUGAUCAAGCAAAUGAACUAAACUAUUUCUAUUUUUCUAAAUAGAAUGCAUGUCAUGUUUCGCGCACAUAGAUAAUAAGAGAGAUAAUGUAUAGAGAAAAUAUCAUGCAAGAUGAGAAAAUAUCCUAAAAAUGAAAAAUAUGCAUGAAAUGCAAUAAAUACAUAUGAUCUUAUCUCAAAACGGUCUAAAAGGUCUAGUAUUGGACUAACCCAUUUUUAUAAACUCUCACUAGCGUUGGGCUAGCGAAAAAUUGGGGAGAAAGACCACAACUAGCAUUGAACUAGUGUAGUGAAGUCAUGCAUUUAUUAUAACUAAAUAAAUCAUAUAAAAUAUAAUUAAAGAAAGUAAACACAUAAAGCACAUAACACAUAAACAUAAUAUCUAGAAGCAAAGACCCUAAAGAAAGCGAAUAAACACAUAAAUACUUAAGCAUGCAAGCAUACAAGCAAAGAAACGGGCAUAAAACCCUAAUUAUUACAUUUAGGGCCCUAACUACAAUUUAAGGGAGGAAUUUAAAAAAAUAAUAACCUAACUAUUACAUUCAUCUAACUAAUUACAUUUUGACAAAGAUAAAAACCUAUCUAUUAUAUAGUCUAGCUAAAUACAUGUCUUGAACAUCUAUCUAUUACAAAUUGACAUUUUAAAUGCCUUCCAAAUAACCAUCAAAAAUUAAACAUACUAAAUGAAAAUUUAAAAAAUGAAUAAAAAGAAAUAAAUACAAGAAAAAUCACUCAAAACAUGCAAUCACACAUAAAAACACAUAAUAGCACAUAAAAGGAUUUAAAAAUAAUAAUAGAAGAUACCUCCAUUGAAGUAGUGGUUGAUUGAGGUUGGAUUGUCCUAUUUAUACUCCAUUAUUAUAAAGAAAUGUAACAUUUAACAAAUCCACUUCAUUAUUAUAAAGAAAUGGAAAUAACCAUGAAAUCUACCAAUUAAACAUUUAAAUGAAAUAUAUUUAAGAAAUCAAAACUAUUAGGAACCCAAUUGCAAAAAUUGAGAAAGCUUUUGAGGUCAAAUUAUAAUUAUUAUAAAGAUUAGGGGUCAAAAUAAAAGAAAAUAUAAAGUUUAGAGACCCAAUUGCAAUUAAAUUAGGGAACUAAUUGAAAGAAAUCUAAGUUUCUAGGGCUAUAAGGAAAUUAUUAAAAAGUACAAGGAGCGGAUUGCAAUUCCAUGUCAGAUUUCUUGAGAAAAACAGGCAUUGGACCAUUCCUUAUUUCUUAUUUGAGCCGAAGACCAUUAGGCCCAUCGAAAGUCCAACAGAAAAACACGAGCCAACCCUUUUUCACCAAACAAACCCACCCAAAACAAUGGGCUUUAACCUGCUCAGCCCAUGCCAUAACCCAAUUAAAGAUGCAUCAUAUCCAUUUACCGAAAGCCCAAAGAAAACAACAAGACAAAAAUCAUCUAAAAUAUAUUAAGGCUUAAUAAUGCCCUAAAACCCAGAAAUAAUUUGCCCAAAAGCCUACUUAAAUAUGAAAAAGAGGAUUAAACUUAAAAGAGGCAAAAAUUGGUUCAAUUUCACAAGUUUUUGGGCCUUAGUAGGAUUAUGCGAGAGUUGGGGGUGCAACUGCAAUUUUUAGAAAAAAACAUGCAGCCUAGCUUUCUUCUGCAACUUUUCUUACUUCUCCAAAACACAGCAAAACGACCCAAACGUCCGCCAAAAAUUAAAACCCAAAUACACAAGAUAGUGGCCUAAGAUCCAAAUUCAAUGUUUAACAUAAUGUUGUGCAACAAAUCUAAGCCGUUGUUCCACAAGAUGAGCAAGAAAAUGCAGUAAAAAAGGGAAAAGAAAAAGAAAAAACAUGCAGGCAGAAUCUCAAUGAUUUUGGCACAGAUUCAAGCUUAGAUGGCAAGAGACAGAUGAAAUACAUCACCUUUGACACUUUGAAAGGCGAAACAGUGUGUGAGAUGGACAAAGAAAUAGACCCAAACGUGAGAAAUUGCAGGGGGAAGCUAAAUUUUUGCUGCAAAAUUUCCUCCAAGAGCUGAUGACCUAGUGACUUGGGAGCUAAAUUCGACAGAUUUGGAGUUGUUUUUUCGAGAAUUUUUCUAAACAAAAGUUACACUUCUACAAGUGCAGAUAGUGAAGAUGCAAAAAGAAUGCCUAAAAGACCUAAAUUUGGGAUCAAAUUUCAAUAAAAAAUUGGGCAUCUCCCCAACUCUGGCUCAAGUUCUUUCACAAAAAUUUUCUACACUUUUUUCUUCCUCUUUUCUCUAUGUUUUCUCUCCUUUUCUCUCUUUUUUUUUCUCUCUUUUCCCUUUGUCCGCCACCUCCUCUCCCUUUUUUUUAACCCUUCUCUUUUCCUUUUAAAUGAAACUCUUCUCCUAAAUCCUUGCUUCAACGGUGGAUGAGAACCAGAUUUUGUUGGCUUCUUUGUAGCCAUUAGAUGGCUUCUAUUCUAGAAAAAUCUUGAUAGAGAUCAAGGGGGUGAGGUGGCAAAGGAUUGGGGAAAAAUAAAAAAUACAAACAAAUGGAAUUGAGCGGAGAAUGGCUUCUUUUUUCUUUUUUUUUAAACUACUUUUUCUGGUUUUUUUUUCUGAUUUUUAUAAAAACGAUUUGAAAUGAUUUUCUUUUUAGAAAAAGUAAUAAAUAGGCAUAAAAUAAACUAAAAUAAAAUAAAUAUACCUAAAUUAAACAAAAAUAAACUAAAAAUGAAAAAAAAAUAGGAAUAGAAUGAUAAAAUUUUUGGUAUCACACAGUCCAUCUGUAUUAUUAGGCCGAGUCUAAAAAAAUGUUGGGCUAAAGUUUCAGAGCCCAAGUGCAAACCCAAACAAAAAUUAAAUCUUGGCCUAGCUUCUAAACCCAAAAAAUACCCAACUUACACUCUAAUGGUUCAAACCUAAUAAAACAAAACAAAAAAUAAUUGGAAGUUGGAACCAAAAAUAGAAGAAAAGAAAUGAAGAAAAUUCCGGCGGUUUGACCCGCCGAAAACUAGAAAAAUUUCAGCCAACUUGGCCGGAAUCUCGCCAGAAUUUUAUUUUUAAAACUUUUAAACCCGGAUCUUUAUAUGUACAUGAAAAUCAUGGCAUUAUGGAUUCAAAUAAAUAUCAAAUAAAGUUCAAAAACCAAAUAAACCAUUACAAAAUAUGGAUCCAAACGUCUUCAACAUAAACUCUCAUAAACACACACACUCAAAUCUCUUGCAUGAACAUCGAAUCAAACAAAGAAAAGUUGUGAAAAUAUGUGAGUAUGCUUUUGGGUCAAAUCAAAACGAGAAAACACGUGACAAAGAGCAGAUGUGGUAGAUUUGUUGAAGCUACGGACAUGCGCCAGUGAAGCCGGACCAGCAACUUCGGGGGUAGAUUUGAAGGGUUCGGUCAUUUUUUGUGCAAGAUUUCUAAACGAAACUUGCUCCCCCAACUUCACACAUUGUGUAGAAAUCGAAAGAUCCUCAAAACAAGGUGUAUUGAAGGGGAAAUUUUGGUUGCAAUGGGGCUGGAAAGUCAGCCUUGUUACGUUUCUGCAGAAAAUCUUUUGAAGAUGCUAAUUUCAGGCCUCGAUUCGAGUGGUUUUCAAUGGUUAUUUGGGAAAAUUUUAAACACGAAAGUUGCUCCUCUAUAUCCCUCGAAGGUGCAGAAAAAUAAUUAUUCUAAAAGGAUGUAAAAUGAAAGAGAAAAUCACCCUCGAACAGAGCUAGUUUCCCAGCUUUUUCUCAAAUUUUUUGCCGAAAAGUUUCUUCUUUUUUUUUUAUGCUUUUCUCCUCUCUCCUAUUUUUGCCGACUUCCUAAUCUGCCUCUCCUUUCCAGAAACCGUUUCUCUCCUUUUUAAAUCACCCCAAGCUAUCAAAACCCUUCUCUCAAUGUGAGGAUGAAAUGGGCUUUUUUGGCUCAUUUUUAUCCCUUUGAUCACCUCAUUUCCAGGAGUUUCUUGAUGAUUCUUGUAGAGAUGAGGUGUCCUUUUGUACUAGUAUAUUUGGGGAAAAAGAAAAAGACGAAAGAUUCCACUUUGCUCCUUCCAAAAUUUGCCAGCUUUCUCUUGUUCGUUUUUUGUUGUUGCCCGUUGAAGAGGAAGACACGCACGCGCGCGAGGCAAAAUUUUUUUUUUUAAAAAAAACUGCAUUUUUCAUUUUUUUUCUUCUUUUCCUUUUUGAUUUUCCUAAAAAACCAUUCAAAUAAGAUAAAAAUAAUUUUUCUUAGAAAAUGAAAUAGAAAUAAAUAAAAAUAAAUAAAUAAAAUAAUAAAAUGAAUUAAAAAAUUGGGUUAAUUACAUUUACCUCAUCUGAGGUUUGACCAUAUUACCAAUCAAUCCCUGUAAUUUAUCCAAAUAAUGGUCUCACCCUUUGAAUGAUCAAACAUUUAACAAAAACCCCCUUAAUACCAAAAAUGCCCUUUUUGAGGCCAUAUUGCAUUAAAAAAAGAACAUAUUUUUAUUUAUUAACCUUCAAGUAAUCCAAAAAAAUCAUCAAAAAGUUUUUGCUUAUUAUUUUAUAAAAAUCAUAUCUUUGCUUGCAUAAAUAGUUUUGAAUCAAUAAUUAUUUUAAAUCUUAAAAAUGAAUAUUAAAAAUUAGAUAAAUUGAAAGAAAAAUAAAAAAGAAGCAAUUAUUUUAAAUCCUCAAGUAUGGUUCGAAUUUGUGGUUCAAGGUAUGUUGCGGAGAGCACAAGGCAUGUUUUCCUCAAUUUGAACCAUACUUCAGGAAUUAAAAUAAUUUCUUCUUUUUUUAUUUUUCUUUCAAUUUAUGUAAUUUUUAAUAUUCAUUUUUAAGAUUUAAAAUAAUUAUUGAUUCAAAACUAUUUAUGGAAGCAAAGAUAUGGUUUUUAUAAAAUAAUAAGCAAAAACUUUUUUCUAUUUUUUUGGAUUGCUUCAGGGUUAAUAAAAUAAAAAAAUGUUCUUUUUUUAAUGCAACAUGGCCUCAAUAAGGGCAUUUUCGGCAUUAAGGGGGUUUUUGAUAAAUGUUUGAUCAUUCAAAGGGUGAGACCGUUAUUUGGACAAAUUACAGGGAUUGAUUGGUAAUAUGGUCAAACCUCAGGGAAGGUAAAUGUAAUUAACCCUAAAAAAUUUUGGUCUCUACACGUACAACGUUACCAUGCAGUGCCUCACCACGUGUCACUGACCCAAAACUCCAUGUAACCCCCAAAAUUGGUCUAAAGACUCUAAACAAGCCUAAAAUUUUAGCUCUAUAUGUUGGUAUUAGGGCUGCAAACGAAUCGAGCCUCUCGCGAGCGGUUCGAGUCAAGCUCGAGUCGAGAUCGAUCAAUAUUGAGCUCGAGCUCAAAAUAUUAAGCUCGUUAGCUCGCGAGUCGGCUCGCGAGCUCGAGUAUAUAUAUAUAUAUAUUAUAAUAUUUUUUAUUUUUUUAUUUUAAGUAUAUAUAUUUUUUAUUUUAAGUGUAUAUAUUUUUUUUAUUUUCUUAUUUUAAUAGUAAAAUUAUAUAUAUCCUUAAUAUUUUAUUAUUUAUUAAGAAAAAAAUAUUAUUUUAUUUAUUUUUAAAAAAUAAAAUAAAAAUAAUUUUAUUUUUUCGAGCUCGAGCUCGGCUCGAAUUGAUUUGAGUCGAGCUCGAACUUUAAAUAGCCGGCUCGUUGAGCUGGACCUCGAGUUCGAGUUUGGUAAAAUUUAGUCGAGGGUCGACUCAAUUCGAGCCGAGCUCGAGCUUUAAAUUGCCGGCUCGUUGAGCUGGAGCUCGAGUUCGAGUUUGGUAAAAUUUAGUCGAGACUCGACUCGAUUAGCCUAAAACUCAACUCGACUCGACUCGCCUCGUUUGCAACCCUAAUUGAUAUAUUACCGCACAAGACCCAGCAAGAAAAAAGAUAGAAAACAAAGAAGAGAGAGAGGAAAGAAACGGAGAAAAAAAAACAAAAAUAAUGAUCGUGCCAGUAAAAGGCACGAUGACCCAUUAAGGGCAUUAAACCAGGUACCUAGAUUGUGCAGGAAUGUGAACGAGUCCACUGAUUUCUAUUAAGUUCUAGGAUUUGUAUUGAUUGAAAGACCACAAGCUUUUGAUUUUGACUAUGCAUGGCUUUUCAAUUAUGGGGUUGGGAUCUAUUUUUUUUCUUUUUUCGGAGACGACAACUAUUAUAUAACUUAUCUAUAGCAGGUAUAGAGUGUUUUGACACAACUCUUAAAUUUUUUUUACUACAGGUGAGAUUUAAACCCUCAUCUACAAUCCAAGGAGGAUUUAAGACCCUUCCUAGUGGCCACUAAGCCAAGCUCAGUGGUUAGUUGGGAUCCACUUAGUGGGGGCCAAAGAUGAAGAUAGAUUGCCUGAUGACAAGGAUUAUUUGGACCCCAUGGAUAAUCAUAUCUCCUUCCAGGUUUCUAGCCUUUAACAUUUUUUUAUUUUUUGUUACAACUAGAAAAUUGGUUUUUGCUUGUAUUUCAGAAAAUAAAAGCAUAAGAAUUUGUUAAAUGGUAUUUUCGCUUCUUUUCCAAUUUAAAAUGGUAAGGAAAGAUAUUAAGUGGAUGGAAAAAAUUUUGAAUUCUGUCAUUAUUUCUAAAAUGAGGUGCAAAAUCGAUAACAGAAUUUUUCAUUUGCUUAUCAUGUUAUUACUUGAAUAAUUUACCUACGUUAGUUACUUCUUUUUGAGAUGAUCAGUAUCAGUAAUACUUGAAAGUAUUCCUCGAUACAAAUUGUGACUUCUCAACAGGUGUACAACUUGUAUUCAAUAUUCAUCAGUUCACUUCUCAAACUCGGGUAACAAGAUAAGAUGAAAAUUUGCGGAUUAUUCCUCAAAAAAAAAAUUUAUUGUGGAUUCUUUAAUAUCUUUCAAUUUGAUUAUUAUUUUUGUGGACAGGAUUAGAUGAAUUUUGAGACUUGGGGCUGUAUUAGGUAGCUAUUUUGUAAUUUUCUUAAUCCGAGAAUUGAGCAGUAAUUUUGCUGAGACUUAUGCACUAUCCAGUGUGAGGAUAUGGAGGCAAUGGAGCAGAAGUAGCAGGAUUUCAACAUAAUGUACAUAGAAAGAACAGUUGGAGAUGAAGAAGGAGAAGCUAUUGAUCAGCUAUUUUUCAACGACUCGGAUGGAUUCAUGUUUGAAAUAUGCAAUUUUGAGACUGUGAAGCUUGUUCGUCAACGUUCAAUUGGCAGAAUUAAGCUUCCUUUUGAUCUUCACAACCCACCUUUAGAGUUGGAUAUGGAUGGGAUUAAAACUAGCAAUGUUGCUGUUGCCUGAAGGAGUUGAUUUCAUCAACAGAAGAGAUACUGUGGAUUAUUGCUAAAUCUAUUUGGUGUUUCAGAAUCUAAUGUAACGCUAUUUUAGGUCAUAAAUUUGAGAAUAGUUUUAGUAGAUUUGUUUCGGAAUUCAUAUCUCAAGUUACUACGCUUUUAUGUAUAUUGUUUGUAUUCUCUUUUGGGUAAAAUAGAUUUUACACUCACGUAGUUUAACAAUUUUUCACAUAAUCCCAUGUGAUUUCAAAAGUUAUACAUAUUCCUUCUAAACUAAAGUGUCAAAAUGACGGAAAUGAUUCUCCGUAAGUCUGUAACAAAAUUCACCGAAAUGUCGUGAUUAUCCUCAUUUAAAAAUUAAAACAGUUGAAGCGAUCAAACUAUAUGAACAUAAUAUGCAUAAUACUUUAACCUCUUUAUGAUUUUGUAAUUUAUUAUAUAACCUCUUUAUGAUUUAGUGAUUUAUCACAUAAUCCUUUUAUGGUUUAAAAUGUACAUAUAACCCCUUUGUGGUUAAUAAUUAGUUUUUAACUUUAUGUAAAGUAGUUGACUCUGUUAUGAAAUUCAAAUUUUGUCCCCCUAUUUUUUUUUUGGAAGGCAAUCUUAGGAUCAUUUCGCAAUUAGAAAGCUAAAAUAAAAGGAAUUCACGAAACCGGUGUUACGCAAUGUUUUUAAACUCGGACAAAAAAGCUUAUUGGUAGAGCUCAGGGGUUAGGAGUCAGGGGUCAAUGAAUUCGAUCAGAUCAAAUCAAUAUUCAAGAACCAAAUGAUGUCAGCAUGAUGUCAUAAAUAUAUUCAUAAAAAUUUUAUUAUGGAACAUAUUAAGUAAAUAUAAAUAUAUACUUAGGUGAUGAAAAUUAUACCAUUUUUCACUUUAUUUUUCUUCACACAUAUUAUAUAAUUCACAAUCCUUCAAAUUGAACUCUAAUUUGAUAUUUAAAACUUCAUAGCUUUUAUUGGUGAGUCUAGAACUAAAUUAUUAUGACAUAUUUGAAGAAAAAAUGAAACUUAUGGCAGUAAAUUUAAAUAAGAAAAACUUAUGAGACAAUAUACAAUUACUUAAAACAUUUAUGGGUCAAAAAGAUAUAUUAAAAAAGCUUUGGACUUGAGUGUAAAAGUCCCAACGUUUAUAUCCUUUUCUUGAGCACUUUACCGUCGUCACUUUCAUUGUCCCUGCUGUUGCUAUUCCUUCCAGAGGGUUGGCCUCCUCCGUCAACAUCAUCUUCUCAAAUUCUUCAUCUUCUUGUCCUCACUUUUUUUUGGUUCUAAUUUCUUUACCUUUUUUUUUCUCCAAACACACAAGUAAUUCUUUUCCUUCUAUCUCCAAACAUACUAGACCAGAUCUAUCAAUUCAUUUUUCUCUUUAUUCCUUUGAAACCUUUCAAUCCCUUUCUUCUUUGUUUUCCCUUUCUACUUUUCAUCUUCUUUUUUUGCUUUCCUAUUUUGGUGUUUUAUCUUUUUUUUUUUUUAACUUAGAUCUGCCAUUGGAGUUGUUUGAGAGAUGAAUUUUUUUUUCUUUCCUUUCUUUUUAUGUUUUAUCCCUUGUUGAACUUAGAUCUUCCAUUGGACUUGUUUGAGAGAGAUUUAUAAUAGGAUAUAUAAAGAUAUUUGAGAGUAGUUAAAAGAAAGAAUCAAAAAAUGAAAACAAAAAAGUAAAAAUAGAAAAGAUGGAAAAAAGUUCGAUUCCAAAUGGUUAUUCCAAUUUUCGGGUUUGUCCGAAUUUUAAUUGGAUUUGACUGAGUUUUUGCUUGAUAAUUUUUCAGAUAACUUGGAUCGGAUGCCUACUCAAUUAUCGGUUCAAUCGGUUGAACUGGCCGAUCUAGUUCGAGUUUCAAAACAUAGGUGUUACGUACCUUAGAAGUGAUUUACUCAACAGGCAAGUGCAAGCGGGUGUGUCUUAGUUGAGUAUUAUGUUUGGUUGGUGUAAUUUGAACAAGAUUUGGUGCAUUUGUCCUGUGUGUGUCAUUUGAUGUAUAAAAUCAAAUAUUCAAUUGCAUCAAGUUUACACUAAUUUUUGUAGAAUGUUGACAAAUGAAUUGAACGGGACAAAAUUUAAUUAGAUCCGUGCUAACCGAAUGGAACGAAAAAUUCAAUCAAUUAGGACUGUUCGAGCUGAACAAAAUUGAACAAAAUUCAACUAAACUUGCUCCAAAUUUGAUAGGAGCAUGUUGAUGUUGCAUGGUAAAAUAAAAACAAGAAAAUAUAACACCUCCAUACCAACAGAAGCCAAUUCGACAGGAGCAUAUUGAUGUUGCAUAGUGAAAUCAAACAAUAAAAUGUAACAUGUCCAUAAAAUUCAAUCAAUUAGAACUGUUUUAACUGAACAAAAUUGGACAGAAUCCAACUAGACUUGUUCGAAAUUCGAUAGAGCAUAUUGAUGUUGCAUAGUAAAACCAAAACGCGUCCAUACCAAUAGAAUCCAAUUCGAUAGGUAGUAAAAUCAAACAAGAUAUGUAAGAUGUUCGAACAGAAGCCAAUAAUAAGGUUAGGUAUAUACGCAAAACAAGUUGCAUAACAACAAACACAAGCCUAGGGAAUUUCACAUCAUCCCAGAAGAUGCUUGCUUCCUACUCCACAUCUAAAUUAGCUUUUUUGUGUGUAUUCUCCCCCAAACGGGGGCAACAGAGGAGCACAAUUUGAUUUGUAGUGCUGCUUCAUUACAUACAGUUAGUCUAUGACCAGAGGAUAACUAAUGUAUCAGGGAUGUCAUAUUCAGUUACGGUUCACAGUGAUUUGUACAUGUUUAAUGUUGGUAAUAGUUUGUAAUAAGAAUGUUGAAGUUCAUUGUCCCACAUUGAAAGAGGAUAGAGUGCUCCUUGUCUAUAUAUGUGUUUUCUUUACAAAUUUGUUCCAAAAUAUUAGUUUGGGGGGAAAGUUUGGUGGGAAAGUUCUUAGACUUUGUUAUAUUCUAGAGGUAAUUUGUCUGAUAGAGGCAAAUAACACCUCAAGGUAAUUUGUCUAGUUUAGAUUUCUUAUUUACUACAAAUUUUGAACAAUUUUAAGGUGCUAUCGUCAACAAUGGAGUCAAGUUCUGAAUCCGCUUUCAAAGUGAUGAAUCAGGACUUCGUCAAGUCGAACAGAUUCGACGGCACUAAUUUCUCCCGUUGAAAGGAUAAGAUGAUGUUUUUCCUGAUGGCUUUGAAGAUUGCUUAUGUUUUGGAUCCUUCACUUCCUGAAAUUCCAGGGUCUAAAGAUGAUGAUUCUGAUGAAGUCAAGGCACAACGCAAAAAAUGUGCAAAGGACGAGUUGCUAUGCAGAUGACACAUCAUGAAUACUCUUUCUGACCACUUGUAUGAUCUGUACACUGCAGUCAAGUGGCCUAAGGAAAUCUGGAAUGCGCUGGAGUACAAGUACAAUACAAUGAAACAAGGUGCGGACAAAUUUCUGAUUAUGCAAUAUUUUGAUUUUCGUAUGACUGAGAAUUCUUCUCUUAUGGAUUAGAUUCAUGAUCUCCAAGUGAUUGUGUCUAAGUUACAUGAUCUGAAAGUGGAGAUAUUUGAAUCUUUGUAAGUUGGAGCAAUAAUAGCCAAACUUCCAACUAGUUGGAAUGAUUAUAAGAAAAAGUUGCUUCAUACUACUGAAACAUUCACUAUAGAUCAUAUUUUGAAACAUUUACAUAUUGAAGAAGAUACCAGAAAUCUUCAAAAAAAGCAAAUAGACUCUGAUGUCAAAGUGAAUGCUUUAAGUGAGAAGAAUUCACAGAAUUUUUUUGGUUUCAAAACAAAGUCUCCAGAAGCAAGUACAUCUAAGGACAAGAAGAAGAAUAGAGUCUGCUAUAAGUGCAGCAAGAAGGGACAUUACAAGCAUGAAUGCAAGGCAGAUAGUAACAAAAAGCAAAAGAAAGACAAUGCAAAAAUGCAAAUCUGAUUGAACAAAAAGUUGCUGAGAUUGUUGCAAUGGUUUCACAUUGGAACAUUGGCAUGAUUUCUCAAUUGCAUGUGGCUGCUGCAACCAAAUUGUGUGACUGGUGGUAUGAUUGUGGUGCCACCAUGCACGUUUGUAAUGAUAAGUCCCAGUUCAAGACUUAUAAAGAAGUUCCUGAUGGUCAUGAAGUAUUGAUGGGAAACCAUAAUACAACAAAAGUUCUUGGCAAAGGAAGUGUAGACUUGCAGUUGACUUCUGGAAAGAAACUUAGAUUGGUCAAUGUUCUUCAUGUUCAAAAAAUUAGGAAAAAUCUUAUGUCGGCUGGUGCCUUAAACAAAAAGGGGCUAAAGGUUAUACUAGAGUCUAAUAAGGUUAUCUUCUCUAUGAAUGGUGUAUUUGUAGGCAAGGGAUACUCUGGCGAUGGAAUGUUCAAGCUAUGUAUCAAUAAAGAUAAUGUUUCUGUGUAUGUUGUUGAUGCUUCAUAUUCUCUCUGGCAUGAUAGAUUAGCACAUGUUAAUCAUAAAACUUUGCAAUUUAUGUCUAAACAUGGCCUGAUUUCGUUCAAAGAUAAUGUUAAAAAAAGAUGUGAAACAUGUAUACAAGCAAAAAUGACCAGAUUACCUUUUCCUAAAGCAGAAAGAAACAAUGAGUUGUUAGAUCUUGUUCAUUCUGACGUUUGUGAAUUCAAUGGGUUUCUAACAAGAGGAGAAAAUAGGUAUUUCAUCACAUUCAUUGAUGAUUAUUCAAGAUAUGUGUAUGAGCACUUGAUGAAAACGAAAGAUGUGUCAUUUCAUAUUUUUAAGUGUUACAAAAAUCUUGUGGAAAAUCAACAAGGAAAGAAAAUUAAAAUUUUGAGAAGUGAUAGAUGUGGGGAAUAUUUUCCUACUGAUUUUUCUCAAUUUUGUGAAGAAAAUGGGAUUACACACCAAACUAGUGCACCGUAUACUCCGCAACAAAAUGGUUUGGUAGAAAGGAAAAAUAGGACUUUAGAAAAUAUGGUAAAUGCCAUGAUUAUAAGUUCUGGACUGCCUAAAUAUUUGUGGAGAGAGGCUUUACUGGCUGCUUGUCAUAUACAUAAUCGAGUAACUUCGCUUAAAUCCAAGGUAUCACCAUAUGAAUUAUGGAAAGGUAGAAAACCAAACUUGAAGUAUUUUCGAGUUUGGGGUUGUAUAGCUUUUUAUAGAAUCCCUAAUCAGAAAAGAUCUAAAUUGGGACCUCGAGCACUUAAAAGUGUAUUUGUAGGCUAUGCUGAAAAUUCAAAAGCAUAUCAGUUGCUAGAUUUAGAUUCUAACGUCAUUGUGGAAUCUAGAGAUGUCGAAUUUUUAGAAGAUAAAUUUCUUUAUAAUUCGAUGAUGAGUACAUAUUCAAGCCAAGAGCCACCUCCCAUUUCCAUUGUUAGACUCUCUAAUAAUAAUAAAAGAGAUGCAGGGGACACUCCAAGUGAAUUGAGGAGGAGUCAAAGGCAACGGAAGGAAAAACAUUUAUCCUCUAAUUUUAUAGAUUCACAAGCUAUUGUUUUCUUAAUUGAAGGCGAUAGACAAAUUCUACUUGACAAGAUUCCUGUCUUGUUAAAUGUAGAAGAUAACCCUAAAACUUUUAGUGAAACUAUGAAAUCAAGAGAUGCAUCAUUUUGGAGAGAGGCAAUUAAUGAUGAAAUGGAUUCAUUAUUGAGUAAUCAUACUUGGAUCCUAGUUGAUUUGCCUCUGGGUUCUAAGCCAAUUAGCUGUAAGUGAGUAUUUCGAAAGAAAUACGCUACUAAUGGAUUUGUACAAACUUUUAAGACAAGAUUAGUAGCAAAAGGAUUUAGGCAAAAAGAGGGAAUCGAUUAUUUUGAUACUUAUGUACCAGUAGCCAGAAUUACAUCUAUAAGAGUACUAUUAGCAUUGGCUUCAAUGUUUGAUUUGUGUGUACAUCAAAUGGAUGAAAAAUGGCUUUUUUAAAUGGCGACCUAAAUGAAGAGGUGUAUAUGGAGCAACCAGAAGGGUUUGUUCUACCUGGAAAUGAAAAUAAGGUUUGCAAACUGAUAAGAUCUUUAUAUGGUUUAAAGCAAGCACGUAAACAGUGGCAUCAAAAGUUUGAAUCUACUAUACUCUCUAAUGGUUUUAAAUAUAAUAAUGCUGAUAAGUGCAUUUAUUCCAAGUUUACUAGAGAGUAUGGUGUGAUAAUCUGUCUAUAUGUGGAUGACAUGCUAAUUGUUGGUACUAAUUACAAAGGCGUUGAAGAAACUAAGAAGUAUAUAUCUUCUAUAUUCAAUAUGAAAGAUUUUGGAGAAGUAGAUACUAUCUUAGGAAUUAAAGUUAAGAAACAUAGUGGGGGCUAUUCUUUAAGUCAAUCUCAUUAUGUUGAGAAAGUUUUGAACAAGUAUCAACAUUUGAAGGUGAAAGAAGCAAGCACUCCUUAUGAUUCCAACUUUAAGCUAUUUGAAAAUUCUGGAAAGCCGGUUGCUCAAUUAGAGUAUGCUAGUGCAAUUGGUAGCCUAAUGUAUGCUAUGCAUUGUACUAGACCAGAUAUUUCAUAUGCAGUUUGUAGACUCGCUAGGUACACUAAAAAUCCUGGUAUAGAACACUGGAAAGCUAUAGGUAGAGUGCUCGGAUAUCUUAAAAAAACAAAAGAUUUAGAACUUACCUAUAACAAAUUUCCAGCUGUACUUUAAGGUUAUUCUGAUGCAAGUUGGGUAACUAAUGUAUGUGACAAAGUGUCUACUUCUGGUUGGAUUUUUACAUUGGGUAGAGGAGCAGUUUGUUGGGCAUGAAAGAAACAAACCGUCAUAACUCAUUCCACCAUGGAGGCUGAAUUUGUAGCCUUAGCAGCUGCAUGCAAAGAGGCUGAAUGGCUAAUAAACUUACUGUUAGACAUCGAGUUGUGGCCAAAAUCGAUGCCAACCAUUUCUUUGCAUUGUGACAACGAAGCCACUAUGUCUAGAGCGUUAAAUAGAAUAUAUAACGGCAAAUCUAGACAUAUAAGCCUAAGACAUGAAUAUGUCAGACAAUUAUUGAAUGAUGGCAUAGUCACAGUAGUGUAUGUUAGAUCAUUCAACAACUUGGCAGAUGCUUCGUUAAAACUCUCUCAAGAGAUGUAAUGAAAGCAACGUCAUUAGGAAUGGGGUUAAAACUCGUUGUCUAAAACCACUAGUAAUGGUAACCCUGUGACAGCCCCACCUCCCCCUAAGGCGAACUAAAGGGUUUGGCGGACCGCCUGCCUAACUCUCGCUGGGAGUCACUACCGUGCUCAAAUAAAUAUGAAAAACAUAAGACCACAAGAACAAGUGUAACAACAAUUCCAAACUUAAAACAUAUACUUAUAUACAUUUCUAUCUCAAAAGGAAUACAACGCAAAUAUACAUCAAUUUUCCCAUGAAUAUACAUAUCACAAGCGAAGCGAAUACUAGUUUCCAAGCGGGAAACAUACACAUACAUUUGUUCAAUUCCAAACAAUUAUAUAAUUCUAACUAUUAAACAAGCGGAGUCCGAAUUCAAACUAUACAUAAGGUAAUCCAUCCAAUCACAUGAAUAAGUACUACAAGCCCUUCCUUCGCCUCGAGCCCUGUGGAGGGGAAAUAAAAUAUUUUGAAGUGAGCUACAAGCUCAGUGAGUGAUCACUAAAAACAGUAAUCAAUUAGUUCCACAAUAAUGUAGUUAAAUGAGAUUAUGAGUCAAUGAUCAAAUGUAUGUUUAUUACUCUUGUGAGCCAGUAAAAUCUUCGUACUUAAACCCCAAUGCUCAAAUACAUACAGGAACAGUCAAACAGUACAAGGGAGCCAUUUGCUCCAAAUAACCAGUGGUGAAGAUGUUGGCUCUAAGCACAAGAUUUCCCAAGAAUUCAAUGGAGCCAAAACAUGUCAUGGCACACACACAAAUACAAAUGAUAUGCAAUUGAGUAAACAGUGCAUGAAACAGUUCAUAAGUAACUUUGGAAAUAGUUUGGGGAUCACUCACCAACCACAGCUCAAGAACCAUCCAUCAUAGAUCAUUGCCUUGAUCAAGUCCAAGCCCUUAAAACCCCAAGAAGAGUGAUAGCUUAGUACUUCCCUUUUCAAAAUAACUCCACAAAACCCCUCAAGCUUCCUUAAAGAUCCACUUUUAUGGACUAAUUUACAAAAUUAAUGGUUGAAACUCAAGAUUGAAAUAUGGAAUUGAAGUACAAGAUGAAGCUCUCUUUCUUUCUCUUAUGAAGCUCGACCAAGCAAGGUGAAGAAAUGAAGAUAUUUGAGCCAAAAAGCAAGAUAAGAAUGAAAGAAAAUAGCCAGUCAAAAUUGGCUGCCGGACUGCCACGUCACAAUCUGACCGGAAUCGGACCAGAUUUCUGGUCAGAUUCCAGGCCGGAUUCAAGGCAGUGGAGACUUAAUUUUUUUCAAAACGCACCAACAAUUCGGCCAACAAUCCGGCCAAGAACUGGCCAGAUCUGCGGCCGGAUUUGGUCCUACCCUUUUUUAUCAAAAUUUUUUUUCCUUUUUCUUUUUUGGGCUUCACAAGAUCCCCCCCUUAAAAGAAUGUCGUUCUCGACAUUCCAACUUGUGUUGUGCUAAACAAAUCAAAAUAGUCUUCGAAAGUCUAUCAAGUACUAUGAAUCAUUCCAGUCCCACUUAUCACUUUGUAACGGCCAACAGAUAGCUAAACAAAUAACCAAAGAGAACAAGCAAAAGGGCUCAGUUCAAACAACUAGCCCUCCUAGAUAUUCGAAAAAAUUCAGGACAUGGCUUAGUCUCAAGUCGGAAGUUUUACCCCUGGCAGUGUUGGACAACACAACAAUCUAGCACAAUAGCUAUGCAACACAACAAAUUAGCACAACUGCUACACUUCACCAGAGAGGCUCAGGAAUUUGUCCCUAGUGGUACUUGAGAACACAACAAACUAGCACAACGGCUAUACUUCACCAGAGAGUCUUAGUUCAAAAAUUUCAUCCCUGGUGGUGCUUGAAAACACAACAGGCAUGCCUCGCCAGAAGAAUGGCGAUGCUUGAAAACACAACAAGCAAUGUCUCACCAGAGAGACUUAAUUCAAAAAGUUCAUCCCUGGCGGUGCUUGAGAACACAACAGGCAUGCCUCGUCAGAAAAAUGGCUGUGCUUGAAAACACAACAGGCUAUGCCUCACCAGAGAGAUUCAGUUCAACCGCCACAGAAGAGUAGUAGCUGGUCUACAACUACACGAGUACGAAUAACUUCAAAAGCAGGGUCAAAGCAGGGUUCAAACAAAUAAGUUCAAAAGCAGAGCCAAUUACUUCAGGUUCAUGAUGCACGAGUACGAAUAAGAACUCACUCGCCUAGUCCAUGCCCAGCAAUUUAUAUUCUCAAAUAGUCACAGGAUUCAAGUUCACUUACAGGACAUAUAUGAACCAAACUACUAGCUCAUGCGUAAAAGAAAUACCCUAUAUUCAUGCAAGUCUGGUCCAUCAAGUGUACGUAAGCGCACACUUGCCUAAACAGGUUCAAAUCUCAAGUAAGCUCAGCCUGAUCGGUUUCAGGCAGUUCAAGUUCUUCAAAUAUCAACACUUACAAAUCAAGUGGUGCAAACCUUAAUCAAAUAAGAAGACUAGAAGAAGGAUGCAAAAACCAGAAGUUUUCUCAACAAAUCCAAACACCACCAUAAUCUAUCAAAACUCUAGCCAAACACUUAUUGGGCAAGUUCCAGAUAACAUUCAUCAUUUCAAUGCCCUUAUUCGGUUAAGUCUCGAGUACAAUACAAAGUCCUCUGUACUUUAACCUGUACCAGUACACUUUAUCUCAAACUCACUUAUGAUUUCUAUUCACAUCAUCAAACACUAGACCAUGUUCCGUCCAAAUGCACAAGUAUUUCCUCAAGAAAAGUACUGAAUACGCAAGUACAACAAUCCAAAACUAAGAAACUAUACAACUCAGGCCGUAUGCUAGUACCAGAAUCGGUUGAUGUACGCUUGGGAGCAACAAAGUCAUAUCUUACGCUUACCACUUUCAAACCAGUCCCACAGUUCGGUAUCCUAAAUUUUAGCCUAGAAUAUACUACAGAAAUCUGAAGCCUAAACUCUAAUACUUACUGUGACAGCCCCACCUUCUCCUAAGGCGAAACAAACGGUUCGACGGACCGUCUGCCUAACUCUCGCCAGGACUUACUACAGUUUUCAAAUAAAUAUGAAAAACAUAAGACCACAAGAACAAGUGUAACAACAAUUUCAAAUUUAAAACAUAUAGUUAUAUAUAUUUCUAUCUCAAAAGGAAUACAACGCAAAUAUACAUCAGUUUUUUCAUGAAUAUACAUGUCACAAGCGAAGCGAAUACUAGUUUCCAAGCGGGGAACGUACACAUACAUUUGUUCAAUUUCAAAUAAUCAUAUAAUCCUAACUAUUACACAAGCGGAGUCUGAAUUCAAACUAUACAUAAGGUAAUCUAUCCAGUCACAUGAAUAAGUACUACAAGCCCUUCCUUUGCCUCGAGCCCUGUGGACAGGAAAUAAAAUAUUUUGGAGUGAGUUACAAGCUCAGCGAGUGAUCAGUAAAAAUCAGUAAUCAACUAGUUCCACAAUAAUGCAGUUAAAUGAGAUUAUGAGUCAAUAAUCAAAUGUAUGUUUAUUGCUCUUGUGAGCCAGUGAAAUCUUUGUAUUUAAACCCUAACGCUCAAAUACAUACAGGAACAGUCAAACAGUACAAGGGAGCCAUUUGCUCAAAAUAACCAGUGGUGGAGACGUUAGUUCUAAGCACAAGAUUUUUCAAGAACUCAGUGGAGCCAAAACAUGUCAUGGCAUACACAUAAACACAAAUAAUAUGCAAUUGAGUAAACAGUGCAUGAAACAGUUCAUAAGUAACUUUGAAAAUAGUUUGGGGAUCAUUCACCAACCACAACUCAGGAACUAUCCAUCAUAGAUCAUUGCCUUGAUCAAGUCCAAGCCCUUAAAACCCCAAGAAAAGUGAUAGCUUAGUACUUCCCUUUUCAAAAUAACUCCACAAAAUCCCUCAAGCUUCCUUAAAGAUCCACUUUUAUGGACUAAUUUACAAAAUUAAUGGUUGAAACUCAAGAUUGAAAUAUGGAAUUGAAGUGCAAGAUGAAGCUCUCUUUCUCUCUCUUAUGAAGCUCGGCCAAGCAAGGUGAAGAAAUGAAGAUAUUUGAACCAAAAAGCAAGAUAAGAAUGAAAGAAAAUAGCUGGUCAAAGUUGGCUGCCGGACUGCCACGUCACAAUCUGGCCGGAUUUCCGGCUAGAUUCCAGGCCGGAUUCAAGGCAGUGGAGACUUAAUUUUUUUCAAAACGCACCAACAAUCCUGCCAACAAUCCGGCCAAGAACUGGUCGGAUCUGCGCCCGGAUUUGGUCCUACCCUUUUUUAUAAAAUUUUUUUUUCCUUUUUCUUUCGGGGCUUCACAAGCUCCCCUCUUAAAAGAAUGUCGUUCUCGAUAUUCCAACUUGUGCUGUGCUAAACAGAUCAAAAUAGUCCUCGAAAGUCUAUCAAGUACUAAGAAUCAUUCCAGUCCCACUUAUGUCCCACUUAUCACUUUGUAACGGCCAACAGAUAGCUAAACAAAUAACCAAAGAGAACAAGCAAAAGGGCUCGGUUCAAACAACUAGCCCUGAGUUAGAACUAAAGUCCAAGAUAUUCAAAAAAAUUCAGGACAUGGCUUAGUCUCAUGUCUGAAGUUUUACCCCUGACAGUGCUGGACAACACAACAAGUUAGCACAACAGCUAUGCAACACAACAAGUUAGCACAACUGCUAUACUUCACCAGAGAGGCUCAGGAAUUCGUCCCUGGUGGUGCUUGAGAACACAACAAACUAGCACAAAGGCUAUACUUCAUUAUAGAGCCUUAGUUCAAAAAUUCCAUCCCUGAUGGUGUUUGAAAACACAACAGGCAUGCCUCGCCAGAAGAAUGGCGGUGCUUGAAAACACAACAAGCAAUGCCUCACCGGAGAGGCUUAGUUCAAAAAGUUCAUCCCUGGCGGUGCUUGAGAACACAACAGGCAUGUCUCGCCAGAAAAAUGGCUGUGCUUGAAAACAUAACAGGCUAUACCUCAUCAGAGAGAUUCAGUUCAACCGCUACAGAAGAGUAGUAGUCGGUCUACAACUACACGAGUACGAAUAACUUCAAAAGCACGGUCAAAGCAGGGUUCAAAUAAAUAAGUUCAAAAGUAGAGCCAAUUACUUCAAGUUGAUGAUGCACGAGUACGAAUAAGAACUCACUCGCCUAGUCCAUGCUCAGCAAUUCAUAUUCUCAAGUAGUCACAGGAUUCAAGUUCACUUACAGGUCAUAUAUGAACCAAACUACUAGCUCAUGCGUAAAAGAAAUACCCUAUAUUCAUGCAAGUCUGGUCCAUCAAGUGUACGUAAGCGCACACUUGCCUAAACAGGUUCAAAUCUCAAGUAAGCUCAGCCUAAUCGGUUUCAGGCAGUUCAAGUUCUUCAAAUAUCAACACUUACAAAUCAAGUGGUGCAAACCUUAAUCAAAUAAGAAGACUAGAAGAAAGAUGCAAAAAUUAGAAGUUUUCUCAACAAAUCCAGACACCACCAUAAUCUAUCAAAACUCUAACAAAACACUUAUUGGGCAAGUUCCAGAUAACAUUCAUCAUUUCAAUGCCCUUAUUCGGUUAAAUCUCGAGUACAAUACAAAGUCCUCUGUACUCUAACCUGUACCAGUACAACUUAUCUCAAACUCACUUAUGAUUUCUAUUCACAUCAUCAAACACUAGACCAUGUUCCUUCCAAAUGCACAAGUAUUUCCUCAGGAAAAGUACCGAGUAUGCAAGUACAAGAAUCCAAAACUAAGAAACUAUACAACUCAAGCCGUACGCUAGUACCAAAAUCGGUUGAUGUACGCUUGGGAGCAAUAAAGUCAUAUCUUACGCUUACCACUUUCAAACCAGUCCGACAGUCCGGCAUCCUAAACUUUAGCCUAGGAUACACUACAGAGAUCUGAAGUCUAAACUAUAAUACCAACUGUGACAACCCUACCUCCCCCUAAGAUAAAGCAAAGGGUUCGACGGAUCGCCUGCCCAACUCUUGCCGGGACUUACUACAAUCCUCAAAUAAAUAUGAAAAACAUAAGACCACAAGAACAAGUGUAACAACAAUUCCAAACUUAAAACAUAUACUUAUAUACAUUUCUAUCUCAAAAGGAAUACAACGCAAAUAUACAUCAGUUUUCCCAUGAAUAUACAUAUGACAAGCGAAGCGAAUACUAGUUUCCAAGCGGGGAACGUACACAUACAUUUGUUCAAUUCCAAACAAUCAUAUAAUCCUAAUUAUUACACAAGUGGAGUCUGAAUUCAAACUAUACAUAAGGUAAUCUAUCCAGUCACAUGAAUAAGUACUACAAACCCUUCCUUUGCCUCGAACCCUGUGGAGGGGAAAUAAAAUAUUUUGAAGUGAGCUACAAGCUCAGUGAGUGAUCAGUAAAAAUCAGUAAUCAACCAGUUCCACAAUAAUACAGUUAAAUGAGAUUAUGAGUCAAUAAUCAAAUGUAUGUUUAUUGCUCUUGUGAGCCAGUGAAAUCUUUGUAUUUAAACCCUAACGCUCAAAUACAUACAGGAACAGUCAAACAGUACAAGGGAGCCAUUUGCUCAAAAUAACCAGUGGUGGAGACGUUAGUUCUAAGCACAAGAUUUUUCAAGAACUCAGUGGAGCCAAAACAUGUCAUGGCAUACACAUAAACACAAAUAAUAUGCAAUUGAGUAAACAGUGCAUGAAACAGUUCAUAAUUAACUUUGAAAAUAGUUUGGGGAUCACUCACCAACCACAGCUCAGGAACCAUCCAUCAUAGAUCAUUACUUUGAUCAAGUCCAAACCCUUAAAACCCCAAGAAGAGUGAUAGCUUAGUACUUCCUUUUUCAAAACAAAUCCACAAAACCCCUCAAGCUUCCUUAAAGAUUCACUUUUAUGGACUAAUUUACAAAACUAAUGGUUGAAACUCAAGAUUGAAACAUGAAAUUGAAGUGCAAGAUGAAGCUCUCUUUCUCUCUCUCAUGAACCUCGGCCAAGCAAGGUAAAGAAAUGAAGAUAUUUGAGCCAAAAAGUAAGAUAAUAAUGAAAGAAAACAGCCAGUCAAAGUUGGUUGCCGGACUACCACGUCACAAUUCGGCCGAAAUCUGGCCGGAUUUCCAACCGGAUUCCAGGCUGGAUUCAAGGCAGUGGAGACUUAAUUUUUUUCAAAAUGCACCAACAAUCCGGCCAAGAACUGGCCGGAUUUGCGGCCGGAUUUGGUCCUACCCCUUUUCACCAAAUUUGUUUUUUCCUUUUUCUUUCGGGGCUUCACAAACCCAACCUCUCUUCUAGCACUAACACUAGAUGAAAGGUUUACAGGGUAAUAACAAGUUACUGAUAAGUGGUUGUGAACACUAGAAAUUGUAUUAUACCAUUCCAAGGUACUAGUGCAAUUUGAUACUUAAGAGGCUGAGUAUCAUACUCUUAAUGAAGUUAAAUAUGAUUUUAUAGUGCCUUGGUAAUAAAGGCUUGAAAUGUACUUCACCUAUAUAAUCAUGGGAGUGGUGCUGCUUCUAGCAAAAGUGGGGUUUUCUUUUGUAAAUGAUCAUGAAUCUAGGAUGGAGCACAUGACCAGUACAAGUGCUAAAAUCAUUUCAUGAACUAUUCUGCGAAAGGGGUAUAAUCUUGUGUGUGCUAUUUCUGUUUUAACUUUAAAGUUAUGGUUUAAGCAACAUAGCCACCAUAACUUGUUAGAACAAGUGAAAUACCUUUCUCUAUGCAAGAUAAUAUGAGUGCUGAUUUAAUUUUAUUAUAAACUAAGUGGGGGAUUGUUGGUAAUAGUUUGUAAUGAGAAUGUUGAAGUUCAUUGUCCCACAUUGAAAGAGGAUAGAGUGCUCAUUAUCUAUAUAUGUGUUUCCUUUUACAAACUUGUUCCAAAAUAUUAGUUUGGAGAGAAAGUUUGGUAGGAAAGUUAUUUCAGUUUAUAUCUCAUUCACUUGAAUAUGAAUUGAAAGAUAUAUAAAAUCUUGACAAGGGCACUUGGAAAAGUUUCGGCUUUCUUAUUAGGAUAAGGUGUUAAUUAAUUAGAGGUAGUUAAUGACGAUUAUAUUUUAGCAGACAUAUCUAUUAAUUCGUUAACUACCUAUACACCUAUUCAAUAAGGAUUGCAUCCUCUGAUAAUGCCUUGGAUAGGUGCCUCAAUUCUUUUAAAUAGUAGGAUUUCGAUAGAAUUAAAUUACUUUUACUUUUCAUUGAUAGUUCUUAGAUUUUGUUGUAUCCUAGAGGCAAUUUAUCUAAUAGAGGCAAAUAACACCUUAAAGAAUGUGCUUUCACACCUCAAAGUCUCUGUGUUUGUCUAGUUUAGAUUUCUUAUUUAUACAAAUUUUCAACAUUUAAUGUGUCAAAAUCUCUUCUUCUCUCUCUCUCUUUCAACUUCUUAAAAUCCACCAAGUUAAAUUAUAUAUAUAUAUAGAGAGAAAGAGAGAGAUUUUGUUCGUGGCCAUAUGUUGUUUGGAAGUGUUCUGAGAAUCGAUUUUCUGAUUUGGUAAUAUAUUACAACCGUUCUAGCUGCUUGUGCAAGAAUCUUUGCAACUCUUUUUCAUAAUUCAGAACGUGUUCACUUUGGAGUUAACAAUUAAAACCAAGUGUAGUAUAUGCCGACUAGUUUUCAACUCGUCAAAGGAUAUAGGGUAAUAGGAAUAAGACAUGGCUAAAACUUGGGUAGAAUCGGUUUUUAAAAACUUAAUAGUCCAUAUUGUGUUAGAUGAGAUGAUAUGAUACAAUUUAGACCAUUUGGUCUUUAAAGACCGGAUCUACUCAAGUGUGAAACAUAAGUCAUUCAAACGUUGGUAAAACUAUUCUGUACUCAUUAAUUUGAUUCUUCUGUUAAAACUUUCCGAUCUCAUUUUUUCUCAAAAAACCCCUUUCACUUUUUCUAUUUAAAACCCAUAUUCUCUAGUAAUAGGAUGAUACUACCUCAGAUUAGGUUCUUCUCUAUUUAAUUGGAGCUAACUUCUCUCUAUUAUACCAUAAUAAAUUUAAUCUUUAAACUAUAUCGAAAAUUAAGUCUAUUGAUAAUAUGCUUCAUUACUUACUUUAGUUAUACACAAGCUUUCAAAUAAAUCAGGUAAAUUUUAUCGCUUGAUUGCACCUUACAAAUGUUGUUGUGAUUUUGAUUUAUAUUUCCCCAUUCAAAUAUUUCAUGAAAUUGAAUGAUAAAAAAACUCUCUAUUGGAUUUUAUUUUUGAGUAAAUUGAUCUACUUAUCAAAAUAAAAAUAACAACAUAGUCAAAUGAUUUUUGUUUUACAAAAAUGGUUAUUCCAAUAUAAAAAUAACUAGAUAAUUGGAAAGAAAACUACGGGAGGGAGCCUAAUCCCCGCCUUAUCAACCAAUAAAAAACACCUUUUUGUAGUUCAGUCUUGAGAAACAAAAGAAAUUUAUAUUUAACAUUUACAUAAUUUUAAAAAAAAUCCACUUCUUAUACACAUAUGUCCGUUGAUAUGCUAGUUCCAACAAAAGUAUAUUGGACUCGAGGCAAUAUUGCUUCAGUCAUUCUAUUUAUUACAUGAUAUGGUAUACACUUAUAUAGUAUUGUUCUAGUUGGAAAAAAGUUUAAUGUGUAUAAACAACAAUUUAUUUAAGUGUACACUAGAUAAUAGCCGUAUCCGAUGCACUUAACCCCUGCCGUACUUGCCCAAGUCUGGCUUGAUAUGGACACUACUCUGCAAAGCCAAAAUUGGGAUAGAUCGAUUUUCAAAAUUUAAUAAUCCAAAUUGUACCGCAUCAUUUGAUGAAAUAUUGUGAUAUAAUUGGGGUCAUUAAAUCUUUGAAAACCGGUUUACCCAAGUGUGAUCCCUCUGCAGAACUACUACACAUAAUUGAACUAUCAAGCUUAACCCAUUCGAUCUCCCCCUCCUCAGGCUGCUGUUCAAUUUCGUGAAGAGAAAUGUCAAAAUGUUCUUUUCUGCUGUGUCUCAUUACUGCUACAAGUUUUGGGGUUGUUGAGAAUGGCUCCGAAUGUGAGGUUAGGAUCUACGAGCUCAGGAAAGGAUAUUUUGCUUUGAAAGUGACUAACUUUCGAGCCAGGAUCAUAUCAGUCAUUCUCCCCAAUAAGAAUUUUCCAGCUUUUAUCCGAAAAAGAAAAUAAAAAACCAAUCCUCCUCUGCUAAAAAUGUUAUAAUUUCUAUUCGUCAAUCUCAAAAGUGGUAAUUUGGGAAUAAUUCUUCCUUGCCUUCUAAUCAAUGGAUUAUUUUAGGCUCUGAGGUGCUGAAAAGUGGGUUUCAAUUUAUACGAGUAACUAGCUUGAGUUUGUUAUAUCCCUUUUGUACAAAAAAAAAAAAAAAAAAAAAAAACUAGCUUGAGUUUGUGACAAUUUUUAGAAUCAAUAUGCUUGACAAGUAGUACAAGUCACAAAAAAUUAUGUGGCUAUGGUUUAUCGUUAAUGGUAUCAAUUUUUUUUUUGUACUCGAAAUAAAGUAAUUAAAUUGUCUUUGGAUUGUUUUAUUAGUUCUUUAUUGAUUUGCUUGUCCAAUGGAUUUCUCCAUAAGUUUUUUUAUGAACUCAAUAAAAGUUGUACAUUGAGCCUAGGAAUAUUAAUGAUAAUUUUUGAACGCAAGUUCUAUACAAUAAUCAAAUUUAGAGAUCAAUCGUGCAUUUCUUCAUUUCCCUUUCCUCAUUGCUUUUCUGAGCAAAACAGGGCUUCAUAGAAGUUUGGGAAAUUGCCAAAAUAGAUACUUCGUACAAUUUGUAGAAGUAAUACAAAGUGUCCAAAACUUUCUACGCUAUUGUCUACAAGUUCUUUUUUUUUUUUUUUUUUUUUUUCCAGUCCCAAGGCUUAGCUCAACGUCCCUCUGCUCGUCAUAUUGGGAGUUGGUAUCGCUAUGACGCAUGAUUUCAAGAUUCAUGAUCACAUUACUAAUUUUAUCAAAAUAUGUGUGUAGUUUACCUCAAUAAACUACCAAACAACUUUUGUACCAAAGAUUCAAGAAGUUCAUAGACGUGGGGAAGGAAUAGGUUGGGUCAUGACGAGAGAUGUAAAUAAAAAGUUCCAAAUUUGUGACCACCUACCUACACUAAAAAAAAAAAAUUCAUAGAUAAUUUAUUGCUAAAUGAGUAAUUGAGAAGCAAAAAUAUCCACUUAUACUCACUUCCCAUGCAAUUUCCACACACAAACCUCGUACAUUAGUUGUACAAGUGGCAAGGAUUGAGGAUAUGCUAUUGGAAAAUAUGGUUAGGAAUGAAAACAUGGCAAGGGUUCUCCCACCCCGUCUCGCUUCUCCCACGGAUGCCUUCAGGGGAAAAAAAGUUUAUAAUGAAUAAAAAUAUAUAUAAUUAAUAAUAAAUCAUAAUUAGUAAUUUAGUAUAAAUGUAUUAAUAUAAUUAAUUAAUAAUUUAUAUUAGUAUAAUUUUAUAAUUAUUAGUAUAACUAAUAAUAUUAAUUAUAUUACAUUACAUAAUUUGAUAUCUAUAACUAAUAAUAUUAAAUAUGUUAUAUACAUAAUUGGGGGACAAGAUGCGGGAUGAGGCAGGGGUAUACUCCCUCGUCCCCCACCCUGUUCUUUUAAAGAGAGGUGAAAAUUACCCCCCCCCCUCCCAUCCCCCACGCCAUGAACCUAUUACGAGGACACCCACCCCAAUUGCUAUCCCUAUGUAUAGUGUUUUUAUCUAGUACUGGGAUAUGGUUCAACAUUUGAUUACCAUGCUGUGUUAGGACAUGCAGUUUAAGAGUGGUUUAUAUUAGAUUUGUUCCACAAUUCAUAUUUCAGUUUGUUGGAUCUACUGAAAACGGUAUUUAUCACAAAAAAUAUCUUCUAAAUUAAUAUAGGAUAGUGAGUAAUUAAAUCCAAUUAAUGUGAGGAGGAAGUGUAAGUGAGAGAUUCAAGUUCGAAAUCUCUUGCUUACUUAAAAAAAAUCCAGCUAAAGCUAUUUGUUGUUUGUUCAAUGUAUUGUUUACCAAGAAGGUUGCCCAGCCCAGUGAGCAUUGUAGCCCAUGUACUUGAGCUGCUCUUUCAGCCCAAUAGGCUCGACCAAUUAGUCCCAAUACGUUAACCCAUGAUACAGUUCCAAUUCCUACAUAACCCCUUUGGCGAAUCAUUUUACCCCUGCAGCUUUUACCAUGGCAAUAAGAGAUUUACUCUGCAUUUUUUUUCUAAUCGUCUUAGAUAUCAUUAUUUGUGAAACUGUAACUCAUUUGGUUUUACAGACAAAAUUAACUACGGAGAAUGCAGGAGUUGUGUUUCAAAAUUGAGAAAAUAAAGGCCAGGCAAGUAUCUAAUUCCUUUUGCUUACAUUAACCUGCUCACAUAUGCUACUUACUAAUUCUAACUGACUUUUUUUUUUUUUUUUCUGAAGUUUCAUUUUGAAUGAGGCCUUUAUCUGCAAUUAUAUAUAGAGGAGUUUUUGUACCUGGGAUAGAACAAGACAUAUUGGAACCAACCAUGUAGCUGUUGGUUAAAGACGCGAAAUUUUCAAAAGAAACUUUGUACUUUAUAUUGCUUUAUUUAGAAAUUUCUUGCAGCACAAAAGGCUCCUUUUGGCAGCAUAUUAAGAUUCAAGAUCCAUCAUUCUUGUAAUCUUGCCUUCUUCGCCAAAUGAGGCUGAUAAUAACAUUAGCGGAUGGGUCUUAAUAAACUAUGAAUCCAUUGGUUCUUUUUUUUUUUUUUUUUAUGUAUAGAAAAGAUCAUUUCAUUCAAUAAAUCUACACUAGUAGCAAAAAAUACAUCAAACAAAUAUGAUACAAAUACAUAGAUCUGAAAAUCAAUAGAUACAACAUAUCUAAGAAAUCAAUACAAAUAUAUAUUAACAUUGAUGCUUUUAGAUAUCUUCCAUUUAGACGAAUCAUUGUAGCUCAAUACAUCUGUGUAUAUCUUCUAACAGUCAAAUUAAAAUAAAACAAGUAUAAGUCCAAAGAAAAAUUUAGCUAUGACAAUAAUGGAAAAAUUGCAAAUCUAAAAAACUAGAUUAUAGAUCUAUAAUAUUUCAAAUUUCACAAAAAAGAUAAAAACUAAAAAGAAACUCUCACAAGGAAAAAUUCAAGAGAAAACAAAACUCUCACUAGAACAAUUUAGAAGAGAAGAAACUAUCACUAUUUGAGAACUUAGAAGAGAAGUAUAUCUUACUAAGAAAUCCUAAAAGAGAAUUUAUUCAAAACAAGAGAAACUAAAAACUAGAGAGGGUGCUUCCUUUCAUUGGUAAAGAUCAGAUUUGAUCACUCUCCCAUAAAAAGAGAUGUUGAGGAUUUUGACCAGAAGAGUUUUAGAGAAAAGAGGAAGAAAAGCAUUCUAGAGAGAACGAGGAAAAGAACGACUAUAUAAAUCCAUUGGCUUUUCAACAUGUAGGGUCUGUUUGGUUGGAAGUAAAAUAUUUUUCUUGGGAAAAUAUUUUCCGUGGAAGUAAUUUUUCAUGAAAAUCAUUUCCCUUUCAUCAUUUUCAGGUGUUUGAUUAACUUAUUGAAAAUAUUUUCUUACUUCAUUUUUCUGGUGUUUGUUUAACUUUUGAAAUAUUUUCACUUUUAUCUCUAUCUUUACUUUCUACACAUUAUAACUACAUACUUCUUUCCAUGCAAAAUAAGAAAAUUUAUCUCAUUGUUUAACUUUAAAAAAUCUUGGAGAAAUAUAUAUAUGAAUAAAAAAUAUCUCCUUAAGCAAUAAACAAAUUGCUGAUAAUUUAGUGUCAAAUAUCAAUCACAUGCAAUGUUUAUUGUGACAUAUAUCUUUCACUCUCACUGCUGAAAGUUUCUCUAGAAAAGAAUGUCCCUAUUAUACAUAAUUAAUUACUAGCAUAGGAUGAGCAGGAUGAGACUUUUUUUUUUAAUUUUGAAUAUACUAGGGAGAGGGUUGGGUUGGGUUGGGUUGGGUGGUACGGGGGAGGGAGUGUAAAGAAGAUGUUUUGGAUUCGAGUCCUCCUGUUUACACUAAAAAAAAAAAAAAGAACAUACUACAAGAUUUUUUCAGUAAGUUUGGAACAUACUACAGGUGGGAUACAUGUAUUUCGGAAAACAACUUCAAUAAGUUUGGAAUGGAAGUUGUUUUCCAUAAGAUGAAUGAAAAUAUUUUACAUAGAAAAAUGUUUUCAGUAACUUUUGUGCAACCAAACACGAGAAAUUAAGAAAAUAUUUUCCUAAAAAACAUUUUCACCCGAAACAAACGGACCGUAAUAUAGAAACAUUCAUGCUUAUUUAACUUCAAAUUGUCAAUCUCAUUGCCUUAAUCAACUCCAUGCUUUAUGUUUGAAUGCCUCUUAAUUGGGAUACAAAAUAAAGGUUACAUUAUGCUGGGCGAUGGCUUUGUAUAGCACAAGGAGCCCCACCUAGUAGCAAAUCAAAUCAAAUCAAAUAGCGAAUCAUGGCAGCUAUAGCAGCAAUUGAAUUCCUAAAAAGAGGUGUAUUUAUAUCUCCUGUGCGCCGGCUUUUGGAGUAUGAUCUGGGAUUAAGGUUUGUUUAGUCAGUAAAAGUCAAUUGACUUCUUGACAAAAAAAAUAUCUCCUGUGCAGGGGCCGACGUAAUAAUUUUUUUUCUUUGUCAACAUAAUAAGGUAGAAAACAACUUGACCCACACAACUAACUAUAGGUUUUGUACAUGGUAAUGAUUUAAUCGCAAGUAUGGUCUAAAAUUAUUUUUGUUGCAAGCAUUGGAGUAUCCCUAUUUUCAGAUUUGUAUUAAUGGAUUUGUAGAUUGCCACCAAAGUUUGGAGAAUUGAGAGUUUCUUUUUCAUCCAUAUUUGGAUCAAUGUUCUUAUUAAUUAGUAAACUCUAAUUACCAAAACUAUUGCUUUUAGCACAACAAAAAAGUAUGAAUUUCAUAGCAUUGGAACCAGGUUGACUUUGUUUUUAAUUAUCAUGCUCUGAGCAUUUCUUCAUUUUUUUACUGAAAUAUAAGUCUCGCAGAUGAAGAAUCAUUCAACGUGAUCAGUUUCGAUUUUGUAACUAAAACUAAGUGAAGUAAACGGCCCCUUGUUUCAAAGUCAACAAAUGACCCAGGGAUAAUUUAUUCCAUCCAUGUUCGUAUGAGUAUUCUAUACUUAUUAAACCGAAUCCUAUGACUCCCAGCCAAUAUUUUGAAAUUCAGCCCGUUCAUUUGACUCAAAAAAAAUUCAAAUCAAGCGCCAUUGGUCAAUUGUUGGGCCAACCGUAAUUGUUCCUAAAUAACAUGUGUUAGCAUAUAUGUAACAAAAAUAUUUAAGGAUAUGAUUUAACUCUCUUGUUUGAAUUAAUUAUGUGACUUUUCAUCCCACUCAAAUAGCUAAUAUUAUUUGAAACUUAACCAAAUUUUUUAUGGAUUAAAAUGGGGAUAAAUUAUUUUAAAGUCGUUAAUACAAGGAGUAUUAAUCUAGACGUCUUAAGUAAGUACAUUUUACAUUUUAGAAAUUUUAAUUUGUCGAAACAAAGGAAAAAUUCACAACUUUAAAGAAUUAAAGAGUUUUUAAAAAAAUGCACAUGCAUAAGUAACUACAUAUAAUUACGUACAAAAAGAACAAAUAGAGUUAAAGUGUAUCGAUUAAUUGAAAAAUGAGUUUUUCUAGUUGUUACCCCAUGGGUACUCGUUAAUACACCUGCAUUCCACUCAAUUUACCAUAUAUUUACACACACUAAUAAUUACAAUUUUUUCUUGUAUUUAUACACUUUUUCUAAUUAAUCCCCUUUCAUUUAUACAUUUUUCUAAUUAAUUUUGUAUUUCUAAAGAUCUAAUACAUGUGCAAAUUUAUAAGAGAGAUUAAAUAUGAAGAUAUUAAUUGUUAAGUACCUUGUUCUAGUUAAUUGGAGAAAGUUGCCUUAUCCAGUAUUGCAAUUUGAGUUGUCACUCAAUGAGAAAAGUAAUCAAAUUUGAAAAAUAGCAUUCAUUAUCGAGGCCACAUUAAACCAACCCGGUUCUCUUUUUAUUGGACGACUUCUACGGGUCAAUGCUCAAACUGUCCAAUUUCUAUAGGUUACAAGAAAUUAUCCAAUUUUUUAACCCUUGGGCUGAGGGGCUACCGAAACCUAUAAGGCAGCCCAUUUGGUGGUUUUUCCUAUCCAAUAGGGCAGUCCAGGUUGCAGGGUGGGUUCGAAAGUGUGAUCCCAACUCAUUUUCUAAAUUUUUUGAAAAAAAAAAUCUCUAAUGAUUAGAUAAUGCCAGUGGUUAAUGGGACUGGAUUCGUCUCCAUUACGGCCGAACAAAUUGAAGUUGGCUAUUAUAUAUAUAUUUUUAAAAAUAAUCUUCUGUAAUAUACUUCAUUACUUGUUUUGGUUAUUCACAAAGUUUGUAAUAAACUGACCCGAUUUUCAUGCUUUAUCCACCAUGCAAACUUUCCUCCAAAUUCAAUUAUAAAGCACUUUCUAACAAAAAUUUUCUGAAUACGUUGAUCUACUCACUGAAACAAAAAGAAUGGCACAAUCAAAUGAUAUAAAAAGAUGAUUAAAUGAAUAUGAAUUAAUAAUCAGCAAUUCAAAAUAAAAGCAAUGGAAGGAGCCCAAAAUACUGGGCCGAUUCCCCCCCCCCCUCGUGUCUCCCACUCUUAGUGUUUAAAUAACUAAUAAAGCAAAUCCAUGACACUUCUUGAUUCGGUUUGAGGUUGCGGUAAUUUAUAAAAAACACUUCUGACACAAGUAUUUUUAAUACUUCUAAUAAAACUGCUUUUAAGAUACGAAAAGCUAGACUCCUUAAAUAUCUUGCAGUGAGGGAGUAGUUAUGAAUCCUGUAGAUCAUCCCAUGGAGGCGGGGAAAGGAGAGCUCCAAUUGGUAGAAAAAACUCACAAGACCUUUGAGGUUAUCCUGCACUUGGAAAAAAAAGUAGAAAAAGGAAUAAGUAUAAUGAUAAUUUGAUUCUUCCUCAAUGCUAUAGUAAAUAGGAGAAAAAUUAGAGUUUUUUCUUCACCUUAAAAUAAAAGAGAGUAAGCUAUGACGCGUUUACUAAAAAAAUCCUUGUGUGGGAGAAUGACGGGAACUUAACUUGACAUGAUGGAUUGAACCCACUGGAUUCACAAUCCACUUGGCUACAGCUGCCCCUCUACUCUAUUUUUAUAUAUAUAUUUUUUCAUAUUCGAAGUUCCAAAAUUAGUCACCGAACACCUCCUAGAGGUACUUUCACUGCUUAAAAACAAUUUUUUUUGUAAGUGCAUCGCAACCCAAAAUGCGCCUUAUACACACACGUUCACUCGUGCUAGUUCCAGCAAAGCCUUACUUGACAUGUAUAAUUAUAGAUAUACACCGCUUAAUAAAACUACUAUAUAUAAUUGGACUAUCAAAGCUUAGCCCUACAACCCCUCCCUCCUCCUGAAGCCAUUCUUCAAUAUCACGAAGAAAAAAUGUCAAAAUUAUCUUUCUCGUUAUGCCUCAUUCUUGCAACAAUUUUUGUGGUCGUUGUGAACGGCUCCGAAAGUGAGGUUGGGAUCUAUGAGCUCAAGAAAGGAGAUUUUUCAUUGAAGGUGACAAACUUUGGUGCUCGGAUAAUAUCCCUCGUUCUCCCUGACAAGAACGGUACUUUUCAUUUCCUCCUUUUACAUAUACUACAAUGUUCUCAUGGUAAACUCCCAGCUGAUUCUGCACAUCUUUUUCCAACUUGUUCAGGAAAGCCCACAGAUGUUGUUCUUGGCUAUGAUUCUGUUAAAGAAUAUUUGGUGAGUAACUUAAAAAUUUUGUAGCUUCUAUUAGAUUUUUAUGGAAGUUUUCUCUUCUGAGAGGUUUGGAUGUGGAGAGGAUUAUCUUCUGCUGCACUUGACUUUCCAUCUUUAUCUCUUUAUCUUCAUUUCCCUGCAUUAUGCAGAAUUCAGGAAUGAAUAAUUUCUGUAGGGACCUUUGCUUUUUAUUUUUUUUAAUUAUUAUUUUUUUGGGUUUUCUCUGUCUUUUGGUCAUCCUUCAGUCUUGAGAAGUCAAAAAUGGACGGUUUUUUUUUUGUAGGGUAUAGAGGUUUAAAGAACUUGGUCACCCCGUGGGGCACAUUUGGCUUUUGAUUUAGUUUUACUUUAUUUUUUGGUUGCCAAGAUAAAAUUGGUCACCUCGUCGGGCACAUUUGACCUUUUCUUUUUUGGGCUGCCCAUAUAAAAUUCCUUCUUACACACACAGUUUGUACAGAAUUUACAGAGAAGAGGAAUGAAUUGGAUAGUACAUAUAAAAAGAGAGUAUAUAAGUGAGAAAUUCUAGAUUCGAAACCUUUCACUUGUAUUGAAAAACAAAAAAUCAGUAUUCAUAAUGAACAACAAUGGAUCCGAAUAUUUAGCACGAAUUCCCGACUGCAUUUUAUUUUUUAAUCUUUUCUGCUUUCUUAGCUGGAUCUUGCCCUUAAAAGAACACAUGACGAUUGUCAAUUGCAGUCUAUCUCAAGAUUCACUGGGUCUAGCUAGCAGAGACAGACCCCCGAGGGGGAUGGGGGAAGCCGCCCCCACAACUUCUAAAAAUUUGGACCUAUUUAUUUUUAAGUGAUAUUAUUUUGUCCCCAAUUUUAAGAUAAGUUAUUUUUUAUUUCCUUCUUCUUUAUUAAUGUUAGUAAACAAUCAUUAGUAGCUAAUAUAGGCUGUAUAGCUUUUGAACAGCAACUAAUUAAAGAAACAUAAUUUAUUUUUAUGUAAGUCUACAAUAAACUAACUCCUAAUGUAAGAUUGACUUGAAUUAAAAAAAGUUAGAAAACUAAUCCCAAAAUGUAAGGUUGAAUUAGAUUCAAGAGGAAAAAAAAGCAGGAGUAUUGGUUAAAAACAAAAACAAAAUGUACAGCUUUUUAAUGUGUUAUAAGUGCUUAUCAUUGCCAACUCUAUUGAGGCUUUUAAUAAUGAUGUUCUUGCUUAUAUAUUGAUCAGAUGAUAUUGUGAAAGAAAUAAUUCGAUAAAAAUGAUAUGGGUCUGUCAUCUUGAUAGAGAUGGUUCUACUUCGUCCGAUAUUUAUUUUAGUAUCUGGAACAUGGAUUUUUAUAAGAAUAGAUUAAGAAAUAUUUGAACUAUGAUUCAAUAAUUGUUGUAUUUGAUCAAACGAAGGAUAUAAAACAUAGGCUCGCAUCCCUUGUAUUAUGAGGAAAUGAAAUGAUUAAAAAGUCUAAUUUUGAUACCUUGUCUUUUACAACUAAAAACAUCUUAUUGCUAGUUAGUGUAAAACUUUCAUUUUAAGUUUUUUUUUUAUACUUUAUAUGCUAAAUAUUGUUUUAUUAUAUGUUUGACUAGUGGUCCCCCAACUUAAAACCCUGGGUCCAUCAUUGCUUGCUAGAUUAUGUUUUUAAAUUUGAAAAUCCUCAUCAUAAUUGUUUUGUUCCCUUUAGCUUUUGUUCUCAGCAUCUCCGCGUUGGGAAUACUUGGGAUACUUGCCUUUCUUUUUUGGGUGUGGGGAAGGGUUGAAUUUUCUUAUAGAGGCAACUCGUGAAUUGCUGCAUAGAGAUGCUUCAUCCAAUGACCAUUAAUUUUUAGUUAAAUGUUUUGUCUAUUAUGUUGACUUGGAGGUCCUUCUUUUAAUGUUGAAAAGUACUCCCACAUCAUGAAUAGGAAAAAAAUUAAUUAUAGGGUAAAUUACUAAUAAUCUCCUUAUGAUUUUGCAUAUUUUCACGUAACUUCUCAAAUUUACUCGUGUAGUUUUAUGUAAAAUGGUAAACAGCCUCUUUAACAUCUUUAGUUAAAUGCUAGUAUAACCUUUAAUUAAAUACUAUAUACAAUGAGGAUUUAACCACCAUGUAUGACUAUGUUAAUAUAUGUAAAAUUGCAAGAGGUCGAGUGAAUAUUUAUGCAAUUUUAUAGGAGAGCUAAGUGGACAUUAUAAUUCCAUCACAUGUAUUUUUUGAGCGUGUCUAGGUCAAUGUUAAUCAAAUAUACCUUCAAUUCAUUUUUCACUUUAUAUAAAAUUUUGGACAGUUACGUGAAUAUUUUAAAAUGUUAGCGAGUCAUAUGGCAAGUGAUUUAGUAUUUAUCAUAGUAGCUACUACUUAUUUGGUUUAAGCCCAUGGCAUUAAGCUAUAUGUCUCAAAGCACCCGUUCGAUGUCGCUUUAGGUAGAACGAUGAUACAGACGUAUAAACUUCUGUCUGGACAUGCAAUCUUACAUCCCAUGUUUCUAUCAUUUUCGCUAACAAAUUGUUCAGUAGGCCAAUUUUCUUCCUUUAGGCCAGUUUCUUAAAAAUCCAUAAAAAUUCCCUGCAGAAUGAUACACAAUACUUUGGAGCUAUUGUUGGCCGGGUUGUUAAUCGGAUUGGUGGUGCUCAGUUCACUCUAAACGGAGUUCAUUAUAAGCUUGAUGCUAAUGAGAAACCAAACAUGCUUCAUGGUAAUUUACUCCCAGCUAUAACACAUGUAAAUUUGAGUCAUCAACUUUAACCACUGACUCUGUCUGUGGAUGCUAUGUAUCGUGAGGGAAACAGGUGGUAGAAAAGGAUUUAGCCUGCUCACUUGGAAGGUGGAGAAAUACGUGAAAGAUAAGGCCAAUCCUUUCAUUGUACUGUCCUAUUACAGUCAUGAUGGAGAAGAAGGAUUCCCUGGAAAUCUCCUGGUUAGAGUGACCUAUGCUCUACUUGAACCAUACAAACUGAGCGUAAUAAUGGAAGCGGAAGCCCUGAACAAGGCUACUCCUGUGAAUCUAGCACAACACAGUUACUGGAAUCUUGGAGGCCAUAACAGUGGUGAUGUCCUCUCGGAUACAGUCCAAAUAUUCGGCUUACACUACACGCCUGCGAACAACCAGCUCAUCCCGACUGGAGAAAUCUUACCUGUUAAAGGAACCCCGUACGAUUUCUUGAAGCCCCACAAAAUUCAAAGCCAGAUGAAAGGACUUCCGAGGGGCGGAGCUCCAUCUGGUUAUAAUGUGAAUUAUGCCCUUGAUGAAGGCAAGGACCAAAAGCUGAAGCUCGCAGCAAUUGCGUACAGUAAGAAGACUGGUAUUGGGAUGAGGAUAUCAACAAGUGCUCCAGGUCUGCAGUUUUACACGGCUAAUUACUUGAACAAUGUGACAGGAAAAGGUGGAUAUGUUUAUCAGUCACAUGCAGCAUACUGUUUUGAGACUCAAGGAUUCCCUGAUGCAGUGAACCAUCCAAAUUUUCCCUCAACAAUCGUUAAUCCAGGAGAUCUUUAUGUGCACUACAUGUUGGUUGAAUUCAAAAUCAAACAAAAAUAAGAGCUCGACUAAUGUACACUGCACCCGAAGAGCAAUUGAAGCUGCCCUGAUUUGAAUCAGCAAAUAAAUGAGACACAUUUUCAUGUUAAACACUGCUCUGUUACUUUAACCAUUACCUAACCUGUCGAUGGAUUCUAUCAAACAUAUAAUAUUUAGAUAUCUGCAUUCAUUCAGCAUACCUUAGAAUUAAACAGAUGCUAUUAGCAAUUUAGGAAUUCCAAUGGCUCCUCAAGAGGAAUUAGGAUAUAUGGAAGAAUCUCUAAUUUCACAGAGUAUUGAAAGGAUUGGAAAGAAGGAAUAGUAGUUCCAAUAGACUAGCGGCCUGAUAAAUCCAUGGAGUCCAUCCAAUGGGCAUUUGCACAGACCUUUCAGUGAAAAGGCCUUCAUUUUCCACUUUCUAGCAUACUAUUGUGAUGUUCUGGAUUCUGGGUCUACCAACAUUCCUUUAAUGAAACUGUCCAAUGUGUCUUUAGGAUUCUUUAUUACAGUAGUUGCCAUAGUUUUCCUUAGUAAUUUUAUCAUUUUCCUAUUCUCUAGUUGCUUCAUGUAUUGUUUUUUACUCUUAAAGCGGCUUCAUCUGGCUUGGAAAUUCAGAGCAGUUUAGUGGAUCAUGUUGUCUCGGAUAUUUCCGCGGAGGAACUUGCCAUUUCACAAAAAAUGUAGUGCCAAAAAGUCCCUCGAAGGAUGUCAGGAAUAGGGACUCAAUUGCAAUUGGACUAGAAGUUGGAGGGGCAUUAGUGUAAAUUGGUGUUGGAGCCAAAAUUGUUAAAAGUUAGUUAUAACCGUCUGCUGAAGGAGUUAGUUAGUCAUUUCCAUUUCUGUACAAGCAAGAUUCUGAUUCAUCAUUGGGGGGGGGGGGUAGGGUAUAAAUCGAAGCCAGUGUAAUGGAUUUGGACACGAAAAAUAUUACCAUUGAUUCCUUCCCAAUUCUUUCUCUCUCUUUCUCCCUCUUUCUCUCUGCCUCUCUUCUCUGCCUUUCCCUCUCAUUUCUUCUUCUUGUUCAUUCAAACCUUUCCCACGCCUGCUGGUCUCAACCUUUCCUUCAUCCUAUUGCUGAGAGCCUGACAAAUUGGUAUCAGAGUUGACCGAUCCUUGGCUAGCUCCUGAAAUCCAAAUGGCAGAAAGUACUCGAUUCAAAACACUGGAGGAUCAUCUCAAGAAGCAAGAACAGAAGCUGCAGGAACUAAUAGAUGAUGUCAGAAGUAUUCAGUAGCAAGUGAAAAAGGAAAUGAUAGGAAGAGAUCAACGUAUGGAUUCGAUUGUGAUUGGAAUGGAGCAGAAGUUCGAAGCACUCAGUUCGAUGAUGCAGACACUGCUGAUCAAGGAAAAGAGUACAGGUGAUGAGGCUAAGAUGGGGAGAGAUCGAACACCAUUACUGCCAACACCACCUAGUCAUCAGAGAUUAGAUCUGGAAGCAGAUACUGAGGCAAAGGAUUGUGAAUUUUUGGGAAAGAUCUCUGGCCACUCCCUUCCUAAGCUUGAAUUGCACAUGUUCAGUGGAGAGAAUCCAUGUGAGUGGAUCAGGAAAUGCAACAAAUAUUUCAUGUUGCAUAGAAUCCAGGAAGACCAUAAGCUACUGGUAGUGGAGAUGUUUUUGGAAGGGAAGGUUGAUAUGUGGUUUCAGGGAGUCAAGUUGGAGAAACAGCGGUUGUCAUGGAGAGAAUUUGAGGAAUUGCUUUGUCAGAGGUUCAAGGGGACCUGUUGUAGGGAUAUUGUGGAGGAAUUCAACAAAUUGCAGCAGACUAGUACAGUGGAGGCCUAUCAGGAGAAGUUUGAAGAACUGAAGACACUGAUGCUGAUCCAAAAUCCCAACCUGAGUGAAGAAUACUUCAUUUCCAGCUUUACCAGUGGCCUUAGGGAAGAAAUUAAACCUAUGGUGCGAAUGCUCAGGCCAAACACCCUCUCUGGAGUUGUAGAGAUAGCCCAUCUGCAAGAGCAAGCCCUUAAAUUGCAAGGGAGGACAGUGAAGGCGGGUAACAAGGUAAUGGCUGAACCAAGGUAUGGAAUUUACAGACAUCCUACAGCUAUGAAUGGUGGAGUCAGCACUUAUAAAUUACCUCAGACCAACGCACCAAAACUAGAGACUAAGAAACCUGAAUUUAAGAGGUUAUCCCCACAAGAAGUGCAGUAUAGAAGGAACAAUGGCUUGUGCUUUAAGUGUGGAGAAAAGUUUGGAGUUGGACAUCAAUGUAGGAUGAAGCACUUGAAUUUCAUGUUGUAUGAGGAAGAGGAGGAUACAGAAUUCCAAGAUGUGUUAGGGGAACAGGAUGAAUUGACUGGAAAUCCAGGGAAAUCAGUAGAGGUAUCUCUCAAUGCACUCUCAGAUUCUCUCAGGCGAAACACAAUCCUGUUGCAAGGGCAAUUAGCAGGGAGAAAUGUAAAAAUCUUGGUAGAUACUGGGAGCAGUGAUAGUUACAUCCACCACAAACUUGUAUCUGCACUAAAAAUUUCGCUUGAGCAUGUUAAACCAUUCACAGUCACCAUGGGAGAUGGGAGUUUGGUGACCAGUGGGGCUCAGUGCCCACAAGUCUUAUGGAAUAUCCAGAAUUAUAGGUUCAGUUUUGACCUCAUGAUUAUGGAAUUGGGGAACUGGGAUCUCAUCGUAGGGGUAGACUGGAUGUGUGUUGUGACUGUCCUGACUAGGAACGAAGGGGGAGAUACAGAAGGAAAAAGGGGAAAGAGAGACUUGGGAGAGAAGAUAGAGAAUACAGAGGAGAAAAGGAAUUGAAUUUGGUUGUAUCUUAUUGCCUGCCUUGCAUCUCACCCUUAGGUGUAUUUAUACAGGUUCCAUUCUUUAGAUCCUUCCGUAGCUAUAACAGAAUGCUCAACAGAAAAGAUCCUGCAUACCUGUAUGCCAUGCAGUAACGAUUCAACUAACUCAUCUGAUAUGCCAACUAACUUCUAAAAAAGGAAAUCAUGCCCUCUACAUUCUCUGCUGCAAAUAUCUAGGGAAAUAUCUAACUAUCUAGAGAAAAUAUCUAGGAUCAUUACAAUACCUCCCCCUCAAGAAUCCUAGUCACUAGGAUUGAGUUGGAAAUCUGGAAACUGUGAUCGUAUCACAGUGAUAUCCUCCCAAGUUGCAUCUUCAGCGCCUAGGUUCAACCACUUGAUCAGCACCUGAGUCACCUUCUGCCUCUUUCGUAUGAUAUCAUGAGUAGCGAUAACACUCUCAGGGGCAAUUUUAAUCUGUCCAUCUGUGGUAGUUAAGGGCAGCUCCUGAGUCACCGCAUGAUCUUUGGCUGAGGCCUUGAGCAGGGAGACAUGGAAGGUAGGGUGGAUCAAGGAACCAGCAGGUAACUCCAACCUAUAAGCCAUAUUACCUACCCUCUGAAGAAUCUUGUAAGGGCCAUAAUAUUUGGGAGAUAAUUUCAGAUUCUUUCUGACUGCCACAGACGUUUGUCUAUAAGGUUGCAGCUUCAAGUAGACACAAUCUCCAACUUGGAAACUUCUUUCACUCCUGUUUUUGUCAGCAAACUGCUUCAUUCGAUUCUGAGCUUUGAUUAAAUUUUCCUUCAGCAGCUCAUUCCAAUUCCUCCUGUCCCCUAGCCAUUGCUCCACUGCAGCCACUGGGGUCUCCAAGGCAUUGAUACCCAACUGAGAUGGUGGAUAAUCAUAUAGUGCUUGGAAGGGAGUCAUUUUUAAGGCUGUGUGAUGGUUGGUAUUGUACCACCAUUCUGCAGCAGCUAACAAGGACUUCCAUUUGUGAGGUUGCUGGAAACACAAGCACCUCACGUAUGUCUCCACACACCUGUUCAAUCUUUCUGUCUGCCCAUCUGUCUGGGGAUGGUAGGUAGUAGAGUAAUGCAGCUCAGUGCCUAGUUUCCCAAACAACUCCUGCUAGAAUAGGCUAGUAAACAGCCUAUCCCUAUUAGAUACAAUGCUUAGUGGCAAUCCAUGCAACUUAUAGAUGUUAUCAAAAUAUAUGUUAGCCACAGACUGUGCUGUAUACUUGGGUGGUAGUGCUAGGAGGUGGCAAUACUUAGUAAACCUGUCGAUGACAACUAGCAUUCCUUCAUAUCCUUGGAAUUUAGGUAACCCUUCAAUGAAAUUCAUUGAGAUGUGCUGCCAUGCUUGUUCAGGAAUAGGUAGAGGCUGUAGCAAUCCUGGUGUCUUGCAAUUUUCUACCUUGCUCCUCUUAUAAACAUCACACUGCUGUACCCAUUUUUCUACUUCUCUCUUCAUUCCUGGCCAGAAGAAGGGACCCUUCAAUCUUUGAUAGGUUCCCAGGUUGCCUGAGUGACCCCCAAUAUGAGAGUCAUAAAAGCAGGAUAUCAGUUUCUGUCUCAAGUUUCCUGAGAAACUAACGUACACCCUGCCCUUAUACCUGAGUAAUUUCCCCAGUAAAAGACUAAUUUGGAAAGGAAUCAGGUGUUGUAGUCAGGCCUCCAGUCAACUUAGUCACAUUAUCAUCCCCGUUGUAACUCUCCAGGACCUCAGACAGCUAUGCAGGUUUCAUGACUGAGAUGCUGUGUAUAGAAAUGUCCUCUUCAUAGCCUCUUCUGGAUAGUGCAUCAGCUACCAAGUUCUCAUUUCCCUUCUUAUACUGUAUUUCGUAAUCCAGCCCUAACAACUUAGUGAGCCAUUUUUGCUGUAGGGGAGUGGUUAUCUUCUGCUCUAGUAGGUACUUUAAGCUCUAGUGAUCUGUCUUUAUGAUGAAAUGGCUUCCUAACAGGUAAUGUCUCCACUUGGAAACAGCUAUAAUAAGGGACAACAACUCCUUCUUGUAUAUGGACAGUCCCAGGUUCUUAGGUCCCAGAGCUUGACUGAGAUAGGCAAUAGGCCUUCCCUGCUGCAUUACGACUGCACCAAUUGCCUUACGACUAGCAUCUGUUUCCAGAACAAAAGGUAAAGAAAAAUUAGGAAGUGUUAGGACUGGUGUACUGCUCAUUAGCUGCUUCAGUUUUUGAAAAGCUAGCUCAGCCUGUUCAUUCCAGUGGAAGUUUUCCUUCUUCAAUAGUUCAGUAAGUGGCUUGGCAAUAAGUCCAUAUCCCCUCACAAACCUCCUGUAGUACCCCGUCAGUCCUAAAAAACCUCUCAAUGCUUUCACUGAUAUAGGGGUAGGCCAAUCCAUCAUGCUUUUGAUUUUUGAGGGAUCUGCCUGCACUCCAUCUCCACUGAUAACAUGUCCCAAAUAUUCUACUUGAGACUGUUCAAAGAUGCAUUUGGAAAGCUUGGCAAAAAGAGAGUGAGCUUUGAGUGUUUCUAGGACAGUUUUGAGGUGCAAAAGAUGAGUGUCUGGAUCUAGGCUGUAUACAAGGAUGUCAUCAAAGAAUACUAACACAAACUUCCUCAGGUAAGGUUCAAAGACAUGGUUCAUCAGGUUUUGAAAGGUUACGGGUACAUUAGUAAGACCAAAGGGCAUAACAGUGAACUCAUACAAUCCAAGGUGAGUUUUGAAAGCCGUUUUUGGAAUGUCAGCAGGGAACAUUCUGAUCUGAUGGUAUCCAGCUCUUAGAUCUAUUUUAGAAAAGAGCUUGGCUCCAUACAAUUCAUCAAGUAAAUCAUCAAUGAUAGGUAUUGGAAAUUUAUCCUUGAUAGUCAAGUCAUUUAGUUGUCUGUAAUCAACACAAAAUCUCCAAAUUCCAUCUUUUUUUUAACUAAUAGAACUGGAGAGGCAAACGGGCUAUGGCUAAGAUGGAUAAUACCACUAUUGAGCAUGUCCCUUACUUGUCUUUCUAUUUCAUUUUUUUGGUUGUGAGGGUACCUAUAAGGUGCUAUCUUGAAAGGUUUGGCAUUAGGUACUAGGGGAAUUUGAUGGUCAUAGUUUCUGGAAGGGGGAAGGGACUGUGGUUCUCCAAAUACGACUUUGUAGUCUUCAAGUAGAGUACCUAGGGAUUGUUGAAAAUUAGUGUCCAGCUAAGUGACAGUGUUUACCUGAGUCUCAUUCAUUCUCAGUCCACAUGCAUGCUUCCAAAUUCUGGUACUCCAUCCCUUCUUCUCAGCCUUAUCACUAGGAAGUUUGAGAACAGUCUCCUUAGAUUCUCCAUGCAAAAGAAUCCUCUCCCCUUUCUCAUCAAAGGACAUGUUCGGCUGCUUGAAGUCAAAGGUGAUGGGGCUGUGUGCAGCCAUCCAGUCUACCCCUAUGAUCACAUCAUACGGCUCCAGGUUAAUGACAAAUAUAUCAUGAGUGAACUGUUUACCUUGCAUUUUCCAGCUCAUGUUUGGAAUCAUCUUGUCGCAGGUCAAGUACUCCCCAUUGGCCACCCUGACCCUGAAAGGCUUGAUAGACUAGACCAGCUCUGGGUGGAGUUGUGCCACAGAAUCUUUGACAAAACUAUGAGUGCUUCCUCCAUCGACCAGGAUUGAUAGUGGAGUUCCUUUGAACCUCCCUUGCAGCUUGAUGGUGUUGUAAGUCAUUUUCCCAGUUAAUGCAUGUAUCUCCAUUUCUACACCCUUGGCCGAUUGUGCUCCUUUAUACUCGAUCAUCUCCCCUUCCACCAAAUCAUCAGGACUGUCUUCUAUUGCUACAUUCAGAUGGAUUUCAUUCUGCUUACAUUGGUAGCCUGGACCAAACUUCUCCCCACACUUAUAGCAAAGAUGGUGCUCUCUCCUGUACUGCAGCUCUGCUGGUGUGAUUUUCCUGAAGUUUUGAGGAUUCUGUUUCUUGAUAGCAUUGGCAAUAGCAGGCUUGGUAUGAGGCGCGGUAUACUGAGCAACAGUCUAUGUAGUACUCCCUGAAAAAAGGGAUUUUUGGAGAGGUUUGUGCUUCUUGUGGUAAGCUUCAAAGGCAUUCUUUUGCAAUCUGGCCAGCUCAAAUGCUUUGGAUAAAGUCUUAGGGUCGUGAGUCUUCACCAUUGAUCUUAGCUCAUCUGGUAGUCCACUUAAAAAACAUGAAAUGUAAUAAUUUUCUGGAAGGAGAGGUGCUCGACUCAUUACCUCAGAGAGUAGCUCCUCAAAUUUUUCCUGGUAAGCUAGGACUGUGGUGGAGAGCUGCAAUUUAUUGAAUUCCUCCACUGGAUCCAUUUGCCCCAAUGUUCCAAAAUGCUUGCACAAUUCUCCCGAAAACUCCAUCCAAUCCACCUUGUUACCUCUAGUAGACUUGAAGCCUUGAUACCACACCUCUGCUUUACCUUCUAAAUGGAAUUCUGUUAGCUCCAUCCACUGCUCUGAUGGAAUGUGUAGAAACUGGAAAUACCUCUGAAGUUUUCUAAUCCAUUCUCUGGGAUUGUCUCCUUUGAACGCUGGAAUUUCCAAUUUAGGUGCGCUAGCAUGGAAGGUACUCUUGACAUUCCUCUCUCCUUGCUCUCGAGUCCCCAUGUCUGAGCUCCUGGAGUGACUUCCCUCUGGAGAGCCCAAUAUUCCUUUCUCAGAAUUCCCUCGAUUCACACUGGAGAGCUGCUGAGAAAUGGCCACCAUGAAUGCAUCUAAUUUAUUGCUCAGCUCCACGCUUAUUGCAUCCAACCUAUCUUCCAUAAUUUGUUUGUCUGUUGCAUUGGAUUCCAGAAUUCCUUGGAGUCUGCUGUCUUGCCUGCGUAGCUGUUCUUCCAUGGUCUUCAUUCGAGUUCCAUCUGCCAUUGAGUUAUAGUGAUUUCAGCUUCCUAGUCCAAGGACCGAAAGCUCUGAUACCACUGUUGUGACUGUCCUGACAAGGAACGAAGGUGGAGAUACAGAAGGAAAAAGGGGAAAGAGAGACUUGGGAGAGAAGAUAGAGAAUACAGAGGAGAAAAGGAAUUGAAUUUGGUUGUAUCUUAUUGCUUGCCUUGUAUCUCACCCUUAGGCGUAUUUAUACAGGUUCCAUUCUCUAGAUCCUUCCGUAGCUAUAACAGAAUGCUCAACAGAAAAGAUCCUGCAUGCCUGCAUGCUAUGGAGUAACGAACUAACUAACUCAUUUGAUAUGCCAACUAACUUCUAAAAAAGGAAAUCAUGCCCUCUACAUUCUCUGCUGCAAAUAUCUAGGGAAAUAUCUAACUAUCUAGAGAAAAUAUCUAGGAUCAUUACAAUGUGUAACUAUAGCCCUAUCACUUUUGACUUUCACCAGCUUAAAAUAUCCAUGUGCCACUAGGGAGAGGUUGUCACCUUGCAUGGGGCAGUGAGUGAUGCAACAAUGGAGUUGGUUAGGAGGAAGGACCUCAGAGGAUUUUUGCAAGCCAAGAGGAGGUGUUGUGCUACUUCUGCACAGAUAGGCAAUGUAACUGUAAAAGGAAUACCAGGGUCAAUCACAGCACUAUUGGACAAGUUUCCAGAGGUUUUCCAAGAGCCUACUCAACUACCACCAAACAGGAGUUUGGAUCACCAGAUUCCUGUCCAACCUGGAGCACAGGCAAUCAAAAUGAAACCUUAUAGGUAUCCCCACUCGCAGAAAACAGAAAUUGAGAGACAGAUAGCUGAUAUGUUGAGUUCUGGAAUCAUUAAGCCAAGUAACAGCCCUUAUGCCUCCCCAGUACUACUAGUCAAGAAGAAGGAUAACACUUGGCGUUUCUGCGUGGACUAUAGACACUUAAAUGACUAGACCAUCAAAGACAGAUACCUUAUACCCAACAUUGAGGAACUCUUGGAUGAACUGCAUGGGACCAGAUUCUUUUCAAAAAUUGAUCUCAGGUCAGGAUACCAUCAGAUUAGAGUGAAAUUGGAGGACACACACAAGACUGUCUUUCAAACUCACCAAGGCCAUUAUGAAUUCUUAGUAAUGCCUUUCGGAUUAACAAAUGCACCUGCAACAUUUCAAGCCCUGAUGAACCAGGUGUUUGAGCCUUUUCUGAGGAAGUUUGUCUUGGUGUUCUUUGAUGACAUACUGAUCUAUAGCACUAGUUUGGAACUCCAUCAGGAACACCUGCAACAGGUGUUGGAAGUGCUCAGGAAUCACCAACUAUAUGCCAAGCUCUCUAAGUGUUCCUUUGCUCAGCAAGAGGUAGAGUAUCUGGGUUAUGUGGUCUCUAAUAGAAGGGUACAUAUGGACAUAAACAAGGUGGAUUGUAUUUUGUCCUGGCCUUCCCCUAAGUCUGUGAAAGAACUUAGAGGAUUUUUGGGACUCACAGGGUACUACAGACGUUUUAUUAAGGGAUAUGGAGCAAUCAGCAAACCCCUAACCAAUUUACUCAAGAAGGAUGCCUACAAUUGGAGCACAGAGGCACAAGAGGCCUUUAACCAGCUUAAGAAAGCCAUCAGUAGUGCACCGGUGCUAAGGCUCCCUAACUUUGACAUUCCUUUUGUAGUGAAAACUGAUGCCAGUGGUCAGGGCAUGGGAGCUGUACUACUGCAGGAAGGACAUCCCAUAGCUUUUGUCAGUAAAGCAUUUUCUCUUAAGAAUAUGGGAUUGUCUGUUUAUGAGAAAGAACUAAUGGCAUUGGUUUUGCAGUCACCAAGUGGAAACACUAUCUGGUAGGGAACCACUUCAUUAUCAAGACAGAUCAUAAGUCACUUAAGUUUUUGUUAGAACGGAGAUUAACUACCACUGCACAGUACAAAUGGCUAACCAAGUUGCUGGGCUUGGUUUAUGAGAUUCAAUAUAAGAAGGGCUCUGAGAACACAGUUGCUGAUGUAUUGUCUAGAAGAGUUACCCCUGACUACUUGUCUGAGCAGCAACAACUCAUGGCAAUAACCACAGCUCAGCCUGUAUGGAUGCAAGAACUGUAGGAUAGUUACUUUGCAGACCAACAGUGCCAGAACCUACUGAGUCAGCUACUACUGGACCUUGAACCACAGAAUUCUGAUUUCAGACUCAACCAGGGGGUACUCAAGUAUAAAAGGAGGUUGUAUGUGGGAGAUAGUCAGGAGAUUAAACAGAAGAUAAUCAAAACCAUGCAUGAGUCCCCUAUUAGAGGUCAUUCUGGCCAAAGAGCCUGUGCUCAAAGACUGCAGAGCAUGUUUUAUUGGCUCGGGAUGAAGAGGGACAUUAUUUAUUUUGUGCAGGGAUGUGAGGUGUGCCAGAGGAACAAGAGUGAGCAUGUGCCUUAUCCUGGGCUGUUGCAGCCUCUUCCUAUACCAACUUAGGCUUGGUCACACAUCACCAUGGAUUUCAUAGAGAAGUUACCUAGUUCCAAAGGCUUUGAUACCAUUUUGGUGGUCAUAGACAGACUGACAAAAUUUGGUCACGUUAUAGCCCUUUCACAUCCCUUCUUAGCAGCACAAGUGGCUCAAGUUUUCUUGGACCAUAUCUAUAAGCUACACGGUCUGCCUGAAUCUAUUGUAACAGAUAGAGACAGAAUUUUUACUAGUAAAUUCUGGCAAGAGCUGUUCAAGUUGGCUGGAACUGAGCUACACUAUAGCUCUUCUUACCAUCCUGAGACAGAUGGUCAGAGUGAGAGGCUUAAUCAGUGCCUGGAGGCUUACUUGAGGUGUAUGACAGGUGAAAAUCCAACUCAAUGGAGUCACUGGUUAAGCCUGGCAGAACUUUGGUACAAUACUUCCUACCACACUAGCCUAGGAGCUACCCCAUUUGAGGCUCUCUAUGGCUAUAAGCCACUGUCCCUACCUAUGGGACCUUACUAAGACACUGUGAUACCAGCAGCCACCAAUAUGCUGCAAACUAGAGCUCAAAUGCUGCAGAGGAUUAAGGAGCAUCUGCACCAAGAUGAAGGUGUUUGCUGACAAACACAGGACAGAAAGGCAGUUUGUAGUAGGGGAUUGGGUUUUUCUCAAGUUGCAGCCAUAUCGCCAACAAUCUAUAGCAAUCAGGAAGAGUUUGAAGUUCGCUGCAAAAUUUUAUGGACCUUUUCAAAUCAUAGAGAAGAUCAGUGCUGUGGCUUACAAGCUCCAACUACCAGCAGGAGCCGAAAUCCACCCAGUGUUCCAUGUCUCCCUUCUUAAACCAAAAUUGGGGCCACAUCAAGCUACUAAUCCUAUGCUUCCAGAACUUGACCACCAAGAUCAAUGCUUAUUGCAGCCUGCUGCCAUUCUACAAAGGAGGGUCAUCAUGCAGAAUGGUGCUCCUGUUAUCCAAUACCUCAUCAAGUGGCAUCAACUGGGAGAAGAAGAAGCAUCAUGGGAAGAUCAAUCCUUUAUCAAUAGCCAAUUUCCAAAUUUCCAGCCUUGAGGACAAGGCUGCCUUUAAGGAGAGGGUAUUGUCAGGAAUAGGGACUCAAUUGCAAUUGGACUAGAAGUUGGAGGGGCAUUAGUGUAAAUUGGCAUUGGAGCCAAAAUUGUUAAAAGUUAGUUAUAACCGUCUGCUGAAGGAGUUAGUUAGUCAUUUCCAUUUCUGUACCAGCAAGAUUCUGAUUCAUUAUUGGGGAGGUAUAAAUCGAAGCCAGUGUAAUGGAUUUGGACAAACGAAAAAUAUUACCAUUGAUUCCUUCCCAAUUCUCUCUCUCUCUUUCUCCCUCUUUCUCUCUGCCUCUCUCCUCUGCCUUUCCCUCUCAUUUCUUCUUCUUGUUCAUUCAAACCUUUCCCACGCCUGCUAGUCUCAACCUUUCCUUCAUCCUAUUGCUGAGAGCCUGACAAAGGACCAAUCCUAGGCCGAAUCAGUUGAGGACCCUGGGCCUGAUCCUAUACAGGAUAGCCCCGGAUGGUCCUCCUUGUGCCUAGCUGGGUGGGCUCUACAACUACAAGAGCACCAAGCCAGAUGUUGGACUGGCUCUACGUUCGCCACUAACAUCUUUUAGUAUUUUUAAAGAUUUUUUGCUGUUUUAUUUCUUUAAAUAUUCUUACUGCUCUUAAUUUGCCGAUAUUGUCCUGGAUUAACUUUUUAUACACUAAUGGUAUAAUGGUUUUUUUACACUAGUAACUUUAGAUGUAUAUCAUAUAUAUAUGAUUUAAAUUUCAAAUUUGAAUUUAUAUUAUGUGACAUAAUCCAAACGUACUAAUGUAAAAGAAAAAUUAUACACUGAAAGUAUAUAAAAAAAAAUUAUCCAUAUUCUUCUUUGUGAAAAUGCUAUCCAUUUCACCACUACUUUGAUUGAUACAAUCAAUUAGGAUGCAUUUGAUAAAAUUGAAGUCUAAAAAUUUGAAAUCUGAAAUCUGAAUCCAUUAAGUUAUUGAAUAGUUAAGUAUUAAAUUUGAUACAUUUGAAUAUAUAUCAUAUUAAGUAACAAGUGAAUAACUUAUCACUCAUUUUUGGGACUAAGUUUUGCUUAGAAAAUUCAAUAUCAUAUAAUUAAUUCAGAUGUUCUAUUUUUUAUUAUCAAGUGCAACUGAAUAUAUUAAAAUCUGAAUCCAUUAAGUUUAAGUGCUGAAUUGAAUUAUCAAACAGGGCUUAGUCAAUUUUGUGUUGUUAAAAAGCAAUUUAGCUAAGUUAUACACAAAUACCAUAAUUGUUUGGUUAUGGUUCCUUUUCUAGUAUAGGAAAGUCGUUUUGACCAUUAAUUUUUAGUUAAAUGUUUUGUCUAUUAUGUUGACAUGGAGGUCCUUCUUUUAAUGUUGAAAAGUACUCCUACUUCAUGAAUACGAAAAAUAUUAAUUAUAGGGUAAAUUACUAGUAAUCUCCCUAUGAUUUUGCAUAUUAUCACAUAACUUCUCAAAUUUAUUCGUGUGGUUUUAUGUAAAAUGGUAAACAGCCUCUUUAACAUCUUUAGUUAAAUGCAAACCUUUAAUUAAAUACUAAAUAAAAUGAGGAUUUGACCAGCAUGUAUGACUAUGUUAAUAUAUGUAAAAUUGCAAGAGGUUAAGUGAAUAUUUAUGCAAAUUUAUAGGAGAGCUAAGUGGACACUAUAAUUCCAUCACAUUCAUUUUUGAGCGGGUCUAGGUCAAUAUUAAUCAGAUAUACCUUCGAUUCAUUUUUCACUUUAUAUAAAAUUUUGGACAGUUACGUGAAUAUUUUAAAAUGUUAGCGAGUCAUAUGGCAAGUGAUUUAGUAUCUAUCAUAGUAGCUGCUACUUAUUUGGUUGGUUGUAUGUCCAUGGCAUAAUGCUACAUGUCUCAAAACACCUGUUCGAUAUCGCUUUAGAUAGAACAAUGAUAUAGAUGUAUAAACUUCUGUCUGGGCAUGCAAUCUUACAUCCCAUGUUUCUAUCAUUUUCGCUAACAAAUUGUUCAGUAGGCCAAUUUUCUUUCUUUAGGCCAGUUGCCUAAAAAUCCAGAAAAAUUCCCUGCAGAAUGUUACACAAUACUUUGGAGCUAUUGUUGGCCGGGUUGUUAAUCGGAUUGGUGGUGCUCAGUUCACUCUAAACGGAGUUCAUUAUAAGCUUGAUACUAAUGAGAAACCAAACAUGCUUCAUGGUAAUUUACUCCUAGCUAUAACACAUGUAAAUUUGAGUCAUCAACUUUAACCACUGACUCUGUCUGUGGAUGCUAUGUAUCGUGAGGGAAACAGGUGGUAGAAAAGGAUUUAGCCUGCUCACUUGGAAGGUGGAGAAAUACGUGAAAGAUAAGGCCAAUCCUUUCAUUGUAUUGUCCUAUUACAGUCCUGAUGGAGAAGAAGGAUUCCCUGGAAAUCUCCUGGUUAGAGUGACCUAUGCUCUACUUGAACCAUAUAAGCUGAGCGUAGUAAUGGAAGCGGAAGCCCUGAACAAGGCUACUCCUGUGAAUCUAGCACAACACAGUUACUGGAAUCUUGGAGGCCAUAACAGUGGUGAGUUUUUUUUUUUUUUUUUUUUUUUUGUUUUUUUUCUCCCCCUCCCCCGCCACCCCUCUUCUCCCUCUCCCCUUCCCCUCCCUUCCCCCGCCACCCAUUUCCUCCCCUCUCCCACGGCACCCCCUCUGCCCGCCACCCCUCUCCUCCCCUCUCCCACGGCACCCCCUCUGCCCGCCACCCCUCUCCCCUCUCCCCAUCCCCCUUCUCUCUCCCGCCUCUGCAAAAGAAGACCGGCAUCUGAAAAUUUUUUUUUUUUUUUGCAAUUUUCCUUCUCCCCCUCUACUCCCCUUCCCCCGCCACCCUCACCCUCCCUCAGUGCAAUCUGGUCUUGCGACUAGAUCGGCCAAAGGGGAAGGGGAAGGGUGGUGGGGGAGGAGUGGGGGAGAGGGAAAGGGAGAAAAAAAAGAGAGAGAGGAUCAAAAUCGGGCAAAGUGGGAGGAUGGAAGGGGAGGAAGAGGGGGAGAGGGAGAAAGGAAAAAAAAAAAACGAAGAUAGGCACCGGAAGAGGUGAUUGGCGGCGGAGGUGGUGGCUGGCGACGGAGGUGGUGGUGGGUCGGGGUGGGGGAGGAAGAAGAAGAAAAGGGGAAGGGAAUUUUGGAUUUUUUGUGUUUUGGAUAUUUUAAAGUGUGUAGGUUAAAACUUUGAUAAGUUUUUGGGGUUUCUGUAGUAAAAGUUGUUAAAAAACUAGUAUCAUACAAACUUGGCAAAAAAUCAAGGUUCCAAACAGGCCCUUUAUUCUCUAAAGAAUCUUGUCUCUUUCUCCGUAUACCCAUUCUAGUUUAGUUUGUUUAUUUUCGGGCUAUUCUUUUUGUUUUGUCACACCAUUACAUUUAUGAUACUCACUUUUUCUAUAUAAAAGAUUUUAGUCCAUGAAAUUUGAACUAAGGGCAGAAAAUACAUCGAAUAUAUCACAAAUAUAAUAAAAUUGAAAAUUCACUAUAUUAGAUCCAGAAAAUGAUAAAAAUUACAACGUGAAACUCCAAUAUAUUCUAAAUCUAAAAAAUUCAUGAGCAAUGCAAUGAAUAUUACUGCAUGUUAGCGCCAUCAAAUUUGCUAUCCAACUAGUUUAAUCUCAAAUUUGAUGUUAAGAUAUGAUGGAGGAACCCAAGAAAUCCCACAUUUGAGAUGCAAAUCUGAAAAAAAAAAAUCUUUAAAUCUAAUAAAGAAAUGAUAAAAAUUAAAGAGAAAACUCUGACUAAAAUAUCAGGAGAAAAGAGAACUCUUAUUGAAUUACUCUAGAAGAUAGAAAAACUCUCACUAGUAAAUAUUAGGAGAGAAAAACUCUCAUAUGAUACUCUAGGAAAGACUUAUUGAAUAUAAAACAAGAGCAAAGGAAAUGAGACUCUAAUUUGAAAUCUCCCACCCACAAAAGAAAAACUAUUGAAUGGGUUUUUCAAGAGAAGGUAGAGAAUAUUUUGACUAUAGUUAUUUUCAAGAUAUGAAGGUGUACAAGUGGUGUUUAAUUUUAUGACUUGGGGGAAAGCCCACACGACAUGCAGGAGAUUAAAGCCCGUCGUUGAAGGUUGUUGGUAAUUAUCGUUUUAAGUUUUGUGUUACUGACUUUACACAUAGGAUGAGAAAAGUUGAAAAGUUGAAAGUUUAUAAUAUGAGACGAUGGGAUUAUUAGUUUAUGAUAGUGGAGAAGUCUGUUGCAUUGGAGACGUGUAUUUUCUAUGCAGUUUAAAGAGAUUUGUCAAAAAAUUCUAUGUCUAUGUCAUAAAUGGUUGCUUCAAUAUUUUACCCCUGCACAUUUUGAUAUAUAAUGCAUAAGAAUAUUCUUUAACAAUAGCAAAUUGUUAUAGUAAAAAUGAAGAAAACUAUGUCGAAAGGAAUUUGAGAAUUGAUUACCUGAGUAUUGACGAACACUAAUUUUUGAUGGCGUCUUCCAUCUUUUGAGAAUCAUGGUGUGUGUUUUUUGAUCACUUCAACAAAUAAUGGUCCAAUUUCAAGUUUAAUGUUGUAUCAUUGAUAACUGGUUCAAGUUCGUGCUCCUUUUUUUGAAGACACUUGAAUUUUGUUUUGUGCGAUUUAUAAGUGAUUAUAAAGAAUACAAAAAUGGAAAAACCAAAGUUAUUAAACUUUUUUCUUUUACCUUGUUUGCAUUUUUUGUGCAUGGAUCCAAAAAUAUUGAAAGGGCAAGUGGCAAACAAGAAGCUUGGGAGUUCAUGAAGCAAAGAAUUAAUCGUGACCUAUCAUUACAAUAGAAGAGGAAGGGAAGAUUAUUGAAAAGUGAGGAGUUAAAAAUAAAAUUCAACUAGAGGAAGGAAGAUCUAACAAAGACUGAUCUACAAGGUAUGGAAAAAGGUCUUACAAGAAUAUGUAUAAUUUUGUAUUACAUAGUAUGAGUUACUACAUUUUGCAACUAUGAAAUUUACAAUUGAACUGAACUAGAAGUAUGGUAGCAUAGUUAUCUGAAAUUUGAUUUGAAGAUGGGCCUUGGCGAGAUUACAAGUAGUUGAUAUUUAACUUUGUAAAGCAUUAGCUGUAGGCAAGGAAUUGAGGUGAAAGUAGUGGAUGUGGCUAACGAAAGUGGGAGACUUUAAAAGAGUAAGAAGAAAGGUGUGGCAUUGAUAAGUAGUAGAAAAAAACUGAAAAAUGAGGAAGGAAAAUGGAUUAGUGGUGAUUAAGUAGAAAGAAGUAUUAGUUACACAAUAAUGAAUUGAUUUGAUUAUGGUUGAGCAUUGACAUUAUUAUAGAUGUGGCAUUUUAAUACAAUUGAUGAAACGGAAGAAUGGAAAGAAUGGUUUAGGAAAACUAAAUCAAUUGUCCUUAUGUUAUAUAGGUUUUUUGGAUCUAACUAUUUGAAAUCACCUAUUAAUGGAAUACGUAAAAAAUUAGAAGCGGCUAAAACUGAUUCCUCAUACAUCAAAAAGCACUUUAAUAACAAUUGAUAAAACCUCCUGCUUCUCAAGCAUUUUUAAGGCCUUUGAUGGGCUUUUAAGACAACACACCAAAAAUAAAGCUCCAUGACUUGCAUCCACUACCAAAAAGACGAUUAAAAUAAACUCAUAUAUCCAAAAUGCUCAUAAGCCAAAAAUAAUGUAAGGACAUUUACAAAACAACAACAAAGCCAACGCUGCCAAAUCUUGUACCUAAAGCUCAACCUUCACUCCAAAUAAUUCCACAUUUCCAAAAUACCCCACCCAUACAGUGCUCUUUUGACCAAAACUCAUUCUUAUAUUAUAUAAAAAGAUAAGGAUACCUACUUAAUUAUGGUUAGUUGCAUUUCAACUCUAAGGGAAGCAACUAAAAUUGUAGUACUUGUUCUUUGCUCUUUCAUAUUUUUAGAUAUAUUACUAGUAAUCCAUAUUGGUAGGAUCAAUACAUAUGGAAUAUAAAUAGAGUAAUAACUCACAAAUAAUGCGAUAAAAAUUAACAUGAACUCCUUUGCGUUUUCUAUACACAUCAAAUUGUUGACAUGAAUUUAAACAUAGGUCCUUUUGUUGAGUUUGAUAUUAACAACUCAAUUUAGAAAUUUGAAUUAAAUGAUUUGGGAUAAUAAUUAAUGCCAAAAAACACAAAGCCAAUUAACUGUCCAAGGAAAUAUUAUGGCUUAAAGUGUCAUAGAGAAGCCAGACAAACCUCAAGGAUAUAGUUGUAAUUUAAUAAAUUUUUUAUUCACUGCUUAUAGUAAAUAUAGUAUUUAUAUAUUCAGGGAAGACUAGAGUGCCAAAAGCGUAGUUAGUAAAAUGUGGGAUGGGUAUAAUACGAAAUUUAAUAUGUACCUAUAUUAUACGGAUUUUUUUUUUCAAAAGUAUGAUUAAAAGCUCGACGUAAAAAUAUGAGUUUGGAAAAAUUAUGUAUAUGAAUUUGAACAUGCAUAAUAAGAAUAUUUUUAGAAGUUACAAACAAAAAUUCAGAUAACUCUUACGAUUUUCAAAUAUUAUGCUACAUUUAUAUCACUUUUAACUCUUAUUCUUGUUUAUUGGAUAUUUAAAUUUAUUAAAACUUUAUUAUCUUAAUAUGUUUAUAUCUUUAAACCUUUACAAAUUUUGAUAUAAUAUAGGUGUUAUAUUAUAUAUAAAUGGAAAGAUAUGUCAUUAUUUUUCCACAAAUUUUAAUUCGAGAAGUAUAAUAUGCCAAAAAUUUAUUAUAUUAUGUGAAAAAUAAGAGCAUUUUUCAGAAUAUUUUAAAAUAUACAAAAUAUGAAAACUUUUUGAAAUUAUACGUGAUAUAAUACAAUUACUUACUACUCAAUAGCCUGAAAGUGAAGGUCAACAGGUUGGCUGUGGUCAUUUAAAGAUGACUUGGACCGUGUCUAAAUUUAUCAAAAAACCAACAGCAGUCAUGGUAACGUCAGCAAAAUGAAGUCAAUCACAAACCCACCAACGAGUAAUCAACAAAUGUUUUGUUAAGUAUAGUUUUCUUCUUUUGUUGAUUUUGAUGCAUAAUUGAGAAAUUAAGAUAAAUUUGACCAUAUGGUGACUCCUAGACAAUGUACUUUGUAGCCAAGUCUAUUCAAAAAGGGUUGUCAAAUAGUUUUUAUUUAUUUUUUUCGACUGAAUUUCCAUGAUCUGCAGAGAAUAAUCAUUAAAAAUAGCUUUACCAAAUGCUCAACCGGCUCAAACCUUUCUCGAUCAAAUCUAAUUUGAAUACAUAAAAUAGAUGCCAAAAAGAAAAAGAAACCAAUGGAAUUUCAUGCUACAACAACAACUGAAGUUGACUAAGUUCUUUGCCUUUAGUUACAUAAUCAUUAGCUAGACGCUAUGCCUCUGGCUCGAACAUACAGCAUUGAGGCCUAAAAUAUUACUCGGUUCAACUUUGAUUGUGAUAAUUUACCAUGCAUAUGACUCUUCGUCUUCUUAAAUAUUCUUUUGGUAUUUAAUCAAACGCCAACAGAGGUAACUUACACGGUUACACCCGAAUACUCUCAUAUUGCUGGGAAAUGGCAGGCUUAAUUGGGACAUGUGAAAAUUUGAAGCAGAAAACCUGCUUCUAGAACAGUGAACUAUUGCAUCUUCUAGGGCGUGCUUCCAGUGCAAGUUGUGGGAGUUUUGGUGCUAUGAAUUCAGUGUGGUUGACUAUGAAUCUGUUGUAGACUUAGUUUUUCUUAGUGCAACAAAAGAAGCAAUAGAUACUUUUUAAGUUAGACUUUUUUUCCUUUCCAAAAUUAUGUGAGAUUAUUAGGUGGAAUAAGUAUACGUGAUAUGAUAAGAAUUUGUGUAGCCAAAAAGUAGGAAGAGAUUCAGAUUGAAAUUGAAAGUUUCACUAGUUUUAACGAAGGUUAUGAGGUACAUACUUGGACACAAUGAUUUUGACCCUUUGAUAUCAAAUUAAUACAUUUGUGUAUUAUCCAGAUGUUUAAUGAGGGAAUUCGAGAAAAACUAUACUUGGGAGGAGGCCAAUCCCUCCUUACAACUCCUUGACUAAUUCAUCACUUUCUCCCUUAACCUUUAUCAAUUUGUCAAUUGACUAAUGGGUUUUAUUAUCUCUAAAUUAUUUAGAAAUUUCAAAAUCUCUUACUAACUUCAUGUUUCUUAUCACCAAAUUAUUUUUAAAUUGCUUAUCUACGUAGUAAUUUAAUUCUUUUAUGACUUUCCAAUACUUUUUCAUAAAUUUACAAUUAUUUCUAUGUUUAUAAUAUUAGCUAAAGGUAGUUCUCCUAUUUGUUUUUUCUUUUUCUUUUUGCGUCAUUUUUGGUACAAUGUAAUUGUCUUCUUUGCUUUUGGAUUUGCUGUGAUUGUGAAAAUAGAUUUAUUCAAUAUAUAUUGCAUUGUUGUUUCAAAUUUUAAGUUAUUUUCAUUGAUGAAUCAAAGUAUUCUAACACAUUGAUGAACUGCAUGUGGAUUCAGAUGAUUCAUUUUAAGUGUUCAUAUGAUAAUAAAAAUGACAUAUUGAUUAUUUAUGACAUAUUUGUGAUAUCACCGCGUCAAUACGGACUUGACAACCGUUCGUCUUACUAUUAAAUUAGUGAUCAUUAAUGCAGUAACAUUUCCAGUUCGAUGAAUGAGUUCGAUUUUAAAAUUUUGGUCCUACAGGAAUUUACUAAAACCGAAGGUUUGAAUCUGAUUGAUCUCCCAUUUAUAAACUAUUUGUUAUCAAGGAUUAAAGAGCACAAGGCAUUUGCAAUCUGGAAACUUUAAGUAAAGCAGCUCUUCCAAAAGCAGUUGUGCUAGAGGCAUAUGGCAAAAUCUUGUAGCUAGAGGACUCUGAUCUCGCUUCUCAUCUUGUGGUCUGGUUGUAGAAUUGGUGCAUUUGGUUCAUCAUGCUACCAAGGAGCAUACCAAUUCUAACCUCAUAUGGAAAGUUUGAGAUCUCUUAGGCCAAAAUUGAGGAGUGCAAAUCAUGGCAUUUUUGGCGAGAAUACAAUUCCUGUGCUGGUUUUUUUUUUUAAAUAUCAGUCUUAGGGUGCGAUUGAUAAAACUGAAAUUUGAAAACUGAAGUCUGAAAUCUAAAAUUUGAAGUCUAAAUCCAUCAGAUCAUUGAAUUGUUAAAUAUUAAAUCUAAAAUAUUUGAGUACAUAUCACAUUCAGUGAUAAAUAAAUAACUUAUUACUUAAUUUUGAGAGUAAGUUUUGCCUAGAAAAUUUAGUGUCACUUAAUUAAUUCAGAUGUUCAAUUUUUGGUUAUCAAAUUGUUAAAAUUUGUUAAAAUUUGAAUUCAUUAAGCUUAUCUGCUGAACUUGUUUAUCAAACAGGGCCUUGGUGUUACACCGGCGAGAGUACAAUUCUCGCGCUGAUUAUUUUUUUUUUAAAUAUCAGUCUCAAUGUGCAACUUGGUGUUACUCUUUUCUCAGAUCCACCUGGUGCUGUUAAGUCGUCCUUGUCAUUCAAUGCAAUGAGUGCAACUCAGUCACAACUCACAAGUAGUCUUAUAAUUGCGACUCCGGCCUUCCUCUUACUAAAAAGAAAACAGGAUCGAUCUCCCAUUUAUUGCAGAAUGUAUGUUUAACUUAAUUCAGAUCAAAUGGACAGUCAUUGGUUUGCAUAUAAGCAAGUACAUUCAGUCAUUCAUACAUACAUACAUAUAUAUAUAUAUAUAUAUAUAUAUAUAUAUAUAUAUAUGUGAAAAAGAUCACUUGUUUCAAAUUACCAUAAUUACCUAUUCAGUAAUAAUAACAACUGGGAAGCAAUGGAUUUGCUCAUGUUUAAAAAUAGUCUUCAUGCUUGGACAUCCAUAUCAACAGCGAUAAUAUAUAUCUCUGCCGUCUCAAAUACAUUCUUUUCAUCAACAACUGCAUUUCAAAAAUAGCCCACUUAAAUACAUUCUUUUCGUCUAUAACUGCACUAAAAAAAUACAAGACAAGCUAAAGGAGUUUACUUGGAACAAAGUCCAAGUUAUGGACUAGUUAAAAUAUGAACUUUGAAAUACAAGGAGAUUAAAAAAUCAGAUCAAAGACUAUUAAGAUUGAAGACAAUGUCAUAGAAUUAUCAUUAUCAUUACUAUUUAAAAAAUAUGAUGUGUUUAUACAAUUAGAAUGUGUAAUAAACUUUUAAUUGCUUUGUGUAAAUAAAUAUUUUGUACAACUACCAACUGCUUAAUAUUGCUCAUUAUAUAGUUUCUCAGUUUAUAUUAUGCCAAUAAUCAAAGUUUUACAAAGAACUUUAUUAUAUUAAAUGUUUUUAUAUCUUAAAAAAAUAUGUUCACGUGCACAGCACAUGAAUUAUUAAGGAGAUCAAAGACUAGAAACAGUGUCGUAGACUAUUAAGACUAAAGGCAAUGUCACCGCCAAAAGGUGGUGUGUUCGAAUCUCGCUACUGCUUCAAAAUUGUGCUGGUGAGGUAUUUGUAAGAACCGCUCCAAGUAGCCUAUAAUCACAAAGGCAUACAUUGACUCGUGGUGGUAAUGAAUCCAUUCAAACAUUAAUUUACCCAAAAUUACAAUUAUUACUUUCAGGAUGACAAAAUUACAAAAUAUUUCCAAAAUCUUGAUUUGCUCCAUGUAUUGUUAGGUUUGGUCCAGAAAAUUGACGAAUGGGUUUUUGGCAACCCGAAAUACAAAUUACAAUAUAAAUAACAAAGCAAAAAUAAAUAAAAUAGAGAUAAAAAUUUAUGUGGUUCCAUCAAAUGACCUACUUCCACGGGGAAGUUUGAUACUUAACUCAAAAACCUGCAUAAGGCCCCGAAAACCUUUGGCAUACUUAAACUCACUUAAUCCAAUAUAUUUAUAACUACUAAAUAGAAAGACUUAUUUGUAAAACUCCCUAUGUGAAAUAUAAAGACAAACUCAACAAGUACGCAGGGUUUAUUCUUACAAAGAAUACAUCUGCAUCAUAUCAUCUUUUGCUGAUGCUUGAUUGUGCUAUGUAGGGGGGAAAAAGUAAGGCACUGCAUUCUGCAUUUAAUAGCUAGGAAGAUACUUGCAAAAAAAAAAAAAAAAAAAAAUCAUCCAACUUCUACAUAUCUGAUGCAUCUAUUAAUUUAACAAGAAAAGAAAUGGAAAAGAGAAUCACACGGCCACGGUUAAUCACAAGAAGUCACUUAGAUGGUUCACAAGCUGACAUCGACCUGGAAAUAAGGAGCAUUGUUGGCCUACAUUGAGGAUCAGCAUGUAGACAUUCUCUUGCUAGUUUGAGAAUGGACAUUAGGAUCUUUUCAAUUUCUUGAUUGGGAUACAGAAGUCUUUGGUCGAGCAAGUCUUUUAGUUCUAUAUCUUCAGGGUUUGAAGACAUUAGAUUAGCAAUCAAGUCUCCAGGAUGCUUUCCUUUGAUUACUUCCAUCGUCAGGACCCCAAAGCUAUAAACAUCACAUUUUUCAUCAACUUUCAUUGUGUAGGCAAAUUCUACAAGAUAAAGUUGGAAGAUCAUGAUAUGUGAUCAUAUUUGAAUUUACUAGUUAACAAAUUAAUGAAAGGAAAGAAAAGAAAAAAAACCUUUAUAAUUACCUGGUGCAACAUAUCCAUAGGUGCCUGCAAGAGAACUCCAAUUAGAUGAGUCUUUUUUCAGAAACUUGGAAGUGCCAAAAUCUGAAAUGUGAGCCUCAUAUUCUGGAUCAAGCAAAAUGUUUUUGCUUGAUAUGUCCCGAUGUACAAUCACUAGUGAACAAUCAUGAUGCAUGUAAGACAAAGCAUGAGCGAUGCCUUUAAUGAUUUUCAACCUCUUUUGCCAGUCUAGCACCUUAGCUUCUUCUUCUAUGCUCAAGAUUUUGGCCAAGCUUCCUCUUUCAAGGUGCUCAUAAACCAAAAUCGAAUGCUGAGCAUUUGAGCAGAAGCCAAAGAGUUUCACAAUGUUUCGAUGCUUGAUUUCUGUCAAAGCCCUGAUCUCAUUCAAGAAAUUUCUAUCCUUUGCCACAUUAGGCAUGUUGUGAAGUCUUUUUACAGCUACUACAUCGCCUGAUGGAAGCUGUGCUCUGUAAACACUUCCAUAACCUCCUUUCCCAAUGCAAAAUAUUUCACUAAACUCUUCCGUAGACCUCACUAUUUCUUUAUACAAUGCCUUGGCAUCAUGAGCACAGAUGGCAAAUAAAUUGCCCAUCUUCACCUCCAUAACUUCCGCUCUUGAAUUCCUUUUCCUUUGAUCAUGCAAUCUGAGAACUCCAAAGAAUGCACCAAGACGCAUGAAUGAUCCCAGAAGAGGUAAUACAAUUACGAGAACAAGUUCCUUCCUUUUAUUCAUGCCAUGCUUUUUACUCAAUGGGGAACUUUCACAGGCUUGUAACCCGGUAAUAUUGCCACACAAACCUUUAUUUCCCUUUACUUCUUCUAAGGUUAGAUUCGCAAAGGCUCUACCACUCGGAAUUGGACCCUCCAAAUUAUUAAACGAAAGAUUAAUGUGACAUAAACCGGGCAGUGCUGCCAAAGUUUUCGGGAUCAAACCAGAGAGGUUAUUAUGGGAGAGAUCCAACAUCCCCAGACUCUGUAAACUUUGAAGCUCGGAUGGUAUCUCUCCUAUGAAGAAAUCUUGACUCAAAUCCAAUUCAGAAAGUUGGGUUAACUUCCCAAUUUGGGGUGGAAUCUUCUGACUUAACAUUGUUGCUCAAGUUCAUGUCAUGAAACAAGUGUUUCAAAUCUCCCAGAAGUUUUGGUAAAUUUCCACUCAAGGAGUUUGUGGACAGGUCAAGAAAUUCCACUAGCCCUCCCAAUUCCUGAGGUAUACCACCAAGAAAUUGGUUGUCAUGUAAAUCUAGUUUAAGCAUAGAAGCUAACUUUGCAACUGCCCUUGGUAUCUCCCCUGAUAAAUAAUUUGAAGAAAGAUUAAGUGCACGUAGUUGUGUUAAAUUUCCAAUUUCUGGAGGUAUACCACCUGUGAUGUUGUUCUUUGCAACCAUCAGGGUCGUCAAAAGUUUGCAUUUGCCCCAAUUGCUGGAGAGUUCUCCGUAGAAUUCAUUGUUGCUGAGAUCUAUGAAAUUCAGGAAUGGAUAGAUUCCAAACAUUUCUGACAAGUUUCCGUGGAAAUGGUUACCAUUGAAACUGGCCCUAACUAAGCUUGAGCAGUUUCGCAAGCUUCUAGGGAUUGGACCUGAAAGCAUGUUCCCAGAUACAGCAAUAAAUUGGAGUGUUGCAUUUUGACAUAGUAGUUCUGGCAAUGGACCAGAGAACUGAUUUUGAGCCAAUAACAUAAAAGCCAACUUUUUCAAGUUUCUUAGCUCUUCUGGAACGGUACCAGAAAUUUGGUUAUCUCUUAGCUGCAAUCUUCUUAAGCUGCUCAAGUUACCAAUUGCAACAGGAAUGGGACCAUUAAGUUGGUUCUCACCUAUUCCCAUAUCGAUAAGGAAUUUCAGAUCACCCAGUUCCUUUGGAAUUGAACCCGAAAGCUGAUUGUAAUAGAGAUAUAGUUGAAUUAAAUUAGUUAAAUUUCCGAGUGACUUUGGGAUGGCGCCAGUAAGAUUAUUCUGACUCAGAAAAAGAAACUGAAGUGAGAUCAAAUUCCCAAAUUCACUAGGAAUGGGACCAGAUAGGUGAUUUUGGAAAAGACUUAGAUUCACCAAUCUAUUGAGGUUACCAAAAGUGGUUGGAAUUGAACCAGAAAAUUGAUUCGUUUGGAGAGACAAAUAUUCCAAGUUGCUCAAGUUACCAAUUGAAACAGGAAUGGAACCACUGAGUUGGUUUUCACUUAUCGCUAUAUCCAUAAGGCAUUUCAGAUCACCCAGUUCCUUUGGGAUUGAACCCGAAAAUUGAUUGUAAUAAAGAUACAGCUGAAUUAAAUUGGUUAAAUUUCCUAGUGACUUUGGGAUUGCACCAGUAAGAUUAUUUUGAAACAAUAAAAGAAAUUGAAGUGAGAUCAGAUUCCCGACUUCACUAGGAAUGGGACCAGAUAGGUAAUUUUGAUAGAUACUUAGAUUCACUAGUCUAUUAAGAUUACCAAAAGUCGAUGGAAUUGAACCAGAAAACUGAUUCGUUUGGAGAGACAAAGAUUCCAAGUUACUCAAGUUACCAAUUGAAAUAGGAAUGGAACCAAUAAGUUGGUUCUCACCUACUUCCAUCUUGGUAAGGAAUUUUAGAUUACCCAAUUCCUUUGGAAUUGAGCCCGAAAGUUGAUUGUCAUUGAGAUGCAGUUUAAUUAAAUUGGUUAAAUUGCCUAGUGAUUUUGGGAUUGCACCAAUGAGAUUAUUUUGAUUUAAAAUAAGAAACUGAAGUGAUGUCAAAUUCCCGAUCACACUGGAAAUGGGACCAGAUAGGUGAUUUUGGAAAAGGCUUAACUCUACUAGCCUGUUGAGGUCACAAAAACUGGCUGGAAUUGAACCUGUUAAAUUGUUGUCCUCGAGAUAAACUUCAAUGAGAUUAUGUAGAGUUCCUAAUCCUGUUGGAAUUGGACCUGAAAGUCGAUUACUUGCAAGAUCCAAAUGAGUCAAGCUUCUCAAGUUGCAAAUUUCAGAUGGGAUUUCUUGUGACAAUUCAUUUACUGAAAAAUCAAGAUAAAUGAGCUUCGCCAGGCUACCUAUCUGUUUAGGUAUGCAACCAAAGAUCUGAUUAUGGCUGAGAUCAAGAUACUCAAGAUUUGGGAGGGAUGAAAAUGGGAAAUCAAAGAGGCUACCUUUAAUACUCCAAGCUGAGAGGUUCAACCUGUUGACACCUCCAACAACGCAGGAAAUACCGGCACAAGUGCAUGGAAGGCUAGAAGAAUUCUUGGCAAUGAUAGAUUGAAGGUUCCAUGAGGUCAGAAAGCUAUUGUUCUGAUUUUGAAAACUGGCUUUCCAUUUCAAAAGAGCUAAAGCCUCUUCAGCAUAAGCUGAAGCUCCACAUUUGGGGUGAAAUGAUGGGAAAAGUAAGACCAGAAGGAAUAAGGAGAUCAUUUUGAAAGAACUCAUGAUUACAUUCAAGUUUAACUCAAGUUGGCUCACGUUGUUACGCUGUACCCCAAAUGAAGCCAGUAUUUAUCCUAACUGUACACGGAAGACUUCAGAGGUCUUCUUGCUCGGUUCCCUCUUCUUUAUUUUCAUUGAAUCUUGACAUUGAAACACAUAAGAUGUCUAUUACAAUGGGCCAAGAAAUUUAAAGCAAUGAAGUCUUUCCACGAGAUUGACUAUUUUGAUCUUCUAUCAGUAAUUUUUCCUACUGAAUCUACAGAAUAAUGUGACUCGAGUACCUUUGGAGAAGGAGUUGAGAUCACCUGAUUCCUAAAUAAUGAUGAACCUAUAGGCUGAGCAAGUUAUGUUAUAGUUCUAGCCCCGUUUGACAAAAGAGUUUUUUGGAUGUUUAUCUAAAAUUUUAUUGUAACUUACUAUAGAGGUUGUAGAAAAAAUUCUUCAAGUGUAUAAAAUUUUAAAUAUUUUGAAAUGUAUAAUUUAAAAACUUUGAAAAGAUUUUAAGGUUACUAUAACUAAAAUUGUUAAAAAACUUGUAGCAGACAAACUUGGUCAAAAACUUAUUUGCCAAACAGACCCUAUUUUCUGGAUAUGGAUUAUACAAAGCUAUUUGACAGUAUAUUUCACAAAAUGCAAGAGAAGUCAGAAAUUGCCGAAAGCUAUUUUUGCCAAUUGUAUAGGAAGAUUUAGUUGGUCGUAGCACUUGACAAAAAAGGAUAUGGCUGGCAUCGGCACUCUAGGACAAAUUAUAUAUAACCGCUCGUAGUUUUGUAUAUUACGAUAUAACUCCUCUGAAGUUUUAAAAUAGCUUUAUAACUUCCUUAUAUAACCCGCUUAUGUAUAAGAAUAAUAUUAUAAGAUAAGAAUCAAGUAAAAAUAUCGUAGGAUACAAUAGCUAUGCUUGUUUUUUACUGCCUCCGUCUCAAUAUGUUUUUAUCGCUCUUUGACAAUCCAACUUUUUAAAAAUAGUGUUUUGAUUAUGAUGUUAUAUUUUUCUUUCUAAUUUUAUCUCCGAAUUUCAGAUUUUGAAUUUGAAUAUACAAUGUGUAUGAAUAAAAAAAUGGACAAUAUCGGGAAUAAAAAUAUAAAAUAAUUUUGACUUUUGUAACAUGAGAAACAUUUUGGAACAAAUGGAGUAACAAAUUUGAGACUGGGAUCUUGUUGCCAAAGGUCCCAAUGAAUACUAAGUCAAAAUGAGGGCCUACCUUAGUCUGUUAAGGCUUGAUGAUGAAACUUUCGUGAGCAAUUAACUAUUUUUCUUUAGGGUAAGCAAUAAAAAAAAUCCCUGUGGUAUAGCUAAAAGCUUCUUGUAGUUUCAAAUCAUACGUGUUGGUACCUUAUAGUUUGAAAUAAUUUGAAACAUUGACGAAAAUCACUAAAACAAACAAUUUUGAGUGAAAUGACAGAAAUGCCCUAAUAAUAAAAGCAAAAAAUAGUCUAAAACAAAUGGUUUUGAUUCAUUAGUUUCAUUCACUAAUAAUAUAAGCAAAAAAUGUCGAUUUCUACAAGUUCGAAGCAAAUUUGAAGAAGAAUCAUGGUUGUUUUAUUAAGGUAUGAGGAGCAAAAUAGGUAUUUCAGAUAAAAAUUUGCCUUAAAAAACUAUUUUUUGGAAGAACCAUAUGCAUUUCCAGUGCGUUUACGUCAAACGCAUUAAAUUUAACGAUUUCCGUUGAUUUUUCACUUUACUUCAAACCAUGAGGUACCAAUGUGUAUGGUUUGAAAUCAUAGGGGGCUUUUUUCUAAGAUAGCUAUACUACAGGAGGCUUUUUUGUUGUUUAUCCUUUUCUUUAAAAUCCUACAAAUUGUAUAAGACACAACAUGCAAGAAAAUACAAGGAAAUACACAAAAUUGCUACACUAAUGAAAAAAUAACACUAACAAAAUUGCUACAGUAAUUUUUCCUACUAGCCAAAUAUGCAUGAAGAAAAAAUAACUAAUUUUUCUUCACUUUCCUCCACUUUUCCUUGCAACCAAACACUAUCCAAGAUUUUGAAAUUCUUCUUGACAUUGGAGUUUGGGUAAAUGAGCCUAAUCGAUCCGACUAUUUUAAUAUUUAAAUUUGUUUUAUUAUUUUAUCAGAUUUGAAAUUGUGUUUAACCUUAAUUUGUUUAUUUAUCACUUCAAACUUAAGCAAACUUUUAUCGAAUCAAAUUUAAAUCGAGCUACUUUGAGUUAAGUUCAAGCAGUUUGAACCUUCUAAAUGUAAGUUUCACUUUUAUACUAAAUAGUAUGGGAGUAUGUGCGUUGCACGCUAUAGGUGUUAUGUUUAUAUGAUACUUGUUCAAAUAUUCAUUCUCGUAAGAUUAAUUAAAAAAAAAUUAACUGUUUAAAAAGUGUUGCAUCGAUAACAAUCUUCUCGUUUAAUGACACAUAUAAAAGACUUUUGUAGGUUUUAACAAAACUUAAUUAAUUGUAUGUCUUGAUAAAAAUCUUAGACAAAAAAAUAGAAGUAAUUUGGAAAAUAAAAGAAAAAGAAUUUAUUGAAGGAAAAAAUUCAUUAUUUCCAUGCCAAUUAACAUGCAUGUCGAGUUUCUUAUUGUUUAAAUAUUUUGAUUACCAAUGGCAUCAUUUAAAUAUUUUGUUCCAGGAUUACCAGGCAUGUCUAACUAAAUCUUAAGUGUGACUUGGAAUACAUAUUAGAAUCAUGCUUCCUUUUGACCUCUGAGUAAUUUUAUAACAAAUUGAAAGAUGUUAAAAUAAAAAUUACAGUGAUACUGGUUUUUUUGGCAUCAUUAUAUUUUGCGAUACUGGUUUCUUUGACAUCAUUAUAUUUUGUUAAUUAAGGUUAGUUUCACAUGAACUCUAAUUAAUGCUAUUACACUUCAUUUUACUUGUACUUAUAAUUUACUACCAAAUUCUUGGCAUGAAUUUAAAGGUAUAAUCGACUUGGGCUUCUCGUCUUCCGUUCUAUUUCCUUUUCUUGAGUUUAAUGUCAACAGACCAACGUUAAAAACUUCAACGAAUUGAUUUUUGGGUAGUAAUUAGCACUUGGGAUCCUCGGUGACAUGUUUUCUAUGUCAAUCCAAUGCCACCAAUAGUGUUGCGCCAAGUGUCAUAUUAUUAUUUAUAUUUGUGCUAAACCAAGCCAAGUUGAAUUAUUAGAAAAUUAAAGUGUAAUUAAUAACAAGACACUUGGCGCAACACUAUUGAUGGCAUUGAAUUGGCAUAGAAAACAUGUCACCGAGGAUCCCAAGUGAGUAAUUAGUGCCAAAAACUCAAAGGCUAACUGUCAAAAGAAAAUUUUAGAGCAUAAAUUAGAAUUGUAAUCUAAUCUUAUAUUAUAAAAUUUAUAGCUACGAUAGUUAAGAAAGACCGUUCUGACAGUGAAGUUCAUCAGGUUAUUUGCGGUCAGUAUAGGCCAUUUUAAAUAUGACUUGGACAGCGCUAAAUUUUCAAGUACCAAGGCCUAUGUCUUGACAACCUUAGCAAAAUGAAGGAAAUUCUAAAUCCACCAACGAUGAUCAAUAGUAUAUAUGACUAUUGGAUGAAUCCUAGAGAAUGUAUUUUGAAGCAAAAUCUAUUCAAAUGAGUUACGAGAUGUGAAGACCCCACCUCCCCACGGAACGAAUCCAAGAGUUUGGCAGAUCGCCUGUCCAACUUUCGUCGGAACUCACUCGCUAGCAUUCUUAAAAAAGGUUAUUUACGCUUCUAAAUUUAUAUAGGAGGUUCCCAAAGCAACCAUAAUUCAAACUUCGUUUACAAGUUAAAAGUGAAAUGUAACUUUACAUUGCCAAAUAUUCCAAAUACAUUCAAUCCAUAAAAGUACGAAUACAAGAAACUUAUAUACACUAGUUCAUGCCUACUUGCUCCGACUUCCACUCUUAUAAGAAAAACAAACUAACAGAAUGACCUAAAAAGUCAAUGAGAUUCCUAAACAAGCAAUUAAGCAGGUAUAUACAGAAACAUUUACAUUUAAUACUUUGCACACUUGACACAGUAAUAAGCAGCCAUUCAAGAAUCAAUUAUUCAUUUAUUGAAAGAAUACGUGCUCACUUGAAACCAUUCAUUCAUUCAAUCGUCGAUCGUUUUCCUUAUCCCUCCAAUGUAAUCAUUGGCCAUUCGCCAACCAUCUGCCCCUCCACCCCACGCGACCCACCCAGCCCAUCAUAAUCAUUGGCCAUUGCCAACGCUUUCCCUUAGUCAAUUCUCUCCUUCUCCCCUUCUUGUCCUAAUGUCCCCCACCAGUAUUUUUCAAACGUUGCGUAUUGACUCAGUUAUCAUGAUGGGAAAAGUAGGACCAAAAGGAAUUUGGAGAUUAUUUCGUAAGAGCCCAAUGACAAUUUCAACUUCAACUCAAGUUGGCUAGCGUUGUUACUCUGCACCACAAAUGAAGCAAGCACUUAUCCCCUCCGUACAUGGAAGACUUCAAGGGUCUUCUUUUUCUGUCCGCCCUUCUUUGUUUUUUUUUUUUUUUUCUUUUUGAGAUUGAAACAAAUAAGAUGUCUACAAGCGAAAUUUAAAGCAAUGAAAAUGUUUUCAUGAGAUUGACCAUUUUUUAUCCUCUAUGACUAAUUUUUCCUAUUGAAUAUACACAAAAAAGGUAACUCGAGUAACUCUUGGAGAAGGAGCACAAGGCUGAGCAAAUUUUGUUAUAAUUCUAUAUUUUCUUGGCAUGGAUUAUGCAAAGUUAUUUGACAGUAUAUUUUCAUGAAAGGCAAGGGCAGUCAGAAAUCGCACAAAGCUAAAUUUUUACCAAUUCUAUAGGCAGAUUUAGUUGGUCGUAGUACUUGCCCAAAUAGAAUUUAGUUGGUAUUGGUACCAGAACAUUUAUGUGUCUGUUUAAUUUCAAGCAUUGUCUGCCUUCAGGUUAAUAUAACCUUUUCUUUUCCUGUUAGUUAAAGGCUGCAGAACUUCCUCAGAAGUGAGGAUAAUUUGGCCAGAAUUAGGAGAAGCAUUUGAUUGAAUUCUGAGGUGAAAGUUUAGAACUAAUGGUACUGGCGAAUUCUAAAAUUUUACAUUGCAGUUAAAAACUUAACCACCAUCUUGAAGAAUGUCCAAAACACAGAAGUUUUAAUUGCUGAUGUAACAAAUGCAUUGCAAAAUUUUUCCACCUGGAACGUUAGUUGAGUGGUUAAGGAUAUUAACAUUGUUGCCUUGAGAUGGCAAAGUAUGCUAGUUUAAUUGAUGAUUCUAUCAUGUGGGUGGUUUCUUGCCCACACUUUUUUCGAUCCACUCUUUAUAUCGGCUCAUCAAUUCAUUAAUAUUAUAGGUUUUUUUUCUAUCAAAAAAUAUAUUUGAUUUUCAUUCAUAUUGAUCUAUUGAUCAAUAUAAGGACAACAUAUAUAUAUAUAUAUAUAUAUAUAUAUAUAUAUAUAUAUAUAAUAAUUCAGUGUAACCAGAUCAAUAAGUUAUUCUAUAAACCCAAGGACACGCAACAUCAAAAAGUUAACGAUAAUAUUGCAGUUGUGCUUGUUUUCAAAAUUAUUAGAUAUGGUUCAAUUAAAAAUUAUUUUGGAAUACGGCAGUCGUGCUUGUUUUCAAUCAAAUUUGAGGUUGUGCCCUUGUUGGCAAAGGUCCAAAGGACUUUUAAGUCCGGACAAGAACCUAUCCCAAUCUUCAAGGUAUAAAAAUAUAGCCUCAUCGCUUUCUUAUCAUAAAUUCACGAUGCACCAAGGUGGGAACGGGGUGGCAGAUGGGUCUACCAAGCGCUAAAAUUUUGAAAAUCUUAUUGCUAGACAAUCAAAUUAGGGGAUAAACGAUCUUAAUCAAGUGAAUAUUCUCAUGUUCAAAUUUUUUAAUUGUUUUUAAUAAAUCUAAAAUUGUGCUAACAUUAGUUUGUUUAUUUGCAGAAUCAAACUUAAACGAACUUUUAUCGAAUUAAACUCAAGUUGAGUUCGAGUAGGUUAAACUUUUUAUGCUAAUAGAGUCAAAUUCGAAUCGAAUUUCACAAUUUACCAAAUACAAGAUGUUGCUGGAGUUUGACUUGAGUAGCUGACAAUACUAAAGUCAAACGAGUUCUUACCAAAUCGAAUUUAAUUUGAUUUGUCUUUUAAUCCUUAUUGCAACAUUAUUUCUUUCAAGUGCAUUGUUAGUGAAAUUAGUUUUUCCCACUUAACAGUAUGUUUCCCUCCCUAGUCUUGUGUGUGUCCAAGUAUUGCUGCUCCUCUUCAUUCCACCCUACCCCACCCUAUUUCACUCAUUGCCAAAGCAUUCCUUUCUUCAAUUGUCUCCUUUUCCCUUCUUGUCCUCCAUUAAUAUUUUACCUACAUGACUUUCAUCGAUGUGAUUGGUUCGGUAUCAUGACUUUCAUCGAUAGCAAUCGCUUUUAUAAGUCUCCCGAAGUAACGGGAAAAGUAGGACCAAAAGGAAUAGGAAGAUUGUUUCGAGAGAACUCGGCUCUGCUUGGAUUAGCUAUUUUGGAAGUGUUUUUUAAAAAUUUUACUGUAACUGUGUAUAUGAAAAACUUUUACUGUAGAUGUUUUUAGGAUUGUUUUUAGGGGUAUUUUUAAAAUAUAUUUUUGAGUAUUUUUAUAAUUUACAAUUUUUUGAGAUUUUUUUAAAUAUAUACUGGCUCUGUUUCUAUAUAUUAAUAUUUAUUUAGUUAUAUAUAUAAUAUUUUUUAUUUCAAUUUUGUUUUACAAUAUGUGUAUUAAUAUAUAUAAUAUAAAUAUAAUAUGUAUAUUAAUAUAUAUUUAAUAUAUAUAUAAAUAUAUAUUAGUAUAUGUUAAUAUACAUAUUAUAAUAUACAAAUUGAAAUAUCUACAUUUAUAUAUUUAUAUAAUAUAUUUAUAUAUUUAUAUAAAAAAUAUAUAUUUAUAACAAAUCCCGUCUGUUUUCAUAUAAAUAUAUAAAAAUAAAUAUAUUUAUAUAUUUAUAUAAAUAUACAUAUACACAUAUUUAUAAAUAUAUUUUAAACAAAAAUAUUUAUAUUUACAUAUAUAAUAUAAUACACAAAUUGAAAUAUACAUAUUAACAUAUAUUAAUAUACAUAUUAUAAAACAAAAUUGAAACAAAUAUAUAAAUAAAUAUUUAUAUAUAUUUAUAUAAAUAUAUAUAUAUUUUAAAGAAAAUAUUUAUAUUUAUAUAUAAAUAUAUAAUAUUUAUUGCAAUUGAUAUAAUAUAUAUAAUAUACAUAUUAAUAUACAUAAUUGAAAUAUACAAAUUGAAUAUACAUAUUAAUAUUUAUUAUUAUACAUAUUAUAAAACAAAAUUGAAAUAAAUAAAUAUAAAUAAAUAUAUUUAUAAAUUGAAAUAAAUAUAUAAAAAUAAAUAUAUUUAUAAAUUUAUAUAAUAUAUAAAAAUAAAUAUAUUUAUAAAUUUAUAAAAAUAUAUAUAAAUAAAUAUAAACCAGGAAAGAUAAGAAAGCAGAGGGAAUUAAAAGCAUAAAGAUUAGAAAGUGGGUCGCAGUUGGACUGCCACUAGUUAGUAUAGGCGGUUGAACCAGCCAUAUAAAACAGAAUGUAAAAACAAGAAUUAAAUGGAUAUGAGACGGCUCGGCCGACUAUUUGAUUGAAUAUAAGAUUUACAAAAAUAAAAGAAAACUUACAAGGAUAUGAAGCUUGUACCAAACUCCUUUGUUUGAUCUAAAAACUAAAAUAUAAAAACUAAGAACUUGCUUGUAGAGAGAGGGAGGAGAGUUUCUUCAAACUAGAGAGAGAAGUGGUCUUGAAGAAAUGGUGUUCGAAUUGUGUGUGGAAUGUGUUGGGUUUGAGGGGUAUUUAUAGCAAAAUUUUCCGUAGUGUUACAGUACCCGCUACAGUGAUUUUGCUACAGUACUGCUAUAGUGUGCUCUACAGUGCAUUGUUUGUCUUUUGUUGCUGUGUUUGCACAGUAACCUGCUGGACUGCUACAGUGCUUCCGGUGCUACAGUGAAAAUGAAUUUUGUUCCGAUUGAGCCAGCUUGAAUAUCUGCUUGUUUUUAGUAGAUUGUCAAGGAUAGCUCUUGUUUUGUUUCCUGAAUCAUUUUGUCAAAUUCAGGUGCUUGUGUUCCCCAUUGGUGCUUGAUCCAAAGUUUGUGAAGAGUUAAUCUCUGAAUUUUUCUUCGCCUCAUGAAGCUUUGGUCCUUCAAGCUGCGAACUGUAUAGUUCGUUGGCUUUGCAACAAUGUUGUCAUGUUGGUACUGAAGAUGUGGAGAAAUGCUCUGUCCAGUUUCAGUGUUGUAAAAUACAACAUUGAAGUAUUUGAUUCUCUCCUCCCUGCAUUGUUGUUUGUAAGAAUAAUAUUCUUUUGCAAUAGAAUUAUUAGUAAGGUAGUGAGGUAUCCAUUCGUUGGCUGGCGCUGAGUUUGUCAUUUUUCCUACAAAACAGAAUUUGUUAGUUUUUUUAGAAAAAGGCAGGAGGGCAUUUGAAUCAAGAAAUUGGGGUAUUAUGCCCUCGUUUGUAGUAAGGUAAGGAAUAAGUUUAUGAAUGAGGGGUAUUCCAAAAAUAACAUUAUUGGAUAAUUUUUUGGCUAGAAGAAAAGUAUUUGGAAUGGAUAAGGAAAAGAACUGGAUUUGCACAUUUGUUAACUUGAAGUUAAUUUCAAGUUUAGAUCCAUUAGCUCCUCUUAGGAUUUCUUGGUUUUGUUCAAAGAAUUGAGGUGGGACAAGGCUUUCAAGAAUACAGUUUUGGUCUGCCCCAGUAUCAAACAGAGCUUCAGUUUCAAUUACGUAAUUGUUGUUAAUCAGUAAUCGGAUCUGGACCAAAUAAUCCUUGUCUUCCUUGGAUUUUUUAGAUAAUUGUUUUAGGAAUUCGGAAUCCUCCUGGUUUAUAGGUUCCUCAAUUGGUGUCAGGUUUUGAAGAACAAGGCUGUUAAGGUCUUGUUUGGCAUUAAUUGAUCUAAUUUCUUCUUUGAGUAGAUCAAUUUCUGUUUGAAGGUGUUGAAGAGCCAAACGUUUAAUAGGUUUGGAGGGAAACCUAUCAAGAAUAUCUGUGAGAUUGUAGGUUUUGAGAAUUCUAGGGUCUCCGGCUAAAGGAUUUGAAGAAUUUGUGGCUCGGUUCAAAUAGAGUUGUCUCUUCUCUAUUUCAGGAGUAUCUUCAAUGAUAUCAAGAAGAAGGUUUUGGUCUUUUGUUAAGAUAUUGAUGGUAGGACUUCUUUCUUCUUUGUCACUGGUGGGAUGAGAGGAAGAAGAUGUUGAAAUAUCAUCUUCUAACUAAUUGAGAUAAUCUUCUUCUCUUUCAGAAUCAUCAAUUUCUGAUUCGAUUAGAAGAUUUGAUAUUUGGGUUCUAACAUGGUCUUCUAAUCCUAAGGUACUGAUCCUUUGGUUGAGUUUACAGUAUUUGGCUAUAUGUCCGGGUUUGUGGCAUUUGUAGUAAACUGGAGAAGAGUUUGUUAUUUGAGGAGGUUGUAUGGGUAAAGGUUGUUUGGGUUGAAAUUUCUUUUUGUAUAAGGAUGGUUUUUCAAGAUGUUUUGUGAUUUUGGGCCGUUUGUGAAGUUUUUUGUAACAAUUGGGUAACCCAAACUAUUCACAAAAGGAUUCAAGGUCUUUUCUCCUUUGCUAGUUGUCUGAGCAUCUUGUCUUGUCUACACACUUUGAGUGCAACUUGUUGAAUCUGACUGGUUAACUGUCCAUAGGUUAUUUCCUCCUGAUAAGUGAAUAUUUAACGUGUAUUUUAUACAAUUUUGGCAUGAACUUUUGGUAUGUUUUAAGAAGAUUAAAGUCAUAUUUGAACUCUAUUGGUGAUAAUUGCUUAAAUAUUGUUUAAGUGUUCAAAACUUGAUAAAUGAGUGGAUUAAUGCGUUAAUUUUGUGAAAUUGUGAAGGAUAUCGAUGUAUGAAAUUCAUGCACGAGCUGAAAGAAGUGUAAGGAUUGUCCAAAGGAUAAAGUACACAAGAAAUUAGGAGCAAAAAUGAAGGAAAAAGGAAAGAAGUGAAAAAUUGAAAAUUUAAUGGCACGGAUCCGAGCUCGGAUCCGUGAGAGCAAAGAGGGAUCCGAACUGUGAGAGCAAAGAGGGAUCCGAACCCUCGUCUGUACUUCUGGAGGAGUGUAUCUGAGAUCAGACGAUCCGACCUUGGAUCUAUCAUGGGAAGUCCUCGGAUCCUGGAGAUCCGAGCUCGGAUCCAUUUUCACCCCUCGGAUCCGAGGCUCGAAUCUGUCUCUUUCUUAAGCAAGUGGCACAGUCAUUUUUCUUUACCUUUCUCACAACUUUUCCAGCUAUUUUAAGGGACAGAAAUCGGUGGCACAUGCUUCUGCAACAAAAGAGAAGACCAAAUGAGUUGUAGAUAAAAGGAAACAUCAUAUCUUUGACUUCUUUUUACAAAAUCUGAGUGGAGGAAAUUAUGAAGUGAGAGGAGUAGACUUUCUACCACUUCUUAUGCAGAGACACCAGGAAGAAGCAGAAAAGGACCAUACGUAGCUAGUUUUCCUUCUUUUAUCUAGUUUCUCUCUAGCUAGGAGUUCUGGGGGAAGUAUUUAAAGUUUUCACUUGUAAUCAUAUUGUGCAAGAGCAUGGCAGGAAUUGGAGAGCUUCACCUUCAAUUGGCUAAGCUUUCUUUUAUCUUUCUUGUACUUGUACUUUAUGAUGUUUGGCAUUAAUAAACUUGUGAGUUUGAUUAUUAAAUCAUUCAUGAGUAGCUAAACUUCUUAAUCUAGGGAGUAGAUGAAACUUAUGGUUAAAUAAUAUGAAUUGAAUGUGAUUUACACUUGUUAUAUCUUGUAUUAACUUGUCUACUUGUGUAACUGUGAUUACUUGUUAUUGAUUGAUCACUAAUAGCAUGUUUAUAGUUGUUAUUGUUCAAUGAGAAUUGGUAGUGGCAAUGGAAAAACAUGAGUAGAGCUUAAGUUGUAUGUUCAUAAAAAUAGAGAUACACUUAAGUGGAUUACUUAGCAUUGCAUGAAAGAAAACAAAGGAGUAUUAGUAUUUCACCAUGAAAAUAGGGAAAACUAAACUAGUUUAGGCCAUUUCAUCAUGAGAAUGAGAUUUGGUAAUUUUGGAAAUGAAUCUCUGGUUAAACAAGAAUAAUAACAGGACGCAAAUCCAUUCAUUUGUGUGUUUAUGCCAUAAGUGGAAUCUACAUCCCUAGAGUCUUUCUUAAGUAAGAAUUCUUUAUUUGCAUUUAGUAUUUGUUAAACUAGAUUUGUAGAUCAGAUUUGUAGAUUAUAGCAAUAAACUUUCUCUGCUCAAAUUUAUUGUAAGUCUAAAUAAUAGAGAAAAAUAAGGGUCUAGUACUUGUUUAAAUUGCUCCUUGUGGGAUCGACCCGAUACAUACCCUACAUUACAGUUUCGGCCUGUAUACUUGCAGCUAACGGGUAUAAAAAUCGGAUUUAAACUUGCAUUGAUAUAAAAAUCCCGUCACCUCCCAUGAUACAGUUUCAUUGUAUUGAGUCCUUAAUUCUUCUCGAACAAGGUCUCGUAAAGAUUUUGGAAGACCAUCAAGGAAUUUUUCUUUCCAAUAGGCCUUGUUGCCAUCUGUCCUGGAGUAUAUCCUAGUUAAGAAUGUAUCUUUGUACCAUCGAAAGUCUGAGAGGCUUUUGUAUUUGAGAUUGUUUAGUAGCUCCGAUGAUUUUUCCCUGAAUAUCCCUGGAUCACCUACAAAUGUUUUUGCAAUAGUGAAUAUUAAUGUUGCCACCGCAUCUGAGAUAGUGUCUUCAUCUCGAAGAAUAGGUUCACCAUUGGUUUCCACUUUAAUUGCAUUGAGAAUGUUGUCUUUGUCUUCCGUGGUAAGAUGUUCAUCCCACCAACCUUUUAGUUGCCCAGUAAAUUCUAUUAUUAGGAUAUGAGUAGCUAAUUGGUCAGUACAACCAUGUGAUGUUCGAUAGGCUAUUGCCACCAUUGUCAUUUGUUGAAGGAUUAUCAAAAUGUUGUAUUCAGAAAUUCCAUCUAUGCUCCAUUCAUAUAUGUUGUUAGCAUUAUAUGAAUUUUGUAAAAUAUUUAAUUUUUCUUCUAGAAGGAUGUCUGGAUAUGUGGCACUGGAAUAGUAUAGUUUUUGUGGAUUUUUUCAGUUGGUAAUCUGGUUUUGUGAAGAAAAAGGUUGAUGUAAUUUGUUUAAGGUUAAAGACUCUUGAGGUUCUCCUUUGGUAAUGGUGCAAGCUGUUUGACUAACACUUGCAGAACCUUGGUUAUUUGACCUUUGUUUGGAUAUUGGGGUAGAAAAUGAUUGUUCUAUUUUGGCUAUUCAUUUUUCUAAUUGGGUUAAGGGUUUGUUUUGAAGUUCUUUCUGAAAUUUGGUUGGUAUUUCAUGAGGUUUGAAAAUUGGGUUUGAUGAAGAAGUGGUUACAGAAGGAAUUUUGGGAAUGGGUUAGGUUAAGAGAUAUUCUCCAAGUGUUUGAAGGUACUUGUUGGUAUAAUUAUUUUGCUCAUAGAUUCCCUGAAUGUCUUUGCCAUUGAUUGCACUUUCAUCCUGGGUACUUUUGAGUUUGAAAGGUUUGGCAUUGAUCUCCGUUGAUUUGUAUGUGAAAGUGAUUGACUUUGGUGGUGGAAGUUGUGCUUGGAUUUCUCCUUCAGCUGUCUGCCACCUUGUUAUCACAUUUGUUGUUUGCGAAAAAGAAUAAUCAAUCCCUUUUCUUUGUGAAUAUACCUCAAACCAAUUGAAGAAUUGAAUGUGUUGUUUUGUUCUUCUAAGAAACCCAUAGAAAUCUUCUUGUAUUUUUUGUCGAUACUGUCCCUUGUACUUGUCAAAGAACCACAUUCUUUUUCAAUAAUUGUUGUCUGCAUAAAAUUCUGUUAUGAUACUUUGUCUAUCCAAAGAAAUCACCCUUAACUCAUCAAGUUGAGAACGACUCUCUGUUAUUGAAGAAUAUGUAGGAGAUCUAGGAAGUCCUUCUUGCUCCACAUCAUCAGAGGAUUCAUCUUGGACCUCUGAAGGAGUAGGUCUGCUAGUUGCAUACCUUGCCUGUGGAAUCUUAGAAGAAAGAUCUAGAUUUUGUAGUCUGGUUGAAAUGGAAGGAGUCAGUGGCCUGUCUGAAACUGAUCUUUUUUCUGUUGAGUAUCUAGGUAUGUCUAUACCAGUUGUUGAAGAAGAUGAUGCCUUGAAACUCAUAGAUCUGUCAAAUUUGAUUUGAACAGCUCCAAAAGCAAAUUGUUGGAUGUUUGAAAUUGUUGUAUUUUGUAUAGGAUCUGCUGGGGCUACUUCAGGAAGAACUCAGCUUUCUGAUAGUGAGAUCUGAUUCCAGGUGAUAGAUCUUGGAACUGUAAUCCGAGAUCUAGCCAAAUCUGUUUGAAAUAAGACUGUUUCUCUUUUUCGUAAUGUUUUUAAAGCCCCUGUUCUAAAAGCUGAAUUCAUAACUUUGUAUUGAAUUCUAUAAAUAAUAGCUACAGGAAGAGUCCCAGUUUUGACUCUAUAGUUAGCAAUUUUUAUGUUUAAUGUUAAAGCAUCUAGAAUAUUUUUGUCUUUUAAAGAGACUGUAAAGUUUGGAAAACAAUCAAAAUAUGUUGGUCCUCCACAAAGGCUAGUUUCUGACAUUUCUAGGAGGGAAUCAUUGAAUUCUAAGAAUAUGUUAUCUCUAAGACAAAGGAGUAGGGAUGUGUCAAAUCCUUCUCUUGUCAGAAGUUUAGCUGCAAUUUGUACUAAUCCAAAAUGAAUACAAUUGUAUUUUUCUUUAUGUUUUUCUAUUGUUCUUUUGGAUAAUAGUUUGAUUUCUUCAUGAUCAGUAUCUAAAGCUAUAGUUUGUUCUACUGUUUUAAUUGUAUAAUCUGAAGUGGAAAACAUCCACUUUCUAUCUCUUUUGUAUAUAUCAGUUUGAGUAUAUUUUGGAAUUUCCCAAUUGUUUAUGUCUUGAUUGACAUAUUGUAUAUGAAUUUCUUCUUUUAGUUUAGUGUUUGAAGAAGAACUAGAAGAGGUAGAAUUGGUUCUAAAAAAGGAAGCCAUAAACAAAGACAACUAAAAAUAAAAUAAGCUUAAAUAAAUGAAUGAACUUUAUAUUCCUCUUCCCUUUGGCACAGAAUCCUUCAGGAUCCAUGGAGAAUAACUAUUUUUCUUAAUCAAAUUAUAAAGGAUAGUGUGAAAAUUUACAAGAAAAGAUUUAAUCUUUUGAAAAAGAUUAACUAUACAUGAUGACCAUAUUUCCAUCAUAAUAAAGAUAAUAAUAAACCUACGAGAAUAGAUCUAAAUCCUCUGAGAAAGAUUAACUAUGCAUGACAACUAUAUUUCCAAACAAAAUCAUAAGAUUGAUAGUUAAAAUCCAUUUUCCCUGGAUCUGAUCUUUUGACACUUCCCCGUCCUGGAGCAUACCACCCCAAGAACCUUAACACCCUUACAGAGCCAAAUCCCCAUGGUCUUACCUGGACCGGAUGCUAGCACUUACUGGUUCCAUGCUCUUUAACCAAAUCCAAAGUCAUGAAAUCAAUACUAUCAAAAUUAUAAAGUGCUUGAAUACAUUAGAUAGUAAUCAUGAAAUUGACCAGUCUCAUCUAAUCAGAUCUAAACUUGUAGAUCUACACUAUCUCUGUAGCAUAAAUAAAGGAAUAUGGUAAUCACGAAGUUAAUAAAUCUCAUUAGAAGGAUAUAAACUUGUGGAUUUACACUAUCAACAUCAUAAUAAGUAAAGAAGGAUAGCCAUCUCCAUUUUCCCCUCUGGCUCUGAUACUAAUAGAUCUAAACUUGUAGAUCUACACUAUCAAUAGCAUAAAUAAAGAAAGAUGGUAAUCACGAAAUUAAUAAAUCUCAUUAGGAAGAUAUAAACUUAUAGAUCUACACUAUCAACAUUAUAAUAAGUAAAGAAAGAUAGCCAUCUCCCCACUUCCCCCUCUGGCUCUAAUACCAAAUGGGACUGGUCAACUUCGUGAUUAUUAUCUAAUGUAUUCAAGUACAUUAUAAUUUUGAUAGUAUUGAUUCAUGACUUUGGAUCUGGUUAAAAGGCAUGGAACCAGUAAAUGCUAGCAUCCGGUCCAGGUAAAACCAUGGGGAUUUGGCUCUGUAGGGGUGUUAAGGUUCUUGGGAUGGUAUGCUCCAGGACGGGGAAGUGUCAAAAGAUCAGAUCCAGGGAAAAUGGAUUUUUACUAUCAACCUUAUGAUUUUGUUUGGAAAUAUAGUCGUCAUACAUAGUUAAUCUUUCUCAAAAGAUUUAGAUCUAUUCUCGUAGGUUUAUUGCUAUCUUUAUUAUGAUGGAAAUAUGGUCAUCAUGUAUAGUUCAUCUUUUUCAAAAAGUUAGAUCUUUUCUUGUAAAUUUUCAGACUAUCCUUUAUAAUCUAAUUAUAAAAAAUGGUUAUCCUCCAUGGAUCUCGAAGGAUUCUGUGCCAAAGGGAAGAGGAUUAUAAGUUGCUUAAAUCAUAAGUUGUUUGAUUAUUUUAUUAUUUUGUUUAUGGCUUCACCAGUUAAAGCAUACUUCAUAUCUUCUGGUUCUUCUUUAAACAACAAACUUUUAAAUGAUCUCCAAACCAGAAUUGCUCGAAUUGAGCAUUCAAUUCUUAUUCAAAGAAAACAAGAAGAUAAAUCUCCUGAAUUCUAGAUUGACAAAGAAAAACUUAUAUCUGAAUUCUAUGCAAACCACAACUAUUUUAAAAGAAAACAAUUUUUUAACAAAUACCAGGGAAAAGCCCGAAAAAAUAUACAAGAAAACUUUUAUGAUUUUUUAGAAAAAACAAAACAGAAUAUUCAUUUCUUUGACUGGUAUGAGUCUCAAACAUCUAAGGUGUCCACACCACAACUCAAAAAUCCAGAUCAAAAUGCUUUAAAACCUGCUUUCACUAAAUCAAAAACUCAGGAUUUUACAUCAGAUCUUGUAGAGCCGGUCCAAACUAAGUUAAAAUCCAUAAAUCUAUCUCAAACAAUCCAUAUACCAGAAACCUCUCAUAAAUCCAUAAACCCAGCAGAUAUAGAUCUACCAGAUUCUCCUAAAGAAUUAUCAAACCUCUUGUCUAUUGAAAUUGCAAAACUUUUAUCCAAUCAACCAAUAGAAAAUUUUGAUCUUGAUAUUAAAAAAGAUAUAGGAAAAUCCUUAGACAUAGAAUAUUUCUCAAUAAAAGUUUUAACUAAAAUUCAAACUAGUUUCAAACUUGUUACUAUUAAAGAUCUUCAAACAGAAAAUACCUCUCUCAAUAGGAAAGUUAAAACAAUUGAGAAAAUAGUCCAAUCAACUACUAAAGAAGAUCCUUCUCAAUCAAAUAUAAUAUUUUACAAAAAAUAUUUUACUCUUAUAAGACUAGUUAUUAGUGACAAUAUAAUUGCAAAAACAGAAGGUUUAUUUGACACAGGAGCUGAUCUCAGUUGUAUUCAAGAAAGUCUUAUUCCAACAAGGUUUUUCGAAAAAACAAAAGAAAGCCUUAGAGGAGCCAAUGGUUCCCAAUUAAACAUUCAGUUUAAACUUUCAAAUAUUCAAGUUCAAUUUUCCUCUGCUUCCAUUAAAGAAACAUUUCUCUUGGCCAAAGACCUAACUAACAAUGUGAUUCUUGGAACAACUUUUGUUACCAAACUUAUUCCUUAUUUGACUACUGAGGAAGGUAUCAUACCCCAAAAAUAUGGGCAAAAUGCUCUCUUACCCUUCUCCAGAAAAACAAUUCAAAAAACAUAAAUUAUCUAUCUCUCAAACAUAGCCAAAUCAAUUUCUUAAAAGAAGAAAUUGCCUAUAAAAGGAUAGAUGAACUGCUCAAGAAACCAGAAAUCCAGCAAAAAAUUCAGAAUUUACAAACAAAAAUCCAAGGGAUAGUUUGUGUAGAAGUUCCACAUGCAUUUUGGGCAAGAAAACAGCAUACUGUCCAUCUUCCUUAUGAACCUGACUUUGAGGAAAAGGAUAUUCCAACAAAAGCCAAACCUAUACAGAUGAAUCAGGAGCUACUCCAACAUUACCAGAAGGAGAUUAAUGACCUCCUAUCCAAACGCAUUAUUAGUCCAAGUCAAUAUCCAUGGAGCUGUCCAGCGUCCUAUGUUAACAAACAAUCAGAGAUUAAAAGAGGAGUUUCUAGGCUUGUAAUGUGAGAACCAGUAAAUUUCUCAAUUUCUAGGCCUUAUUUUAUUUAUUUGCACAUCUUUUCCGCAUUUUCUUUAGUAGAAAAAUUUUCUAAAUAAUUUUUAUGGGUAAAUAUAGUUUUUAGACGAUUUUUCUAGUACCGGUUAGUUUUUAAGAAAUUAAGAGCGUAUACCGGACGUGGGACCCGCUAGCGCGAAAAGUUCGAAAAAAUUCGGCCAGUUAGGUUAAGUUUUGAAUAUCGGGUUUAUUUUAGCAGGUGUUAAGAGAUAACUAGAGGUUACUAAAUGGAUUAGUGUGAGAGGAAGAAAGAGAUAGCCAUGCAUUAAAUGGAGUGACAAGUGUCAUUUGGUGAUUAAUUCUUACAUUUUGACCACUAUUCACCAUUUUACCAAAUAAACCAAAAAUUGACCAAAAAUCUCUUCAUUUCAAGCUUCUCAUAGCCGGCCCUCUCUAGGAAGAAAAGAAAAGAAAAGCUCUCCAAUUUCUUGCUUCAAUCUUGCUCAAUUCAACAAACCAACCGAUUAAUCUUGUAUUUGUUCCAUAAAAAUCCUUAGGUUAGUGAUUGUGAGGUGAUUAGUGAAGUGAUUUGGAAGGAUAAGGUGCUAAGUGAUCUCUUUUCCUUGGUUGAUAAGGUGAGUAGUUCAGGAACCUCUUUUUUCUAUCUAAUGAUGCUUAAUUAGUGGCUUGUGGUAGCCUAAGAGGUGAUUUUGUGGGUUAUAUCAUGAUUUUGUUGAGAUUGGUGAAUUUUUCUAUUUAUUCCAUGAAUUUUUCUGUUUUAUAUGUGUAAUAUGGUGUGGCCAUGGAUGAUGGUUGAAAAUGGUUUAGAAUGAAGCCUUAGUGCGUAAAUUGUGGCUAUUUGCGGAAAAAUUUCUGCUUUGAAAGGAAAUUUCGGAAUUAGGGUUUCAAUUAACCACAUUCUGCCCGGUACUGUUUCCCUUAGUUAGAGGCUGAAUUAGCCUUGGGUUAAAACAUGAAAUUGUAGAGAAUAGUAUUUUAUAGUUGUCUGCAAAAUUUCAGACCAAUCAGAGCAACGUAGCCUAUGAUAACACUGAAAUACGCGUGCUGCCCUGUUUCUGUCCGAACCUGGUGAUCAGCUUUGGUAAUUGGUUAAUUUGAUUGGGAAUACUACUAAUUUGGUUGUUGAUAUCUUCUUAAGAAAUAUAGCCUGGUAUCUUAGCUUUCGGAUGGCUUUGAAAUCACUUGAAUUGGACUUCGGUAGCCUAAAUUAGGGUUAUUUAACCAGAAUGCGGUUCAUUAACCUGUUUAUACGGUUCUGGUUUAGUACAUUGAAUUUUGACUUAGUUGCACUACAAACUGGACUGAGUGGCCUUCUUCAACAUUGUAGCCCUUUCUGUUAGUUUCAAAAUGGUGUAUAUUGUACUCCCAUCCGAUAAUCGUAGCGCCAGUUGUGUCUAAUACGCUAAAUGACGUCAAAACUGUUUUUGGGUUUUAGAGCUAAACUUUCAUUUCCGGACUUUCUCUAGUUUACUCUAGCACUUAUAGUUCUAAUGGAACCUUAUUCUUGGUAGUAUGUGGAAUUGGUUUAUGACUUGUAAUAUAGUCUUAUUGUGCUUGUUUGAACAUUUUAGGGCGUGACGGUGAUUCAAGACGCUCUUUGGGCAGAAGUGUAUGAAAUUUCACUUGCUUGCUUGGUGAGUGUACUACUCACUUGCUUGUUACUAUGUGGAUUUGUUACAUUUGAACUUGAUAUCUUGAAUGCUUAUUUGCACCAUUGAAACUGAUUAAAGUGAGGGUGUACUUGAUCGCCUUCACCCCUUUUGUAUUAUAUAUGACUGUCUACUGUGGUACUUGAAUGGUACAUGAAAUACUGGAUUUGGUGUCGUUUGGACGAGUAUCCAACGGCCAUUACUAUCACUACUGAGUUCAACCCCAUUGGUAGUCGAUUGAAUCGAGCCAACGAGAGAUUGGUCGUGAAAAUUGACGAGCCAUGGGGACUGUUAUAUGGAAUCUUAUAGUAUGAGACUCUCGAUUCCGGUAUACUCGAGUAUUACCAAUUUUAUACUGAAUGGAGUUUGGACCCAGUAGGGGUAUGUUGGGUGGAAGGAAUGGAAGUAAAGUGAAGCCUACGGUUGGUUAUAUUGUAAUAAAGUCCGAUUAAGUAUACAAGCGAGGAAAGGGGCUUUUGAGAGCCGUCCGUAUCCUUUUAUCAAUUCUAUGGAUAUGUGCCCUUGGUUCACUUCCUACUAGAUGAAUUGGAAUGAAAUACUAUAUGCUUAUAUGAACUUCGUUGCUUGAAGUGGUAGUAUAUCACUGGGCGUAAUCUCACUCUAUCCCUUUUGUUUUCCUUACAGGAAUUUGAAUACUUUUGGAAUGGCUUUGAUAGUUGGUUGCCGAGUUGAGCUAGUUGAGAAUACAUUUUGUAUAGCUCCUCAAUGCAUGAAACCUUAGAUGUAUUUUGAUCCGUUCCCUCUUUUGAAUUGUAAGAUUGAACCCGUACAUGUGUACAUGAGUUUGGUAACUUUGGUAUGCUGUUUUGGCUUGUAAAUGCUAAAUUUCAAGGUGUAUAUGUUUGAUUGAUGUAUGGUUGGAUUUCGAACAGAUUCGAAUUUCAAACGGCGAAAGGAAAAAUUUUGGCGGGAAAGAACAGGGUCGAAUCCGACCAAGAAUCCGGCCAGAAACUGGCUUGAUUGGCAGCCGGAUUGACCUAAGAAUUUUUGGAAAUCCGGCUUUGCUCUCUGGCCAGUAUCCGGCCAAGAAUCCGGCCGGAAGACGUGUCAGUUACUAUUCAUGUUCGGCUCCGAUUUUCAUUUUUUUAUUUUUAUGAUUUUGACUUGUUUAAGCACACUUGUAUGUUCCGGAAUGUUUUAGCUCACUUUGAACUAUCUCGUUAGUUCUAGCGAGAGUUGGGCAGGCAGUCCGCUAACCCCUUUGGUUCGCCUUAGAGGAAGGUGGGGCUGUCACAGGUGGUAUCAGAGCCUAGGUUUGAAUUGGUUUGGGCGUGUUAGAAAUGCUCGACUUGAGGAUUAUUUUGAUUGUGUCCCUUAAGGUUAUUUAUGAUUAUUUACUCUUUUGGUAUAGGAUGGACGGGCAUAGUGGGCCUAGUGGUAGCCCUACUGGUGAGCGACCGCAUGGGGUGCUUCCGAUGAUUAAGUACCAGAUCCGGCCAAGAGGGGCUGUCGUGCAUUGGAGUUCGGCGAACCGCCUCCGACGUUAUGAGUGUCGUCACACUUACGCCUACCCUAACAUCUUAGUGUUGGCCGUGGCAGAGGAACAGAAGGAGUUGGCAAAAGAUAACGCUAGGCUCGAGGCCGAGGUAAACCAACUGAGGGCGGCCAACGAGAAACAAGCCAAGCGAAUCAAGGAUUUAGAGUACGAUGUGAUCGAGUGUGAAGAUAGGCUGGACGACCUCUGCGCUCAGUUUAGAGAGGCACGCGAGCGUAUGACUACGCGAGCUCAGAAGGUUAGGGUUCGAGCCGAGUCGAUCCUGAACCUCUGCGACGACUUGGUCGAGGAGGAAAGCAACAGGGCAUCGUGCACAGGGGCCGGGGCAGGAGGUGAACCCACCUCGUCGGGUGGAUCCAUUAGCCCAACUACGGAUUAGGUCGUACUUUUGGGGGGCCUUUUGGAGGUUUUUGACUAUUGUAUAUAGGAUGGAUAGGGAUGGAUAGACCUGGGAAAGAGCGUUAGCUAGCCGUUGUGUACGUUUGGACUAGCAAUGUGUAUAUUACUUUUGGUGAUGCCUUUCCCUUGUGGACUGUUUUGUUGUACCUGACUUGACUGCUUGAUGUUAUGUGCUUUGUUUUACUUGUUUGGAAUGUAUAUAUAUGCUUUGUUAUUAAAGUUUUGGGUUCUUAUUUGCUGGUAUGGUUACUUAUUGCUCUAGUUACGUUUGCCUAAAUUAAUAGAUUUCAUGGAAAGCACACGUAGUGGACGGGGACAUGGGCGUGGGAGUAGGUAACCUACGUCGGACCGGGGUGCUGGGGAAACCUCAUCGGGACCUAAUUCUGAACCGAGGGUUGACCCCAACGUGCAAAUAGUUGACGCUAUGCAGCAAAUGACCAACCUGCUGACACAAGUGGUGCAGCAACAGGGCCAAAGCCCGAACCCUAAUCCUGGAAAUCCUGGCAACCACGUCGGGAGCGAGGACAGAGCUCUCGAAAGAUUCCAAAAGUUUGCUCCACCCAAGUUUAUUGGGGGGUCCGAUCCGGAUAUAGCCGAAAGAUAGCUCGAGAAGAUGGUGGAUAUUUUUGCGGCCCUGCACUACACCGAAGAAAGGCAUGUGACUUUUGCUGUCUUUCAGCUAGAAGGGGUGGCCCAUUCCUGGUGGAAUGUUAUUCGGCAAAAAUGGAAACGGGAACAAAUGCCCAGGAUUUGGAUGAACUUUAUGCGGGAGUUCAACGCGAAAUUCUUCCCUCCUCUAGUCCAGGAACGGAAGGAAGAUGAGUUUAUCCGACUCCGCCAAGGGGCCCAGUCGGUAGCGGAGUACGAGAGUUAGUUGACCCGCCUAUCCAAAUUUGCUCCUGAGCUGAUCAUGACCGAACAACGUGAAAUAAGGCGCUUUAUCCAGGGUCUGAACGUAGAAAUCCAGAAGGAUCUCGUGGUGGCCCAGAUUAAUGCUUUUAGCGAGGCCGUGGAGAAGGCCCAACGGGUAGAGAGCGCUAGGGUUCAAGUACGGAACUUCCAGGCAAAGAAGCGAGACUUACCUGAAAGCAAUUCCGGGCAAGGAGAUAAAGGUACCCCCUCCAAGUUCGGACGGGGAGCUGGAGGUGGUUGAUAGUCGGGUUUCAGCCGAGGGGCUCAGUCCAGGGGUGGCUCAGCCGGGAGAGGCCAGGGCGGGAACUUCCAGAAGGGUUCAGGUUCGGCGUCCUGUGGGCCUUGUGGGUACUGCGGCAAGCCGAAUCACUCCGAGGAUAAUUGCUGGAAGAAGGAGGGCAAAUGUCUGUGCUGCAGAAGUGUAGACCACCGACUUGCCACCUGCCCAGUCCUAAAGCAAGACGAAAAGGGAGCCCAACGAGCGCCAAAGACUAAUGCGGGACCAGUUAAGGGAGACGAGACAAAACCCAAGGUACCAGCUCGAGUGUACUCGUUAGAGUCCCAACAGGCCCCAGAUUCCUCUGAGGUCGUAGAAGGUACGAUCCUUAUCUUCCACCGCUUUGCCAAAGUUUUAAUAGAUCCUAGUGUCACUCAUUCCUUCGUUAACCCUAAUUUCAUGUGUGGCAUUGAUAUAAAACCUGCUAGUUUACCAUACGACCUAGAAGUUAGUACACCUACGGGGAAUCAACGUUUGGUUACUAGUGUGGUUUAUAAGGAUUGUGAAGUGUGGGUAGGAGAGAAGAGAUUGUUAGGAGAUUUGAUAAGUCUGUCCAUCAUGGGGUAUGAUGUGAUUCUGGGCAUGGACUGGCUAGUUAGGUAUAAUGCCCAACUAGACUGUAAAAUGAAGGUGGUAGAGUUCCGCAUUCCGGGGGAGGCGACGCUACGGUUAGAUAUAAGGGGAAGAUUAGCCUCAUCUGUCCUGAUCUCGGACAUUCGGGUUAGGAAACUGUUAAAUCGAGAGGUGCAAGGAUUUUUAGCCUUUCUAAUCAACACCCCCACGGAUAAGUUAAAGGUAGAAGACAUACCCAUAGUAAGGGAAUACCCGAAUGUAUUUCCCGACGAGCUAGUAUCUUUGUCUCCGGAGAGGGAGAUAGAAUUCAAAAUCGACCUGUUACCUGGAACCUCGUCUAUCUCAAAAAUCCCAUACCGAAUGGCCCCUGCGGAGCUCAAGGAGUUAAAAUUGCAAUUACAAGACCUUCUGGAGCGGAGGUUCAUUCAAGAGAGUGGGUCUCUUUGGGGAGCUCCUGUCCUGUUUGUAAAGAAAAAGGACGAUAGUUUGAGAAUGUGUAUUGAUUACCGGGGUCUGAACAACGUUACAGUUAAGAAUAAGUACCCACUGCCCCAUAUUGACGAGUUGUUCGACCAGUUACAAGGAGCGGUGGUCUUCUCGAAAUUGGACCUCCGCCAGGGGUAUUACUAGUUAUUGAUUAGAAAAGAGGAUAUUCCAAAAACCGCUUUCAAUUCGAGAUAUGGGCAUUACGAGUUCGCAGUUAUGCCCUUUGGAUUAACCAAUGCUCCUGCCGCCUUUAUGGACUUAAUGCAUAGGGUUUUUAAACCCUACUUGAAUUGAUUUGUCGUGGUCUUCAUCGACGACAUUUUGGUUUAUUCGAAGACGCAGGAGGAGCACGAACAAUACUUGAGGAUCGUUUUACAAACCCUAAGAAACCAUCAACUGUACGCCAAGUUCAGCAAGUGCGAAUUUUGGCUGGAGAAAAUUUCUUUUCUAGGGCACGUAAUUUCUCAAGAGGGUAUCUCAGUAGACCCGGCGAAAGUAGAGGCCAUGACUAAUUGAAAGAGGUCAGAAAACCCAUCGAGAUUCGUAGCUUUCUAGGUUUAGCGGGAUAUUACCGGCGUUUCAUUAAAGAUUUUUCUAAGUUGGCCGGUUCUUUAACUGACUUGACGAAGAAGCAUGGUCGAUUUGUGUGGAAUGUCAAAUGUGAUGUGAGCUUUCAGGAGUUAAAGAAAAGGUUGACUAUGGCACCAGUUUUAGUCUUGCCUAACGGGGUUGAUGGAUUUGUCGUUUACACUGAUGCGUCACGAGAAGGCUUAGGGUGUGUACUGAUACAGAAUCGAAAUAUGAUAUUUUUUGCCUCUAGGAAGUUAAAAUCCCAUGAGCAAAACUACCCAACCCAUGAUUUGAAGUUAGCCGCGGUUGUUUUCGCUCUGAAAAAAUGGAGGCACUACCUAUAUGGGGUAACGUUCGAGGUGUAUUCCGAUCAUAAGAGGCUCAGGUACCUUUUCUCUCAAAAGGAAUUGAAUAUGAGACAGUGAAGGUGGAUGGAGUUUUUGGAGGAUUACGACUGUACCAUCAACUACCAUCCGGGGAAGGCGAACGUAGUGGCCGAUGCCUUAAGUCGCAAGGCUCAGGUAGCAGGGCUGAUGAUCAAGGAAUGGGAUUUGUUGGAAUCCGUUUGCGAGUGAAAACCCUGCCUUGGGAGUCAUAAGGUGAUUUUCGAUAAUAUUAGGGUAACCUCCACCCUACUGGAGCGGAUUAAAGAAGCUCAAAAGGGGGAUCCAAUGGUGCGAAAAUGGGGAGAGAAGGUGGAAAAAGGGGAAACGACUGAUUUCAACUUUAAUACUGAAGGUAUUUUAAAAUACCGGAACCGAAUAGUGGUGCCGAAAGAUGAAGCGUUGAAAACGGAGAUCUUAGAGGAGACCCAUCGAUCCAAGUAUACGAUCCAUCCGGGUAGUAGUAAGAUGUACCAAGACCUAAAAGGAGCCUAUUGGUAGGAUAAUAUGAAGAAGGAAAUCGUCCUGUAUGUACAGAAAUGUCUCGUUUACCAACAAGUUAAGGCGGAGCACCAAAAACCAUCAGGUUUACUACAACUCCUUGAGAUACCCGAAUGGAAAUAGGAGAACAUCACCAUGAAUUUCGUUUUAGGGUUGCUGCGGACGCAAAGAGGGCACGAUGCCGUUUGGGUGAUCGUUGAUCGAUUAACCAAGUCGACCCAUUUCUUGCCGAUAAACAUGAAGUAUUCCAUGGACAAGUUGGCUCAGAUGUAGCUGGACGAGAUCGUGAGACUACACGGCGUUCCGGUCAGCAUCGUUUCCGAUAGAGAUCCUCGUUUCAUAUCUAGGUUUUGGCAGAAAUUUUAAGAAACUCUAGGGACUAAACUCAACUUGAGCACCACCUAUCACUCUCAGACGGAUGGGCAAUCGGAGUGCACAAUUCAAACUCUUGAGAACAUGUUAAGGACCUACAUUCUGGAUUUUGGAGGUAAUUGGCGUCAACACAUGACCUUAGUGGAGUUUGCGUACAAUUAUAGCUAUCAUUCAUCGAUUCAAAUGGCUCCAUACGAGGCACUAUAUGGGCGAAAGUGCCGGUCACCGAUCUAUUGGGACGAAGUUGGCGAGAGGAAAGCACUGGAUCCAACAACUAUUCUAUGGAUGGAAAAAGCUCGAGAAAAAGUUAAAUUGGUACGACAACGACUCCAAACAGCUCAAAAUCGAUAAAAGAGUUACGCGGAUAAUCGAAGAAAAGAUUUGGAGUUCGAAGUUGGAGACCAUGUGUUUCUUAAAGUUACACCGUUACAGAGUGUCACGGCAGGUAGAGGAAAGAAGCUCCAACCUAGGUUUGUUGGACCUUACAAGAUUCUCCAAAGGGUUGGUAAGGUAGCGUAUCGCCUGGAACUACCGUCCAGUCUUUCUCGAAUUCACGACGUCUUCCACGUCUCGAUGCUUAAGAGGUACUAUCCCGACCCAUCCCAUAUCUUACAGUCAGAGGAAAUCGACAUAGAUGAAUCGCUCGCUUACAAAGAGAAACCUGUUCAAUUGCUUGACCGGAAAGUUAAAAAGUUGAGAAACAAGCAGAUUCCGUUGGUUAAGAUACUGUGGAAAAACCAUGGGGUAGAGAAAGUUACCUGGGAGGUGGAAGAAGAGAUGCAAAAGAAAUAUCCAGAACUAUUCGUGAAUCAAGGUGAGAAAUUUCGAGGACGAAAUUCUUUUAAGGGGGAGAGAGUGUGAGAACCCAUAAAUUUCUCAUUUUCUAGGCUUUAUUUUAUUUAUUUGCACGUCUUUUCCGUAUUUUCUUUAGUAGGAAAAUUUACUAAAUAAUUUUUAUGGGUAAAUAUAAUUUUUAGAUGAUUUUUCUACUACCAGUUAGUUUUUGAGAAAUUAAGAGCGUAUACUGGACGUGGGACCCGCUAGCGCGAAAAGUUCGAAAAAAUUCCGCCAGUUAGGUUAAGUUUUGGAUAUCGGGUUUAUUUUAGCAGGUGAUAAGAGAUAACUAGAGGUUACUAAAUGGAUUAGUGUGAGAGGAACAAAGAGAUAGCCAUGCAUUAAAUGGAGUGACAAGUGUCACUUGGUGAUUAAUUCUUACAUUUUGACCACUAUUCACCAUUUUACCAAAUAAACCAAAAAUCUCUUCAUUUCAAGCUUCUCAUAGCCGGCCCUCUCUAGGAAGAAAAGAAAAGAAAAGCUCUCCAAUUUCUUACUUCAAUCUUGCUCAAUUCAACAAACCAACCGAUUAAUCUUGUAUUUGUUCCAUAAAAACCCUUAAGUUAGUGAUUGUGAGGUGAUUAGUGAAGUGGUUUGGAAGGCUAAGGUGCUAAGUGGUCUCUUUUCCUUGGUUGAUAAGGUGAGUAGUUAAGGAACCUCUCUUUUCUAUCUAAUGAUGCUUAAUUAGUAGCUUGUGGUAGCCUAAGAGGUGAUUUUGUGGGUUAUAUCAUGAUUCUGUUGAGAUUGGUGAAUUUUUCUAUUUAUUCCAUGAAUUUUUCUGUUUUAUAUGUGUAAUAUGGUGUGGCCAUGGAUGAUGGUUGGAAAUGGUUUAGAUAUAUGUCCUUGGUUUACUUCCUACUAGAUGAAUUGGAAUGAAAUACUAUAUACUUAUAUGAACUUCGUUGCUUGAAGUGGUAGUAUAUCACUGGGCGUAAGCUCACUCUAUCCCUUUUGUUUUCCUUAUAGGAAUUUGAAUACUUUUGGAAUGUCUUUGAUAGUUGGUUGCCGAGUUGAGCUAAUUGAGAAUACAUUUUGUAUAGCUCCUCAGUGCAUGAAACCUUAGAUGUAUUUUGAUCUGUUCCCUCUUUUGAAUUGUAAGAUUGAACCCGUACAUGUGUACAUGAGUUUGGUAACUUUGGUAUGCUAUUUUGACAUGUAAAUGCUAAAUUUCAAGGUGUAUAUGUUUGAUUGAUGUAUGGUUGGAUUUCGGACAGAUUCGGAUUUCAAAUGGCGAAAGGAAAAAUUUUGGCGGAAAAGAACAGGGUCGAAUCCGGCCAGAAACUGGCCGGAUUGGCGGCCGGAUUGAUCUGAGAAUUUUUGGAAAUCCGGCUUUGCUCUCUGGCCAGUAUCCGUCCAGGAAUCCGGCCGGAUUCUGACGUGUUAGUUACUAUUCAUGUUCGGCUCCAAUUUUCAUUUUUUUUAUUUUUAUGAUUUGACUUGUUAAAGUACGCUUGUAUGUUCCGGAACGUUUUAGCUCGCUUUGAACUAUCUCGUUAGUCCUGACGAGAGUUGGGCAGGCAGUCCGUUAACCCCUUUGGUUCGCCUUAGGGGAAGGUGGGGCUGUCACAUGUAAUCAAUUACAAAGCCUUAAACAAAGCUCUUCGAUGGAUCAGAUAUCCCAUACCUAACAAGAAGGAUCUACUUCAAAGGCUUUAUUCUGCCAAAAUAUUCUCAAAAUUUGAUAUGAAGUCGGGAUUUUGGCAAAUUCAGAUUCUUGUCUCAGACAGAUACAAAACAGCAUUCACAGUACCAUUUGGGCAUUACGAAUGGAACUUAAUACCAUUUGGACUUAAAAAUGCUCCUUCUGAAUUCCAAAGAAUUAUGAAUGAGAUAUUCAGUCCUUAUUCCUCAUUCAUCAUUGUCUACAUUGAUGAUGUUCUAGUUUUCUCAAAAAAUAUUGAACAACAUUUCAAACACCUAAAUACCUUUCUUCAUAUCACCCAGAAAAAUGACCUUGUUGUCUCUCAAAAGAAAAUUAGCCUCUUUCAAACCAAAAUUAGGUUUCUUGAACACCAUAUUCACCAAGGAACUAUUACCCCUAUAAAUAGAUCAAUUCAGUUUGCUAAUAAAUUUCCUGACCAAAUUUUUGACAAACAACAACUUCAAAGAUUUUUGGGUUGUCUAAACUAUGUAUCAGAUUUCAUACCAAAUAUUAGUAAUUUAGCUAAACCAUUAUAUGACAGAUUAAAAACUACUCCACCCUUAUGGACUGAUAUUCAUACUAAGACAGUUAGAAAAAUCAAAACUGAAUUCAAAGCCAUUCCCUGUCUUGUUCUUCCAGAUCCAACAGCUCAAAAGGUUAUGGAAACGGAUGCUUCAGAUUUAGGAUAUGGUGGUAUUCUUAAACAGACAAAAAAUAAUAAAGAACAAAUAAUUGCUUUUGCUUCUAAAAAUUGGAACAAUUCGCAGCAAAAUUAUUCUACUAUCAAAAAAGAAAUUUUAGCAAUAGUUUUAUGUAUUACAAAAUUCCAAACUGAAUUACUAAAUUAGAAGUUUUUACUUCGGGUUGAUUGUAAAUAAGCUAAAGAUGUUUUACAAAAAGAUGUUAAAAAUCUUGCCUCUAAACAAAUCUUUGCAAGAUGGCAAGCAAUUUUAUCAAUUUUUGAUUUUGACAUUGAAUACAUUAAAGGGUCUUCGAAUUCUGUUCCUGAUUAUCUAACUCGAGAAUUCUUGCAGAGAAGAUAAGAUGCCCAAGAAAAAGAAACAACAGGAGAAAUCCUCAGAUAAACCAGAUCCCUCUUCUCAAACAACCAAACAAGACUCUUCGAGUUCUUCCAGUUCAUCCCAAACAGAAAAGAAGUUAUCUUCUUCAAACUUAACUCCAAACAGGUUUCAAACUCUUUCUUCUCCUCAACCCAUAUCUAUAGCCUCUCUUAAAACAUGGGUUGAUAUAGCCAAAGAAGAAGAUGAAAAACAAUUAUGCUUUGAACACCUCAAACAAUGGGUUGAAUCACAUGGAUACCAACCUGAAUCACCAGGAUACCCUAUUUGGGAUACACCAAAUCAUCUCAAAAUAGUUUUGGCUCAAAAUUUCAAACCAAAACCUCUUGUUAUUCAAGAACAAAAACCCAAAUCACUUACUAUCCAAGAACCCAAAACCCUAGUUAACCUUGAACCAAAACCAAACAAAGUUUCUUGCCCCUAUAUCAAAUCAAGUACCCAUAUUCCUGUGGUUCAAACUGAACUUGAUUGUUGGCAUAAUGAUCCAAACCUCCUGGCCCAAGCUAUUUUGCCAGAUACUUACAAUUUUAUACCUCAAACUCUUACCAAGACACUUGAGUAUUACAAACUUAUUCUCACGGAUUCAAAGUCUCUAAUCCUUAAACCUCACAAUACAGAAAUGAGAGAAAAGAACGGAAAUCCUACUGGAAAAUACAUCAAUACUCAUUCUAGUUCCCAGAUUCUAAAGGUUAUUAAGCCAUUAGAAUGGGGAACAAACCUAAGUAAACCCAAACCUUUUACUACUUCCCUUAAUCCCCCAAGAUAUACAUAUUAGGAUUAUAAGGCAGCCUGGUUCUAUACAUUUACCUUUCAAAAUGAACUAAACCAACAUUCUUAUCUUUUCUAUUUUUUGAAAACAAACAAAUAUGAAUUCCCAACAUGGUUUGUAGCAUGGUGGAAAGCAAUUGGACUUAAUCUGGAAAUUCUUCCUCCAGAUAUCCGACAAAGCUACAACCAUUUGAAAAAAGAUUUGAACCUCCAAACAACUAUAUACCAAUCAACCUGCACUUCUUUUCCAUAUUCUCGGUAGCAUGGGUCUACCAGUGAAAAUAUGAGUAUAUACAGCAAACACAAAUCACUGAUAAACAAAAGUUGUCAAGCAACUCAAAGAUAUACUUCAGCAACUGGAUCAAUCAAAAGAGACUUCAAACAAAGAAGAGGCCUCCAAUUCCGGAACAAAACUUGAGGAAUACGAAGGUCUAGAAAAUGAAGAUGAUUGUUAUGGAAUUUUCUCACAAAUUUCAUAAAAAUCCCAAAGACAAACAAAAUACUUCUACUGUAGCAGUCUGGCAAGUUACGGUGCAAACACGGCAACAAAAGACAAACAAUGCACUGUAGCACUAUGAAACAUUUUGCUAUAAAUACCCCUCAAACCCAACACAUUCCACACACAAUUCCAACACCAUUUCUUCAAGACCACUUCUCUCUCUAGUUUGAAGAACCUCUCCUCCCUCUCUCUACAAACAAGUUCUUAGUUUUUAUAUUUUAGUUUUUAGAUCAAACAAAGGAGCUUGGUACAAGCUUCAUAUCCUUGUAAGUUUUCUUUUAUUUUUGUAAUUCUUAUAUUCAAUCAAAUGGUCGGUUGAGCCGCCUCAUAUCCAUUUAAUUCUUGUUUUUACAUUCUGUCUUUACAUUCUGUUAUACAUGACUGGUUCAACCACCUAUACUAACUAGUGGCAGUCCGACUGCGACCCACUUCUUAAUCUUUAUGCUUUCAAUUCCCUCUGCUUUCCUUUCUUUCCUGGUUUAAGGGGCUAACCCCUCGUCCUGUCUGGUAUCAUUUUAAACAAAAUAUUUAUAUUUAUAUAUAAAUAUAUAAUAUUUAUUGCAAUUGAUAUAAUAUAUAUAAUAUACAUAAUUAAAAUAUACAUAUUAAUAUUAGUAUAAUUUAUAUAUAAAAAAUAAUAUACAUAAUUGAAAUAUACAAAUUGAAAUAUACACAUUAAUAUACAUAUUAUAAAAACCAAAAUGAAAUAAAAAAUAUUAUAUAUAAAUAAAUGUAUAUAUAUAUUAUAAAAUGAAAUUGAAAUCGAAAUCGAAAAAUCUGAUUUCUAUUUUCGAUUUCAAAAACUCCAUUACCGAAUUCGAACCAAAUUCGCAUAAUUCGAAAUAAAAAAUUCUGAAUAAAUAUGUAAAAUUGGAGUUGUUUUUGAUAUAUUGUUUGGAUAUAGUGUUUUUGGAGUUAUUUUUGUUUAUGUAUUACUGUAGCAUUGUAGAUGAAAAAUUUUUUUUCAAAAAAUGCUGAAUCCAAACAGAGCCCAUGUAUUUUUCUUUUUUCUUUUUGUCAGCAGUUAAUCAAGAGGGGAAUCUAAAUAGAAUUUUUCCUAAAUUUUUAAGUAAUUGCAAACAUAGUUACACGAAAAAACCUCGUCAUUACACGGUCACAUAGCCGAGAUUCAAGAAAUAGUGUAAACAUGAGUACACAUCCUGAAUCGUUCGAGGUGUUAAACAAAUUUCAAUCCCAAAGGCACAUGAUUGCUAGCAGCAGCGGUGUACAACAUGAUCCCUUACGUGCUGGUCAAACUGAACCGCAACCACUACCCCUACCCUAUAUUCAAACCUCUUUUACUCCAUAUUUCGUAAAUCCACCUGAGGAAGCUUUCAUACAUCCCACUUAUGGCCUACCACAUACCUAUAUAUCUAAUAUCCACAUCAAUUCUCCUCACACUCAAGCUCCUCAAAAAAUUAUCCACUUGUUGGACCAUUGAGAUCCCUCCCUCUUGAAGGAAAGUUUCGAUAAAUUUAGGGAAUUGUUUUGGCUAAAAUCAAUGAAAAAUCAUUCAUACGUGUGUCUUUUGUUUUAUUAUAUUUUUUGUAAAUAGUUUUCAUUCAAGUGGCUUUUGAAGACACGUUUCGUUUAGCAAGUAACAUGAUAUUAAGUUUGAUUUUUCUUGAAAUGCAAUAAAAUGUACAGUUUUUUAUAUACUGUGUUACUUACACAUUCUUUUCAGAUGGCCCAUAAUAAAAUCUCCCGACCCUUUGGAUAUUACCAUUUCGGAAUUUGAUGGCUGUAAUCUCGAUACCGCAUGAAUGUAAGAAUAGCGAGAAGGUAUCCGAACAUACUUCAAAGAGAUUCGAGGGAGGAACUCAAACGAAUAGGGAUCAAGAUGAAGGAAAUAAAAUUAGUAGUCACUUGAAUAAAAAGCAGAAAAAGGAGGCUGAUGGAAAGUAGUGUCAAGAACAAUAAUCUUUAUUUGACAAGAAGCAACCAAAUGCAAUCAAAAGGAGCGAUCCCGUGCUUACAAUAAAAGGGUCAAAUCGUAACUACUCAAAAAAGAGACAAAAUGUUGAGGUAACUGUUGUCGGUGCAAGAUUGGAAAGGGUUUGUUGUUAAAAAAAAGAGGAAAAGAAAAGAAAAAUGAAGAGUAUUGCCCGGCGGAUCACUUAUGUUUCACAGAUAUGAAUAAACAUGAGUCUUCCUCAAUCAAUUAAUUCAGAUACAUGCAAGAAAUUUCGCAUUAAUGGAAGUUUCCUUUCAGAGUUAAUGUAAGGAACAAAAUAAAAGUCAGGCUCUCUUCUUUUCCCAUCAAACAUUCUAUUUAUAAUUACCCCUUUUGAACCUUCAGAAUGAUCAUUUCGUUUGGCAACCCCUGAGAAUCGCAAACUCCACACUGGGACAAAUUUGAAUUUUAACAGAAGAAAACUAGAAAAGAAAGGAAAAACUUCAAAAGAUGAUGGGAAGGCAGAAGGCCGAAAGAAAGGAAAUGAAAGAAAAAAGAACCUCGGUUAAGUAUAAAUUGGGGCAAAUUUUGAAAAUUUCAAAGGAAUGGCAGAAGGCCGAAAAAAAGGAAAUGAAAGAAAAGAGAUCCUAAGUUAAGAAUAAAUUGGGACAAGUUUUGAGUUAACCCUAAUAUAGGGUUGAUGCAACAAUGUGAUUUCAGAUCAUUUAAAUCACUUUUGAAAUCCGCUUUCAAACCUUAACUUUUCUAAAUACCCCAUCUGACCCCAUUACAAAAGUCAAAAAUCCUGACUUCUGUUCUUUGUAAUAUCUUUGUCAAAAAAUUUGCUAAUUAAUUGACAUAUGAUAUUUAUAUACUGAUGCCAGGAAAUUUUUUAGAUGUAUUUUUGAAUUAAUUAAGUGUGAGGUUGACACUACUCAUCAUGUGAAAACCCGCAAGGACGCUUUUAAAAGAGAAAAGGAGAAAGGAAAAAGAAAAUCAAGAAGGAAAAUAGGGAAAAAAGAGAAAGGAAAAGAAAAACAAAAGGAUGGAGGAUAAUCUUGAUAAAAACCCGAAAUGACGCUAAGGUAGGGUUGCACAAAAAGAGCAAAGGUGAUUCAGUUCAUUGGGAUUCCUUUUCACAUUGUGAUUUUUCUGCUGGCAUUGAAUUUCGGACAGACGAUAUCCAAAGGGUCAAACGGGGCACUUUGUUAGAGGCCAAAGUAUUUUGGUCAUCAACGCAGAUUGCUGAAUUUGUGAUUCAUUUCUUUAAAGUCAUCUUUUUCUUUCAAUACAAGUCGAUGGUUAUUUUUUUGCAUUACUUUGAUUUUUGACAUUUUUGUAUAAAAAAUUUUUGGGUGUUGUAUAGUUUCAUUUGUCUCAUUGGAUUUUAUCAAAUGACAGUUUUCUCAAUUUAUCGAAAGGUGCAUAUAUACAAGUUUUCAUGUUAAGUUAGCAUUGGAAGCUAAGGCAAUUGGGAUGCAAUUUGCGGUACAAUGUCGGGUUUUGCAGCAUCGAGGAAAAACAUCAAAAUACUCAUUUUUAUAUGUUUCUCGAAAGUCGGACAGAUCGAAUGGUGGUAACAUUAUUUUGAUUGUUUCACAUAGCAAAACUGGGAAAAAUUAUUUUUGUAAUAAAGUCAGGGAAUGUCGCCCAACAAUUAAACAUUUAGGAUUCAAACAGAAGAGAAAAUGUGAAUCAAGGCCUUAAGGAGGAGCAGCAAUCGCACAAUGCAAAGCAAAUGAUUGAUUGUACAAAAAUUGAUUUAAAUUGGGGCAAUUUUUGAAAAGAUUUUUCAGGUAAGUAUUCAAGAACUUUUUCAUGCACUAACGUGUUUUUUUUCUUUCACCGUUAGUAUCGAGUUUUACUCACUAACGUGUAUUGUGUUUUUCUUUCGCCGUUAGCAUCGAGUAUAUCUCACUAAUGUGUUUUUUCUUUCACCGUUAGCAUCGAGUUUAUCUCACUAACGUAUUUUUUUCUUUCACCAUUAGCAUCAAGUUUAUCUCACUAAAGUAUUUUUUCUUUUACCGUUAGCAUCGAGUUUAUCUCACUAACGUGUUUUUUUUCUUUCACCGUUAGCAUCGAAUAUAUCUCACUAACGUGUUAGCAUCUGUUAGCAUCGAGUUUUACUCACUAACGUGUGUUGUGUUUUUCUUUCGCCGUUAGCAUCGAGUUUAUCUCACUAACAUAUUUUUUCUUCCACCGUUAGCAUCGAGAAUAUAUCACUAACGUAUUUUUUUCACCUUUACCAUCGAGUUUAUCUCACUAACGUAUUUUUUCUUUCACCGUUAGUAUCGAGUAUAUCUCACUAACGGGUUUUUUUUCUUUCACCGUUAGCAUCGAGUAUAUCUCACUAACGUGUUUUUUCUUUCACCGUUAGCAUCAAAUUUAUCUCACUAACGUGUUUUUUUCUUUCACCGUUAGCAUCGAGUUUAUCUCACUAACGUAUUUUUUCUUUCACCGUUAGCAUCGGGUCCAAUACACUAACGUGGCUUCUAUCACUGUUUCCAUCAGGUCUAACCCACUAACGUGACUUCUAUAUCCAUUAGUAUCGAGUUUAUCUCACUAAUGUUAUUUUUUUCACUGUUAGCAUCGAGUUUAUCUCACUAAUGUAUUUUUUCUUUUACCGUUAGCAUCGAGUUUUUCUCACUAACGCGUGCUGUAUUUUUCUAUCACCGUUAGUAUCGAGUUUUUCUCACUAACAUGUGUUGUGUUUUUCUAUCACUGUUAGCAUUGGGUUCAUCCCACUAACGUGUUUUCUUACCUCGGCAGGUUUGGAUUUUAUUCCACUGACCGUUAUAUCGUUGGGAUCGGAUUUUAUCCCAUCAAUCUCGGCAGGACCGGGUUUUAUCCCGCUAACCGUUUAAAUGAUCCCACCAACCUCGACAGGAUCGGAUUUUAUCCCGCUGACCGUUUAUAUCUCGUUGGAAUCGAGUUUUAUCCCACCAAUCUCGGCAGGGUCGAAUUUUAAUCCGUUGAUCGUUUGUAUCUCAUUGGGAUGGGAUUUUAUCCCACUGACCUUUUCUUUUUAUGUUUUCAGUUCAAGGCAGAAUAACUACAGGUAAGUAUUUGGUGCCUACGCCCUUGCCUCGUAUUUCUUCGAAAUCCAGAUAAAGAGAGGCAAGCUGUAGACAUCAAAAUUUCAUAAUUUUAUUUUAUUCGUUUUUAUUCAUAAUUUUGUUUAUUUUAUUGAUUUUUAUUUUAAUUUAUUUUGUUUUCCUUGAGAAAAAUCAUUUUAGAAAAUCGAAAAAAGAAAAUUGGAAGAAAAAGAAUUAGAAAGAAAGAAAGAAAGGAAAAAUAGAAAUGAAAUGAAAAUCAGUUUUUGUAAAAAAAAAAAACGACUUUUCCACGCUCGUGCGCCAUUUCCUUCAAUAUUGGUACGAUAGCUUCAGUGCUAAAGAAAAAAAUUGCAGCGGCCAUUUGGGGAUUCAAUCCCACUUGUUUUUGUUUUUUUUCUUUUCCCCAACUAUUUGCCACCUUAUGUCCCUAAUCUAUAUCAAGAUCUUUCUGGAAAAAUAAACGUCCAAUGGCUCAAGUAUUUUGAGGAAACCCACCCUUCAUCCUCACCUUUGAGGUGAGGGUUUUGGGGUUCUUGGUUCCUAUAAAAUGGAUUAAAAAACAUAGCUGAGAGAGGAGGACGGAAGUAGGGAGAAAGGAGUGGCGGCUGGAAGGAAAAAACUAAAGAGCUACGGGCUGAGAGGAGGAAGAAAAAGCAGAAAAAAAAAAGAGAGAACGGAGAGAGGAAAACUAAGAGAGUUUCGAGGGGUGGAAAUCUGGAAAAAAAAUAGAAAAACAGAAGGAGAGAGUGAGAGGGAACCAAGGGAAACCAAAAAAGAGGAAGGAAAAGGACUGGGGAAAACUAGAGGAGGGGGUUUCGGCUGAGAGCUUUGGAGGAAAAGGAAGGGAAAGAAAGAAGACUACGGUCUGAGGAACCAAGAAAGCUGGGAGGAGAGCUACGGACAAGAAAAGAGACAAGCGAGGGAGGAGAGAAAAGGACCAAGAGAAAGAAAGAAAGGGGUUGCAGCGGAGAGAUCAGGGAGAGAAACCAACAAAAAAAGAUAGCUACGGGCAAGGAGGAAAAAGGCUGGAAAAUAGCAGAGGAGCUGAUGUUAGGGUGGUUAUUUAAAUUUAACCACUGGUGAAAAUCAUCACCUUUAAACCCAAGAUAUGUAUGGCGAUUAUUAAGAAAUACAUUAACUGUAAAAUAGCAGAAGCGUACCUGAAUUCAUAUUGAUAAACUUGAUACUUGAAUCCCUAAAAAUUCGGGGUGGCCUUCCAGGUCAACAGGUAUUCACCGAUCCUUUGAGAGAAGUCUUUAGUUUCUUUUUGGUAUCUUUCCUGACGAUGGGAUAUCAGGGAAGAGCUAUUUUAUGGUAUUAGGGAAUACGACAACUAGAAUGAUACCUGUGACCUGGUGACCAUAACUCUAUUUAUAGGUAACAUUCUUGUUACCUUUUGGAUCCCUAUUUCAACCCAUCAUUGAAAUAGAAGCCCAUAAGUUUCUACACAUUAAAGGACCCACAUCCUAUUAGAUACAUUAAACCUAAACUAUAUUUGAUCACUUUAAUUGGGUUUAACCUUAAUUGAUAGUUUGCAAUACAUAAUUAUUCACAUAUAAGUCCAAUGUUGGAUUAAGAAUCCAACAAUCUCCCACUUGGACUAUAUGUGUAACCUUAUAAUUAUGUUUUGUAAUUAAUCGUAUGAGCUCAACUUUACUGUCAUUAUCACAAUGUAUCUGUAACCAAUUCGGUCCAUCAAUUACACCAAUAUAGGAUUAAAGCGGCCUUUGUUACAAUUUCGUAACUCAACCUAUCAAUGGUCACAUAUAUCAAUGCAAUUGAAUGACAUGAAUCAUGAUGUGGAUGUGUAGCAUGAAAAUUUCAUGUAAUGUGAUCAAAACAUGCCUAUUUCCAACUGGUCCACCUUAAAUUUUAUGAGAUCAAACUAUACCAAGGUUAGAGUGUAAAUAAAUCCAAACCUUAUUUAUGCAUAAAAUAUUCUUAAAUCCUUAAUAACCAAAACCAUCAUAAGAGCAUUCAAAAUAACAAACUCCCACUAAAACUGUACAUCAUUUAAUAAUAUAACACCCAUACGAGCAGUAUGCUCAUAAAACAUUUUGGGUGGCAAUCCUUUAGUAAGCGGAUCCGCAACCAUGGAGUUUGUUCCGAUAUGCUCUAUCGAUAACUGCCCAUUCUGCACUGUUUCUUUAACAGUCAGGAACUUGAUAUCUAUAUGUUUAGAUUUCGUCGAGUUCCUGUUAUUGUUGGAAUAUAGGACUGCUGACUUAUUAUCACAAAAUAAUUUGAGUGGUAUUUCAAUACUAUCUACCACACGUAAUCCUGUGACGAAAUUUUGCAGCCAAAUUCCUUGAUUGGAUGCCUCAUAACAAGCAAUAAACUCUGCAGCUAUAGUGGAAGAUGCUAUGAGGAACUGUUUAGAACUCUUCCAGAAUAUGGUAUCUCCAACCAACAAGUACACAUAGUCUGACGUUGACUUCAUAGUAUCUUGGCAUCCAGCAUAAUCAAAAUCAGUAUACCCAACGAUCUCUAACUCAUCUAACUUCCGAUACGUGAGCAUGUAGUCUUUUGUUUUCUGUAGAUACCGUAAGACCCGUUUGGUUGCUUUCCAAUGAUCCAAUCCAGAAUUACUCAAAUAUCUACCCAACAUCCCAAUAAUGUACGUAAUAUCCGAACGUGUACAUACUUGAGCAUACAUUAGACUCCCUACUGCUGAGGCAUAAGGAAUCUUUUGCAUCUUUCUUUCCUCAAAAGUAUUCUUAGGACACUGCUCAAGACUAAAUUUGUCUCCUUUAGCCACAGAAGUGUCACCUGGUUUAUAAUUUUGCAUGCCAUAUCUUUUAAGAACCUUUUCGAUAUAAUCCUUUUGUGAUAGUUCUAAAAUACUCCGAGAGCGAUCAUGGUGUAUCUGUAUGCCUAACACAAAAGAUGCAUCACCAAGAUCUUUCAUCUCAAAAUUCUUAGUUAGAAAUUUCUUGGUUUCAUGCAAUAGAUUAAUAUCGUUGCUGGCAAGCAAAAUAUCAUCAACGUACAAUACCAGAAAAAUAUACUUGCUCCCACAGAACUUAUGGUAUAUACAAUCAUCCACUAAAUUCAUCUCAAAACCAAAUGAGAUGAUCACUUGAUGGAAUUUGAAAUACCAUUGUCGAGACGCUUGUUUGAACUCAUAGAUGAAUUUUUUAAGUUUGCAAAUCAUAUUCUUUGGAUCUCCUGAUACAAAGUUUUCUGGUUGCACCAUAUAAAUUGUCUCAUCAAUGUUACCAUUGAAAAAUGCUGUCUUUACAUCCAUAUGAUGUAACUCAAGAUCGAAAUGUGCCACUAAUGCCAUGAUAAUUCUAAAAGAGUCAUUUGAAGAGACUGGAAAGAAGAUUUUUUUAUAGUCGAUACCUUCUUUUUGUGUAAAUCCCUUAGCGACAAGACGAGUUUUGAAUCUUUCCACAUUGUCUUUCGAAUCCCUCUUGAUUUUAAAUAUUCAUUUACAACCAAUGGGUUUCGCACCUUCUGGCAAUGGGACAAGAUCCCAGACAUCAUUGUCCUUCAUGGAUUUAAUUUCCUCUUUCAUGGCAUCAAUUCACUUUUGAGAAUUUGAACUUUCCAUGACUUGACGGAAGUUGAUUGAAUCAUCUUCCAUCAAUCCAAAAUCAUCCUCAUGUUCUUGGAGAAAAAUAAUGUAAUCAUCUGGCACUGCACUUCUCCUUUCUCUAGUGGAUCUUCUUAAUGGCAUUGGUUCUUGAGGAGGAAGAGUUUGUUCUUCUAUAACAGUUUGCUCUUCGACAUUAUUUUGAUUUGUCAUGUCAUGAUCAAAUUCAGGAAUAGGGUCCUGAACAAGAGCAAUGACACCUGUGGGAAUAUUAAUAUAUUUCUCUUUAAAGAAAAUGUCCCGUACUAUAUUUUCUCCCCCAAACUCGACAUCCUCAAAGAACCGGGCAUUUCCUGUCUCAAAAAUUGAUUUAGUUGUAGGAUCAUAAAACUUGUAACUUCUGGAUCUUUCAGAGUAUCCAAUAAAAUAACAACUAAUCGUUCUUGAGUCCAGUUUCUUUUCAUUUGACUUGUAAGGUCUUGCCUCAGUUGGACACCCCUAAACAUGCAGAUGCUUUAAAUUGGCUUUUUCCCUGUCCAAAUCUCAUAAGGGGUUUUGAUAGUUACUUUAGUUGGAAUCCUAUUAAGGAUAUAUGCUGCAGUCUUAAGUGCUUCACCCCAGUGUGACUCUGGUAAGGUAGAAUGACAUAUCAUACUUCUUACCAUGUCUUUAAGCAUUCUAUUUCGUCUUUCAACUAUACCAUUCAUAGUGGGUGAACCCGGCAUAGUGUACUGUGGGACGAUACCGCAUUCCUCUAGGUAUUUAGCAAAUGGUCCUAGACGUUAUUUACCUGAACUGUCAUAUCUGCCAUAGUACUCACCACUACGGUCAGAUCUGACGCUUUUAAUUCUUUUGUUGAGUUGAUUCUCAACUUCAGUUUUAAAACUUUUGAACACGUCCAGUGACUGUGAUUUUUCAGAAAUGAGAUAUAUGUAGCCAUAUCUUGAAAAAUCGUCUAUGAACGUUAUAAAAUAUUGUUGACCAUUUCAAGCAGAUGUACGAAAUGGUCCACAAAUAUCUGUAUGUAUAAGUUCUAAGACGUUUAAGGACCUAUUGGCUUCAAAUCUCCUUUUAUUGGUUUGUUUCCCCUUUAUACAGUUAAUACAAUCAUUAAAAUCUGUAAAAUUCAAGGAGCCGAGAAUUUCAUUUGACACAAGCCUUUCCAUUCUUCGUUUGGAGAUAUGUCCCAAUCUCUUGUGCCAUAAUGCAGCUGAAUUCUCAUUGGCUAAUUUUCUUUUAACUCCUCUAGUACUCAAAUACAGAAAUUCAUUAAAUGAGGCAAUCGUAUCAAUUAAAUAUAGAUUAUCGUAAUGCAUUAAAGAAUCAGAACCAACCAAUUUUGAAUAAUGAAACAAUUCAAAAUUUUCAUUUCCAAAUGAACAAAAAUAAUCAAAUUUGUCCAAAGCAGAAAUAGAAAUUAAAUUCCGUCGAAAAGACGGUACAAUAAAUGUCUCAUUGAGAUCCAAAUAAAAUCCGGUCUUUAACAAUAAUCUAAAAACUCCAAUUACCUCAACUUGAACUGUUUUGCCAUCGCCCAUGUAGAUAUAUCUUUCAUUAUCGUUAGGUUUUCGGCAAUUCAGACAACCCUGCAUAGACACACUGAUGUGAGUUGUUGCACCAGAAUCUAACCACCAUGUGUGUCUAGGUACCGAGGUUAAAUUAAUCUCAAAAUAAACCAAAUUAAGAAGCAUACAUUUUUUAGCACGCCAAGCGUGAUAGUUGGUGCAAUACUUCUUUUGAUGCCCUUCAGCUCCACAGAAGAAACAACUAUUUUUUUCCUGAUCAUUUGAUUUCUUUUGUUGUUUCUUUUGUGGUGCUGUACCUGCAGCUCCUUUUUCCUUCUUUCUUUUAAAUUCCUUAUUUUUAUUAUUAGUGGUUGACACCAGAUGGACACUUUCUGUCUGCUCUUGCUUUAACAUUUUCUCUUUCUCUACACAGUGUGAGAUGAGUUCAUUUAGAGACCAAAUCUCCUUUUGACAGUUGUAACUCACCUUAAACUGGCUAAACUGUGUAGGAAGAGAUAUUAAAAUCAAAUGUACUAGUAACUCUUCAGAGAGUUUUAACUUAAGCGCAUUUAAUUUCGAAACAAGAUGAGACAUCUCCAUGAUAUACUCUCUGAUAUUGGAUUUACCACUAUAUUUCAUUGAAACUAGGCGUGUCAAGAGCGUACUAACUUUAGCCUUUUCGUUCUUGACAAACCUUUUUUCAAUGUCCUGAAGGAACUCUUUAGCGGUUACAGUCGUUUCUGACAUUGUUCCCCUGAAUGAUUCUGGAAUGGCCUUUUUAAUGAUCAUCAGACACAGCCGAUUUGAUCUCUCCCACUUCUUAUUAUUUCUCUUUUCAUCAGAGGUACUCUAGGGGAGAAUCAUCCCUUAACGCAAGGUCGAGAUCCAUUACUCCAAGUACUAUCAAGAGGUUUUCUUUCUAGAACUUGAAGUUUGUGCCAUUCAGCAUAGGAAUGUUAUUGAUGUUGGCAGUAAUAUUUGUAACAUCAUUUGCAAUUGUACAGAAAACAUAAUAUAAUUAAAACAAUGCUCACAUAAAUCAAAAUAAUAAUAAAUUUAAAUAAUGGUAACCCCAUCUCAAGAUAUCGAUAUUCCAUUAAUAUUUUAUUUUUGGACAAAAUAUUAACUUCUAAGUGAUAUCUUGGCGCAGUAAUAAACACUGACAAUAAUCACAUGUCAAAAAAUAAAUUUUUCUUUGGGCCAAUUUAUAAUUCACAUGUAAAAAAUCGAAUAAUUAUCACAUGUUUAUUACCACAAGUGCACAAGUAAUUUCAUUAAAUAUUGACCUUCUUUUGGCCCGAUCAAUAUUCAUAAAAUUACCAGUACCCAACUAAUUAUAUUUUAAAAUAAAUUAAUUUCCAUAAUAGAGGUCACUUUGGUGGCAUAUUAGUUCAAUUAAUUUAUUCCAAAAUAUAUAUAAUCAUACCAAUAUUCAAAUUUAAAAUUAUCCAAAUUAAAUAAAAAUUUUGAUCAAAGUCAACUUUGGUCAACUUUGAUCAAAACGUGGUCAAACAUGAUCAAAUCAAUCAAAUUAAAUCAUGACCUAUUGGACCAAAGGUCCAUAUCCAUAAUUUGACCCAAAAUUAACAUUCAAGCUCAAAAAUUUCCUUGAAAUCCAUAAGUACUUUAUAAAAACUACAAAUUUAAUGGGCCACACAUAUGGAUUUUAUAGGGCUUAAAUAUCAUAUUUAACUUUAUUAGGGUUCACUUAAAGUAAAUAAACCCUAAUUUUCUUAAUAUAAAUAUAGACAUAUUUAUCCAUAAAUAAAGAAACAGGUCAAAGAGCUCAAGUAUUAACCAAAUUAAUAUUAUGGACAAAAGUUAAAACUCAAGAUAUUCCUUGUCAAUUUUAAUUCUUAAAAUCAGGGAAAAGGAUGAAAGACCUCCCGAAGCCAGAAGACAAAUUAAUUUACAUCAUCCAAAACAUGCAGAUCCCACAAAUAUUAUGCUAUCCAACGGAGAGUUUCACAGAAUUGAUUCAUGCAUUCUUUCUUAUCAAUUUUGAUCCUUAAAAAUAGAGAAAUUAAAGGAAACCCCAUGUCUGCCAUGUGAGAAACCAAAACAGAAGCCGAAACAUGAGUUACCACAGAACAUGACUAGCAAAGGAUCUUGACUAAAAUGGACCCACUGAAUUUCAUGUCAUCAAUGCUAUGAGUCAAUGGCAUGAAUAACAUAUAGCAAUCAAUCUGGAUUCAUAUCAUGCCAUUCAUCAUGCGGCCGACAGAUGCAUUUAUAGUCAAAAUUCAAAACAGCCACGAUGCACCCAGAAUUUUCUUGUUUAAUGGCAUAUAUGCAUAAAUAUCAAAACCGAAUUCACCAGACCAAAAAAAAUAUGUAUGUUGAUACAUAAAUUACUAAAUCCAAAUUAUUUCUCAAUAAUCAACCAUAUGGGCUCUGAUGCCACUUGUUAGGGUGGUUAUCUAAAUUUAACCACUGGUGAAAACCAUCACCUUUAAACCCAAGAUCUGUAUGGCGAUUAUUAAGAAAUACAUUAACUGUAAAAUAGCGGAAGCGUACCUGAAUCCAUAUUGAUAAACUUGAUACUUGAAUCCCUAGAGAUUCGGGGUGGCCUUCCAGGUCAACAGGUAUUCACCGAUCCUUUGAGAGAGGCCUUUAGUUUCUCUCUAGUAUCUUUCCUGAUGAUGGGAUAUCAGGGAAGAACUAUUUUGUGGUAUUAGGGAAUACGACAACUAGAAUGAUACCUGUGACUUGAGGACCAUAACCCUAUUUAUAGGUAACAUUCUUGUUACCUUUUGGAGCCCUAUUUCAACCCAUCAUUGAAAUAGGAGCCCAUAAGUUUCUACACAUUAAAGGGCCCACAUCCUAUUAGAUACAUUAAACCCAAACUAUAUUUGAUCACUUUAAUUGGAUUUAACCUUAAUUGACAGUUUGCAAUAUAUAAUUAUUUACAUAUAAGUCCAAUGUUGGAUUAAGGAUCCAACAGCUGAAGUAAGAAAAAGUAAAAGAACCGAGGAAAGGAAGCUUCGGGCAGUGACGGGCGGGGCUGGAGAAAAGAAGGAAGAGAAAAGAAACCGAGAAGAAAGGAUUUCGGGGAAAGCAAAGGCAGUGAAACAGGUAAUCUUCAAUCUUUUUUCUUGUUCGCUUCAAGCUCUAAACAGUACCAGAUCUGUUAAACUAAAACCUGGUUUUGGUUUAUUUGUUGGGUCUCUGCUAAACCAAUAUGCAUCAACAUUGCGUCUGAUUUGGUUGGAACUGAAUGCUCAUGGUUGCUGUUUUCUUGUUGUUUCUCCCUCUUUUCCUCCCGUUCAUUCUUUGACCAAGGAUCUGUUCCCUUUUCUGCGUAGCUUAGUCGAGUUUCUUUUCGGUCAAUAUGCUGGGGUUGGGAUGUGAAUAACGAAUAGUUGAAGGUUGUGAAAAAUAGCGGCUGGAAAGUUGCAGAAAUUUUCAGAUUUCGCAUGCCCUUUUCCUAUGAAUUUUGUGUGUAAACAUAAGAGUUUUUAUGGUCAUAAAGUGGAAAGAAUGCUUGGUGAACUUGUUACUUUGGCCCAAGUUGUUGUUGGUUGAGCCGUUAGUAAUGUUUGGAUAGAAAAGAUUGCAUUCAGAAACCCAGAAAUUGCAGAAACUCUCGGAUACAGGAAGAAGAAAGCUUCCUUGGAAGCUUGCAUGGAAUAUUUCCAAAAAUCACGCUUUAACCCCUUAAUUUUUGUAUAAUAUCGCUAUGGCCUGAAAUUUGAGAAAAAUAAAACCAGUUUUGUCCCUUUGAAUUUUGAAUUGCCUUGGCAUACUUUAAUAUGAUUAUUGGACAGAAUAUGCAUGAGUUUUGGGAUGAAAUUUGAAGGUUUAAUAACUUUUGAUAAAUUUAUAGUUUUGAUUUGGAUUUUUAGCGGAUCAUAGCAAAUGGGUCUUCAUUCAUGUUUUUUGUGAAUUUUAGCAUUUAGUUUUGGUAGAUUUUAUCUUAAGCCAUUAAUUUUAAUCUGCUUUAAUUUAGACCCCUAAUAUUUGUAAUAAUAAUAAUUUGACCCUCAAACUUCUUUAAUUCUUUUAAUUGGGUCCUUGUUUGUCUUAAUUUGUUGAAUCUAGGUUGUUUACCUUCAUUUGAAUGCUUUGAUUGAUCCAAUCUCAUGUUUAUUUUCAUUUCUUAUGAUUAUUUGUUAAUUAAAGUGAUGCCUUGACCUUUUUCUUCGUUUUGGAGGGUAAAUGAAGGAAAAUUUCAUUCCAUUAGGUCACCAAUUCAAGGGAGGUACACUCUACUCUUUAUUUCGAUUUUACUUGAAACUAUGUGCUUCUAUGUGAGUUUAUGUGUGUAAUUGCAUGCUCCUUUUGAAUGUUUUUAUUUCAUUUAUUUAUUUAUUCGCUUUAUUUGUUUUAAUUUUGUAUAUUUAUUUUUAAUUUAAUUUUUAGUUAUUUGAGAGGCAUUUAAAUGCCAAAUUGUAAUAGUUAGAUUAUUAUUUUAUCUUAUUUCAUUUUUCCCCCUUAGAUUGUAGUUAGGGCCCCUAAUGUAAUAGUUAGGUUUCUAUUUGCUUUGUGUGUUUUGCAUGCUUGUGUGUUACGUGUUACUCGCUUUCUUAGGGUCUUGCAUCUAUAUAUCAUGCUUAUGUGCUAUGUGUUUUAUAUGAUAUUAUGUGUUUACUUGUUUUAUUAUGUUUUAUAUGAUUUGUUUAGUUAUAAUAAAAUGCAUGAUGUCACCACACUAGUCCAACGCUAGUUGUGGCCUCUUUCUCGUCACCACACUAGUCCAACGCUAGUGAGGACUCAUAGACAUGGGUUAGUCCAAUGCUAGACCCUUAGAAACCAUCCACACGCUAGAUCAUGUUUGUGUGACGAUCACUACAUUUUCACGCAUAUUUUCUACUUUUUAGGGUUUUUAUCAUUUCGCAUGAUAUUCCCCUAUAUAUAUAUCCCUUAUCCCAUAUUUUCCGUAUAUGUAUUCCUUAUCUCAUACUUUUCCUAUAUGUAUGUGUCCUUUAUCCCCAUGUUUGAGAUAUGACAUUAGACUUGCAUUUCAUUUAAGAAACGUUAGGAGUAGAUUAGUGCAUUUGCUUGAUUCAAUUAGGGAAAUAACCCUUCAAAUAUGGGAUAUGGACGAGUAUGACUCUCUAGCCUUAGCACGCUCGUAUUCCCUCUAUAAAAAGGAAAAAUCUAGUCGUGAAUCUUAGUUCUCCGCACCUGUUAUGAUGCAUUCCUUUAGGUCAUAUAUUUGUAUAUUAUUAUUUUCUUUUCUUUUCUUAGAGUCUCAUAUUUUUGCAUAUUUGUGACAUCUUCAAAGAAUCACUCUUGGGCAUCACAAUUAAUGUGAUUGGCACCAAUUAAGUUUUGAAGAGAUAUUCCAACCCCCCGAUAUCCUUCUAGGUUAGGAUUGCAUUCAUAUAGUGAUAUUCAAAUGUGAUAAAUUUUUAGCUUAUAUUAAGAAAAACUUUGACUAAAUCACGCAACUAACCUUAGUUAGGUUGAGAGGGUGUCUUGGAUUUUAUCCCUGCCUUCCCUUUGUUCAACCGUGACUUCCGAACCUUUUUCUCUGAUUUGCGUAGACUUGGAGUCGUUUAAAAAGGGUUUUCUCUACUUUUUAUCUAAAAUUUAUUUUUAAAUGACUUGGUACACCUUAAUUCAAUACCAAGUGGCGACUCCUAUUUUUCAUUAAAAACCCUUUUUAAACUAUUAUGUUGGGUCUAAAUCAUCGCAUUUUUUAAGUCCCAUUUAGACCCAUUUUCUUUAUUUAUUUUCUAAAAAUCAAAAAUCCAUUUUCACUUAAAAAUUAAUCAAAAAUUCAUUUUUCAUUUAAAAAUAUGGGACACGACAAACCUAUUACGAGGACACCCACCAUAAUUGCCAUCCCUAUGUAUAGUGUUUUUAUCUAGUACUAGGAUAUGGUUCAACAUUUGAUUACCAUGCUGUGUUAGGACAUGCAGUUUGAGAGUGGUUUAUAUUAGAUUUGUUCCACAAUUCAUAUUUCAGUUUGUUGGAUCUACUGAAACGGUAUUUAUCAACAAAAAUAUCUUCUAAAUUAAUGUAGGAUAGUGAGUAAUUAAAUCCAAUUAAUGUGGGAAGAAAGUGUAAGUGAGAGAUCCGGGUUCGAAAUCUCUUGCUUACGUAAAAAAAAAAUCCAACUAAAGCUAUUUGCUGUUUGUUCAGUGUAUUGCUUACCAAGAAGCUUGCCCAAGCCGAACAAGCAUUUUAGCCCAUGUAGUUGACCUGCUCUUUCAGCCCAAUAGGCUCGACCAAUUAGUCCCAAUACGUUAACCCAUGAUACAUUUCCAAUGCCUACAUAACCCCUUUGGCGAAUCAUUUUACCCAUGCAGCUUUUACCAUGGCAAUAAGAGAUUUACUCUGCAUUUUUUUUAUUCGUCUUAGAUUUCAUUAUUUGCGAAACUGCAACUCAUUUGGUUUUACAGACAAAAUUAACUACAGAGAAUGCUGGAGUUGUGUUUCAAAAUUGAGAAAAUAAAGGCGAGGCAGGUAUCUAACAUAUUUGUUCCUUUUGCUUACAUUAACCUGCUUGCAUAUGCUACUUACUAAUUCUAUCUGAUUUUUUUCUGAAGUUUCAUUUUGAAUGGGGCCUUUAUCUGCAAUUCUAUAUAGAGGAGUUUUUGUACCUCGGAUAUUACAAGACAUAUUGGAACCAACCAUGCAGCUGUUGGUUAAAGACGCGAAAUUUUCAAAAGAAACUUUGUACUUUAUAUUGCUUUAUUUAGAAAUUUCUUGUGACAGCACAAAAGGCUCCUUUUGGCAGCAUUUUAAGAUUCAAGAUCCAUCAUUCUUGCAAUCUUGCCUUCUUCACCAAAUGAGGCUGAUAAUAACAUUAACGGAUGGGUCUUAAUAAACUAUGACUCCAUUGGUUAUAUAUAUAUAUAUAUAUAUAUAUACACACACGUACACAAGAUCAUUUCAUUCAAUAAAAUUUGCACUAAUGGCAGAAAAUACAUCAAACAUAUAUGAUACAAAUACAUAAAUCUGAAAUCAAUAGAUACAACAGAUCUAAGAAAUCAAUACAAAUAUAUAUUAACAUUGAUGCUACUAGAUAUCUUCCAUUUAAACGAAUUAUUGUAGUUCAAUACAUCUGUGUAUAUCUUUUGAUAGUCAGAUCAGAAUAAAACUAUUAUAAGUCCAAAGAAAAAUUUAGAUCUUACAAUAAUAAAGAAAUUGCAAAUCUAAAAAACUAGAUUCUAGAUCUAUAAAAUUUCAGAUUUCACAAAAAAAGAUAAAAAACUAAAAAAAAAAACUCUCAUGAGAAAAAAUCCAAAAGAAAAUAAAACUCUCACUAAAACAAUUUAGGAAAGAAGAAAUUCUCACUAUGAGAACUUAGAAGAGAAGUAUAAUUUACUAAUAAAUCGUAAGAGAGAAUUUAUUCAAAACAAGAGAAACUAAAACGAGAGAGUGUGCUUCCUUUCAUGGGUAAAGAUUAGAUCACUCUUCCAUGGAAGAGAUAAAGAGGAUUUUGACCAGAAGAGUUUUAGAGAAAAGAGUUCUAGAGAGUGAGGAAAAGAGCGACUGUAUAAAUCCAUUGGCUUUUGAACAUGUAAUAUAGAAGUCAUUCAUGCUUAUUUAACUUCAAAUUGUCAAUCUCAUUGCCUUAAUCAACUCCAUGCUUUAUGUUUGAAUGCCACUUAAUUGGGAUACAAAAUAAAGGUUACAUUAUGAUGGGCGAUGGCUUUGCAUAGCGCAAGGAUCCCCACCUAGUAUAUCCUGUUGAAUGUGGCGUUGUCCCACAUCGGACAAAGCCAGAGGAAGACGGCUCAUCAGGGCCUAUAAAUAUAUGGCCUUGGUGGUGAAGACAUUUGCACCACUCAAGAGAGUUAUAUGGGCUAUUAGCUUCUUGAGUCAUCUAGCCCAUUCACUUAAAUAUUUUAGGCUCUCUUGUUUUGAGUUUAGGAAUUUUUCCUAAACCUUUUGUAAGUGCCUAUUGGCCUAAGAACCACUUUCCUACGGCUUUUGUAUUUCUUCUUCAUAGUAGAAAUAUUGCUCCUCCCUCGCCCGUGGACGUAGGUCAAUUUGACCGAACCACGUAAAUCUUUUGUGUCUUUUAUUUGCUUUGUUAUCCGUCUUUAUAUGGUCGGUUUUACCGUCUAAUUAUUAUAUGGCUGGUAUCUACCGCCUAUCUAUUAUAUGGUCGGUUAUACCGCCUAUUUUGUGCUAACUUGAGUUUGUCUAUUUCCUGGCCCGGUCCUAACAAACUGGUAUCAGAGCUGGUUGUUAUAUUUUGCAAGACAGGUUCAUCUGGUGGGGUCCGUUUAUCCGUGGAGCCCGCUCACCUUGUGGGGUCCGUUCAUCCCCGUGGGGCCCGCUUAUCUCGUGGGGUCCACUCACCCUGUGGGGCCCGCUCACGAGACUUGCAUAUUUGUUUGGCCAGUUUUUUGAGACAAAUUUCAAGUUACAGAUUUUGUGGCAACAAUGACGAUAACAAAGACGGUUGUCGAGAAAUUCGACAAGAAUGUCAACUUCGGCAUGUGGCAGCUCAAGAUGGAGGCCAUUCUUGUUCAAGACGGAGUUGAUUUGGCAAUUCAAGGAAUUGAGAAAAAGCCAGAAGAUGUGACAGAUGCAAAUUUUGCUGAGAUGGAUAAGAAGACAAGAUCCAGUAUUAUCCUAAAUCUCUCCGAUGAGGUAUUGCGUGAGGUAGCAACGGAGACUUCGGCCAAGGUUAUGUGGGAUAAAUUGAAAGCCUUGUAUAUGAAGAAGACAGUCGAGAAUCGGCUAUAUCUGAAACAGAGUUUGUAUAUGCUUCGGAUGUCUGAAGGUACAUCUAUACUUUCCCAUCUUGAUAAAUUUGAUUCCAUUAUUAUGGAUUUGGAGAAUAUAGAUUCGAAAAUUGAUGAUGAAGAUCAGGACCUAUUACUUUUGUGUUCCCUUCCCCAAUCUUUUAAGCAUUUCCGUGAUACUAUGAUAUAUGGAAAGGAAACAAUUUCGUAUUGGGAAAUUAAAUCUGCAUUAAAAUCUAAAGAGCAGAUAGAUAGGGAUAUUACUGGGGAAACUAGUGGGAGUCAAGCCGAUGGCUUGUUUGUUCGGGGUAGAUCUGAAAGGAGAAACACAGAAAAUAGAAGUAGAUUUAAGUCCAGACAUAAAAAUGUGGUGUGCAACUAUUGUAAAAAGAAGGGCCAUAUUAUCUCUGAUUGCUUUAAAUUGAAAAAUAAAGAAAAGCAAAAGGAGAAAAGGAGUGAAACCACCGAGGCUAGUAUUGCUGUUGAUGAGAAUGAUGGAACUAUUUUCUGUGCAACAGAAAAUAAAUUUAGGUCUAACAAUGAGUGGAUUUUAGAUUCGGGUUGUUCAUAUCAUAUGUGUCCCAAUAGGGACUGGUUUUCAACAUAUGAACCAACUGAAGGUGGAGUUGUCUUAAUGGGCAACAACGCUGUUUGUAAAGUUGUUGGCAAAGGUACAAUCCAGAUUAAAAUGUACGAUGGUAUUGUGAGGACGCUCACAAAUGUUAGACAUGUUCCAGAUUUGAAGAAAAAUCUCAUCUCUUUGGGCACUCUUGAGUCUAUCGGGUGCAGGUAUUCAGGUGGAGAUGGAGUUCUCAAAAUCACUCGAGGAGCUCUUGUUGUUAUGAAGGCACACAGAUCUGGUACUUUGUAUAUUUUGCAGGGAUCUACUGUGACAGGUGCUGCUGCUGUUUCAACAUCAUUUUUGUCAGAUACAGACAUCACCAAACUAUGGCAUAUGCGUUUGGGGCACAUGAGCGAAAAAGGCUUGGGCAUAUUAAGUAAAAGAGGACUUCUUUGUGGACAAAGUACAGGUCCAUUGGAAUUCUGUGAACAUUGUAUUUUUGGGAAGCAGAAAAGAGUCAGCUUCAGUUCACCAGCAAUUCACAAGACAAAAGGUACUCUUGAUUACAUUCAUUCAGAUCUAUGGGGUCCUUCUCGUGCUCCUUCUAAAGGUGGUGCCAGGUACAUGUUGACUUUCAUUGAUGACUAUUCAAGGAAAGUUUGGGUCUAUUUUCUUAAGCAUAAAAAUGAUGUUUUCCUAACUUUCAAGCAAUGGAAAGUUUUGAUUGAGAAACAAGCAGGAAAACAUGUUAAGCGGUUGAGAACAGAUAAUGGCAUGGAAUUUUGUGGAGGUGAAUUUAAUGAAUUUUAUAAAAAUGAAGGAAUUGUUCGGCAUCACACCGUCAGGAUGACGCCUCAACAAAAUGGUGUGGCUGAAUGUAUGAACAGAACGCUUUUGGAGAGAGCAAGAUGUAUGAUCUCAAAUGCAGGGUUGACAAACGACUUUUGGGCAGAGGCGAUCAAUAUGGCCUGUUAUAUUGUCAACCGUUCUCCUUCUGCAUCUCUUGAUUUCAAAACUCCUGAGGAAGUUUGGUCAGGUACUCCUGCUGAUUACUCAAAUUUAAAAGUUUUUGGGUGUCCAGCAUACAUGCACGUGAAUGAUGGAAAAUUGGAGCCUAGGGCUAAAAAGUGCAUUUUUCUUGGGUAUGCUUCUGGGGUGAAAGGAUACAGAUUAUGGUGUCCUGAUCCCAAAUCCCCAAAAUUUGUAAUCAGUAGAGAUGUUACUUUUGAUUAAUUGUCUAUGUUAUCUUCCAAGAAGGAGUCUUCUAGUCCUUGUACUACUGAUAGUACACAGAAGCAGGUGGAGCUUGAUAUUGGCAGUUCUGGUCCUUCUCAAUCCAAAUCUUCUAUUCAGCAAGUGCCAGUAGAUGCACUUGAAUCUACUAUUGAAGAUAGUUCAAAAGAAGAGGAGUAUUCCAUAGCCAGAGAUAGACAAAGGAGAGAUAUUCGACCACCACAAAGAUAUGCAAAUUUAGUUGCAUAUGCUUUAUCUGUUGCAGAAGAAACUGAUGCAGCUGGUGAGCCUUCUACCUAUUCAGAAGCAGUUUCUUGUGAUGAUUCUACAAAGUGGUUGAUUGCGAUGAAUGAAGAAAUUGAAUCUCUUCAUCAGAAUGAAACUUGGGUUCUUAUAAAGCCACCGUCAGCUAAGAAAAUUGUUGGUUGCAAGUGGGUCUUCAAGAAAAAGGAAGGUAUUCCAGGGGUUGAAGAUGCAAGGUAUAAAGCACGAUUAGUUGCAAAGGGCUAUAGUCAGGUACAAGGUGUUGAUUUUAAUGAUAUAUUCUCACCUGUUGUUAAACAUAGCUCUAUUCGUGUUUUGCUUGCUUUAGUUGCCAUGUAUGAUUUGGAGUUAGAGCAGCUUGAUGUUAAGACAGUGUUCUUGCAUGGCGAACUUGAAGAACAAAUUUAUAUGAGACAACCCCAGGGUUUUGAAAUUGAAAGUAAGGAAGACCAUGUUUGCUUGUUGAGGAAAUCCUUAUAUGGAUUGAAGCAGUCUCCAAGACAAUGGUAUAAAAGGUUUGAUUCCUUUAUGUUGGGUCAUGAUUAUUUGAGGAGCAUGUAUGAUAGUUGUGUUUACUUCCGGAAGUUAAAUGAUGGUUCUUUCAUUUACUUAUUGUUAUAUGUUGAUGACAUGCUCAUUGCUGCCAAGAAUUUGUCAGAAAUUCACACUUUGAAACUGCAGUUAAAUAGUGAAUUUGAAAUGAAAGAUUUAGGAGCAGCUAAGAAAAUUCUUGGCAUGAAUAUCAAUCGAGAUCGAGUAGUAGGGAAGUUAUUUUUGACCCAGAAAAAUUACCUUGAGAAAGUCUUGGAGCGUUUUGGCAUGAAAGAUGCUAAACCAGUAUCUACUCCUCUUGCCAGCCAUUUUCGGCUAUCUGCUGCUCAAUCACCAAAAUCAGAUGAAGAGGAAGAUUAUAUGGCACGGGUUCCUUAUUCCAGUACAGUCGGCAGUAUUAUAUAUGCAAUGGUUUGUACUCGUCCAGAUAUUGCACAAGCAGUCAGUGUUGUUAGCAGAUAUAUGUCUUGCCCUGGUAAAACACAUUGGCAGGCUGUGAAGUGGAUUCUCAGAUACUUGCGAGGUACUUCAAAUGCAUGUUUGGAGUUUGGAAGAAAUAAUAAUACUUUGGUUGGUUUUGUAGACUCAGACUACGCUGGAGAUCUUGACAGGAGAAGAUCACUUUCAGGCUAUGUAUUUUGCAUUGGCGGUUGUGCUGUUAGUUGGAAAGCUACUCUACAACCUGUCGUAACUUUGUCUACUACAGAAGCAGAAUAUAUGGCUGUGACCGAGGCAAUCAAAGAAGCCUUGUGGUUGAAGAGUUUAUUUAGCGAGUUAAGUCUAUAUCAAGGUGUUACUGAUAUUCACUGUGAUAGUCAAAGUGCCAUACACUUGACUAAAGAUCAGAUGUAUCAUGAGAGGAUGAAACACAUUGAUGUGAAAUAUCAUUUCAUUCGGGAUAUCAUUGCUGAAGGAAAGGUCCUUAUUCAGAAAAUCAAUACUAAGGACAAUCCAACCGAUAUGUUUACAAAACCUCUUCCACUUUACAAGUUCAAGCAGUGCUUGGAUUUGGUUGGUGUUCAUUGUUCGUGAUUUCGGCCCAUUGGGGCUUAUGUAGCGAAGGUGGAGAAGAUUUGUCGAUGUUGGGACCAUGCCAAGGUGGAGAUUUGUUGAAUGUGGCGUUUGUCCCACAUCGGACAAAGCCAGAGGAAGACGGCUCAUCAGGGCCUAUAAAUAUAUGGCCUUGGUGGUGAAGACAUUUGCACCACUCAAGAGAGUUAUAUGGGCUAUUAGCUUCUUGAGUCAUCUAGCCCAUUCAGUUAAAUAUUUUAGGCUCUCUUGUUUUGAGUUUAGGAAUUUUUCCUAAACCUUUUGUAAGUGCCUAUUGGCCUAGGAACCACUUUCCUACGGCUUUUGUAUUUCUUCUUCAUAGUAGAAAUAUUGCUCCUCCCUCGCCCGUGGACGUAGGUCAAUUUGACCGAACCACGUAAAUCUUUUGUGUCUUUUAUUUGCUUUGUUAUCCGUCUUUAUAUGGUCGGUUUUACCGCCUAAUUAUUAUAUGGCUGGUAUCUACCGCCUAUCUAUUAUAUGGUCGGUUAUACCGCCUACUUUGUGCUAACUUGAGUUUGUCUAUUUCCUGGCCCGGUCCUAACAUAUCCAAACGUUGUAGUGUUUGGAAACAGUAAUUUGGUUUGAUCUAGAAACAGCAGACUCUCAAAUCAAAUAAAAUAGUGAAUCAUGGCGGCUAUAGCAGCAAUUAGAUUCCUAGAAGAGGGGCAUUUAUAUCUCCUGUACGGGUGCCCACAUAAUAGUUUUUGUCUUUGUCAACAUAAUAAGGUAGAAAGAAACUUGGACUACACUACUUACUAUAGGUAUUGUACAUGGUAAUGAUUUAAUCGCAAGUAUGGUCUAAAAUUAUUUUUGUUGCAAGCAUUGGAAUAUCCUUAUUUUCAGAUUUGUAUUAAUGGAUUUGUAGAUUGCCACCAAAGUUUGGAGAAUUGAGAGUUUCUUUUUCAUCCAUAUUUGGAUCAAUGUUCUUAUUAAUUAGUAAACUCUAAUUACCAAAACUAUUGCUUUUAGCACAACAAAAAAGUAUGAAUUUCAUAGCAUUGGAACCACGUUGCGUUCCGAACAUUCGUAGGAGUAGAGCUUCUUUAGCUUGUUAGGCAGUAGUUGGUUGCUGUCUCUCUUUGUACUCUUUUCAGUUCAUAAAUAAAGAUUAAAGUUAAAAAAAAAAAAAAAACCACGUUGACUUUGUUUUUAAUUAUCAUGCUCUGAGCAUUUCUUCAUUUGUUACUGAAAUAUACGUUUAGAUUGUAUUUUCCGUUAUUUUUCAUGGAAAAAUUACUGUAGUGAUUUGGUGUAUGUGAGGAAAAAAGGUAAUAAAAAAAUGUGAUCACGAAAAAUGACGUAAUUUUCUGACAGAAAAUAGCAAUUCAACGUGAUCAGUUUCGAUUUAGUAACUAAAACUAAGUGAAGUAAACGGACCCUUGUUUCAAAGUCAACAAAUGACACAGGGAUAAUUUUUCCAUCCAUGCUCGUAAGAGCAUUCUUUACUUAUUAAACCGAAUCCUAUGACUCCCAACCAAUAUUUUUUGACUCAAAAAAAUAUUCAAAUCAAGCGUCAUUGGUCAAUUGUUGGGCCAACCGUAGUUGGUCCUAAUUAACAUGUGUUAGCAUAUAUGUAGCAAAAAUAUUAAAGUAUAUGAUUUAACUCUGUUGUUUAAAUUAAUUAUAUGACUUUUCAUCCCACUCAAAUAGCUGAUAUUAUUUGAAACUUAACCAAAUUUUUCAUGGAUUAAAAUGGGGACACAUUAAUUGAAAAUUGGGUUUUUCUAACGAUUGUCCUAUGGGUACUCCUUAACACAUCUACAUUCUACUUAACCUACCAUAUAUUUACACACACUAACAAUUACUAUUUUUUCUUACAUAUAUACAUUUUUCCUAAUUAAUCCCCUCUUAUUUAUACGCUUUUCCUAAUUAAUUUUAUAUAUUUAAAGAUUUAACAUCUGAAAUACAUCUUAACGAGUGCCUUAUGGGCAAAUUUAUGAGCAAGGUGCAGAUUUAUGAGAGAGAUUAGGUAUAAAGAUAUUAAAUGUUAAGUACCUUGUCUAGUUAAUGGGAGAAAGUUACCUUAUCCAUUAUUGCAAUUUGGGUUGUCACUCAAUGAGAAAAUUAAUCAAAUUUGAAAUGUAGCAUUCAUUAUGGAGGCCACAUUAAACCAACCCGGUUCUCUUUUUAUUGGACCACUUCAACGGGUCAAUGCUCAAACCGUCCAAUUUCAAUAGGUUACCAGUAACCAAGUUUUUAACCCUUAGGUUGAGGGGCUACGGAACCUAUACAGCCAGCCCAUUUGGUGGGUUUUCCUUAUUCAACCGGGCAAUCCAGGCUGCAGGUUGGCUCCCAACUCAUUUUCUAAUUAAUUUGUCUUUAAUGGGACUGGAUGCGUCUCCAUUACGCCCAAACAAAUUGAAGUUGUAUUUUGUUUGAAAAAAUAAUCGUCUGUAAUAUACUUCAUUACUUGUUUUGGUUAUUCACAUUCACAUAGUUUGCAAAAACUGACCAGAUUUUCAUGCUUUAUCAAUUAUUACCAAUUUUACUAUGAUAUUGACCUGCUUUCCACCAUGCAAACUUUCCUACAAAUUAAAUUAUAAAGCACUUCUAACGAAUUUUAUUUUUGAGUACGUUUUAUCUACUCACUGAAGCACAAAGAAUGGCACAUCAGAUGAUAUAAAAAGAUGAUUAAAUGAAUAUGAAUUAUUAAUUAGCAAUUUGAAAGAAAAGUAAUGAAAGGAGCCCAAAGUACUGGGCUCUUUUUUUUUUCCCCUCGUAUCCCCCCACUCUAGCAAUUAAACAACUAAUAAAACAAAUCCAUGAUACUUCUUAAUUUCCGUUUGGAAUUGCAAUGACUUAUAAAAAAGCACUUCUAACACAAGUGCUUUUAAGAUACGAAAAGCUGGACUCCUUAGGCUAAUUACUCAGAAUAUUGUUAAAAAAAGGAAAACUCAGACGUUUAUGGGUUUGACAAUGAUUCACUGCAAAUCUAUGGCUGCCGGGCUGUGUCUGCCCGGCAGCAAAAAAGGCAAAUCUUUUUUUUUUAAGCUCUGACACCGCUACCGGGCUGACAAGCGAAUAUUUUUUUUUUAUAUAAAGUUGCUGGCUACCGGGCCUGGUCAGCCGGCAGCCGACAGAAUAAACAUUUGCAGCUUUGAAAGGGUUGCAUGUUCUCUCGCUUUACAAGGGAAAGCCCUUUCUUCACGUAGACAAGAAUAAAACAUUAUUAAAACAUUUGCCUACGUGAAAAAAAUUUGCAUGUUCUCUCGCUUCAUUUGUAGCUUUCAAUCAAAGGGAAUAAAAACAUGCAGCCACGUGAGAAAGGGUUUUCCAUUGUAAAUAAAUUUUUCCCUCCCUUUGAUUACCAUUACUAAAACAUUUAUUCAAUUUGCAUCUAAAUUUAUCAAAUAGGGAAUAAAAUCAAAAAAGGCUUUUUUUCACCUUAAUCAUUCACCUUCAUAAAGCUGCGCUUAAAUAAGGGUAAUCUUCUACACGUAAAUCAUAACAUAAUAAUCAAAUAAACUUUUUUUUUUGUUGUCAUCCUACAUAAGAUCAUUUUUUUCUUAAUUUUUUAUUAUAGAAAAUUAUGUCCAUUUUGGUGGACCUUUUCUUGUUUGAUUUAUAAGUCAUUAAUGAUAUAUUUAGUUGUUUCCUUAAUAAUAACUAAUUUUCAAUAUACAUGUAUAUAUUGUAUUUUUGGUAGGAUUUUUUUUGUCUUUGUUAGUUUUGGUACAAUAUGCAUGAAUGGUACUUGUUUCCUUUUUUAGUUAAAAUUAUUUGUUAAAAUUAUUAUGAAAUUUUUGAUGUACAAUAUAAUUUUAUAAAUAUAAAUUUAUUGUGCAAUAUAAAAACAAAAUAGGCAAAAAAAUGAAAAUAAUAAAUAAUGAAAAACAAAUAAUUUAAUUAACAAAUAAUUUUUCAAUAAUUUGAGAACUGCAUCUUAUUGUAAAAUGAAUGAGAUUUUUUGUUUAAAUUUUAGUUUAACUCCUAUAGAAGUAAUUAUUGAUUUAACAAAUCUGUUUUUCAUCUUUUUCUGCUGUUCCAAUUUUGAAACGUAAUUUAAUUAACUUAAAAGACUGUCGGAUUUAGUACGUCAAGUGGCAUAAGUUUUUAAUAAAAAAAAGGGUGAAAUUGUUGUAUUGGAAAAUGGGUGAAAUUUUCAACAUUAUUUAGUGAAUUUUGUACAUGUCAAAAGAAAUAUUGUGGUAGAUUUUAUUUUUUUAAUUGAGUUUCAUAUUUGAAAUGAUUGAGGCGUAUAUAUAAAAGAAAGGGUUGGGAUAUCAAAUAUGAUUAAAAUAAAGGAAUAUGUGCAAUUUUGGUCCCCCAACGUUUGGUCUAUGAGUUAAACUAAUCUGUGAUAUUUUGACCAAAAUAAUUAUGAUAGCAAAUUUUUUAUUUUAGCCAAAUUUAGGACAACUAAUACAAAACUAUAUUUGAAUUUUUUUUUAAAAUAAAUUGAACUGGCUGCCGGGUAGCUUGGUUUAAAAGACAUCUAUUUAUUAUGUCUCAUUAUUUCCAAACUUAGGUUGUUUUUAUUCAAUUAAAUUUGGAAAUGCAAAUAUGAAAAAAAGGAAACAAGUACUAUUCAUGCAUAUUGUACCAAAACUAACAAAGACAAAAAAGAUCCUACCAAAAAUACAAUAUAUACAUGUAUAUUGAAAAUUAGUUAUUAUUAAGGAAACAACUAAAUAUAUCAUUAAUGACUUAUAAAUCAAACAAGAAAAGGUCCACCAAAAUGGACAUAAUUUUCUAUAAUAAAAAAUUAAGAAAAAAAUGAUCUUAUGUAGGAUGACAACAAAAAAAAAAGUUUAUUUGAUUAUUAUGUUAUGAUUUACGUGUAGAAGAUUACCCUUAUUUAAGCGCAGCUUUAUGAAGGAGAAUGAUUAAGGUGAAAAAAAAGCCUUUUUUGAUUUUAUUCCCUAUUUGAUAAAUUUAGAUGCAAAUUGAAUAAAUGUUUUAGUAAUGGUAAUCAAAGGGAGGGGAAAAUUUAUUUACAAUGGAAAACCCUUUCUCACUUGGCUGCAUGUUUUUAUUCCCUUUGAUUGAAAGCUACAAAUGAAGCGAGAGAACAUGCAAAUUUUUUUCACGUAGGCAAAUGUUUUAAUAAUGUUUUAUUCUUGUCUACGCGAAGAAAGGGCUUUCCCUUAUAAAGCAAGAGAACAUGCAACCCUUUCAAAGCUGCAAAUGUUUAUUCUGUCGGCUGCCGGGCAGACCAGGGCCGGUAGCCAGCAACUUUAUUAAAAAAAAAAAAAAAUUCCGUUGCUGGGUUGACACAACCCGGUAGCGGUGUCAGAGCAAAAAGAUUCGCCUUUUUUCAUAGAUUUGCAGUGAAUCCUUGUCAGACUCAUCCUUGUCAGACUCAUAAACGUCUGACUUUUUCUUUUUUCAACGAUAUUCUGAGUAAUUAGCCGACUCCUUAAGCAUCAUGUAGUAAGAGGAUUAGUUAUGAAUCCUACUGAUCAUCCCCAUGGAGGUGAGUAAAGAAGAGCUUCAAUUGAUAGGAAAAAAAACCCAUAAUCCCUUUAGGUUAUCCUGCACUUGGAAGAAGAAGUAGAAAAAGGAAUAAAUUUAGUGAUAAUUUGUUUUUUUGUCAAUGCUAUAAUAAAUAGGAGAAAAAUUAGAGUUUUUUCUUCACCUUAAAAAAAAUGAAUAAGCUAUGACACGUUUACUAAAAAAAUCCUUUUGUGGGCGAACGACGGGCUACAGUAAAUAGGAGAAAAAUUAGAGUUUUAUCUUCACCUUAAAAAAAAUGAGUGAGCUAUGAUACGUUUACUAAAACAAUCCUUUUGUGGGAAAACGACGGAACUGAACCUGCGCACAGUGGAUUGUACCCACUGAAUUCACAAUCCACUGCCUUGAUCCGCUUGGCUACAACCGUCCCUCUACUCUAUUUUUAUUUUUAUUUUAUUUUAUAUUCGAAGUUUGGAAAUUAGUCACCGAACACCUCUUAGAAGUACUUUCAGUGCUUAAGAACACUUUUUCAUGCGCCUUAUACACACGUUCACUGAUGUGCUAGCUCCAGCAAAGCCUUACUUGACAUGUAUAAUUAUAGAUAUACACCGCUUGAUAAAACUGCUAUAUAUAAUUGGACUAUCAAAGCUUAGCCCUACAACCCCUCCCUCCUCCUGAAGCCAUUCUUCAAUAUCACGAAGAAAAAAUGUCAAAAUUAUCUUUCUUGUUAUGUCUCAUUCUUGCAACAAUUUUUGUGGUCGUUGUGAACGGCUCCGAAAGUGAGGUUGGGAUCUAUGAGCUCAAGAAAGGAGAUUUUUCAUUGAAGGUGACAAACUUUGGUGCUCGGAUAAUAUCCCUCGUUCUCCCUGACAAGAACGGUACUUUUCAUUUCCUCCUUUUACAUAUACUACAAUGUUUUCAUGGUAAACUCCUAGCUGAUUCUGCACAUCUUUUUCCAACUUGUUCAGGAAAGCCCACAGAUGUUGUUCUUGGCUAUGAUUCUGUUAAAGAAUAUUUGGUGAGCAAUUUAAAAAUUUUGUACCUUCAAUUAGAUUUUUAUGGAAGUUUUCUCUUCUGAGAGGUUUGGAUGUGGAGAGGAUUAUCUUCUGCUGCACUUGACUUUCCAUCUUUAUCUCGUCAUCUUCAUUUCCCUGCAUUAUGCAGAAUUCAGGAAUGAAUAAUUUCUGUAGGGACCUUUGCUUUUUAUUUUGUUAUUAUUAUUUUUUUGGGUUUUCUCUGUCUUUAGGUCAUCCUUCAGUCUUGAGAAGUCAAAAAUGGAUGGUUUUUUGUUUUUUUUUUUUUGGUAGGGUAUAGAGGUUUAAAGAACUUGGUCACCUCGUGGGGCACAUUUGGCUUUUGAUUUUGUUUUAUUUUAUUUUUUGGUUGCCAAGAUAAAAUUGGUCACCUCGUUGGGCACAUUUGACCUUUUCUUUUGGGGUUGAACAUAUAAAGUUUCCGGACCUACUUAUACUCCCUUUCCCUUAUCAUCGAACCCAACCCUCCUUCUUAGAUUCGAAACCUUUCACUUGUAUUGAAAAACAAAAAAUCAGUAUUCAUAAUGAACAACAAUGGCUCCGAAUAUUUAGCACGAAUUCCCGACUGGAUUUUAUUUUUUAAUCUUUUCUGCUUUCUUAGCUGGAUCUUGCCCUUAAAAGAACACAUGACGAUUGUCAAUUGCAGUCUAUCUCAAGAUUCACUGGGUCUAGCUAGCAGAGACAGACCCCCGAGGGGGAUGGGGGGAGCCGCCCCCACAACUUCUAAAAAUUUGGACCUAUUUAUUUUUAAGUGAUAUUAUUUUGUCCCCAAUUUUAAGAUAAGUUAUUUUUUAUUUCCUUCUUCUUUAUUAAUGUUAGUAAACAAUCAUUAGUAGCUAAUAUAGGCUGUAUAGCUUUUGAACAGCAACUAAUUAAAGAAACAUAAUUUAUUUUUAUGUAAGUCUACAAUAAACUAACUCCUAAUGUAAGAUUGACUUGAAUUAAAAAAAAUUAGAAAACUAAUCCCAAAAUGUAAGGUUGAAUUAGAUUUAAGAGGGAAAAAAAGCAGGAGUAUUGGUUAAAAACAAAAACAAAAUGUACAGCUUUUUAAUGUGUUAUAAGUGCUUAUCAUUGCCAACUCUAUUGAGGCUUUUAAUAAUGAUGUUCUUGCUUAUAUAUUGAUCAGAUGAUAUUGUGAAAGAAAUAAUUCGAAAAAAAAUGAUAUGGGUCUGUCAUCUUGAUAGAGAUGGUUCUUCUUCGUCCGAUAUUUAUUUUAGUAUCUGGAACACGGAUUUUUAUAAGAAUAGAUUAAGAAAUAUUUGAACUAUGAUUCAAUAAUUGAUGUAUUUCAUCAAACGAAGGAAAUAAAACAUAGGCUCGCAUCCCUUGUAUUAUGAGGAAAUGAAAUGAUUAAAAAGUCUAAUUUUGAUACCUUGUCUUUUACAACUAAAAACAUCUUAUUGCUAGUUAGUGUAAAACUUUCAUUUUAAGUUUUUUUUUUAUACUUUAUAUGCUAAAAUAUUGUUUUAUUAUAUGUUUGACUAGCGGUCCCCCAACUUAAAACCCUGGGUCCAUCAUUGCUUGCUAGAUUAUGUUUUUAAAUUUGAAAAUCCUCAUUAUAAUUGUUUUGUUCCCUUUAGCUUUUGUUCUCAGCAUCUCCGCGUUGGGAAUACUUGGGAUACUUGCCUUUCUUUCUUGGGUGUGGGGAAGGGUUGAAUUUUCUUAUAGAGGCAACUCGUGAAUUGCUGCAUAGAGAUGCUUCAUCCAAUGGCCAUUAAUUUUUAGUUAAAUGUUUUGUCUAUUAUGUUGACUUGGAGGUCCUUCUUUUAAUGUUGAAAAGUACUCCCACAUCAUGAAUAGGAAAAAAAUUAAUUAUAGGGUAAAUUACUAGUAAUCUCCUUAUGAUUUUGCAUAUUAUCACGUAACUUCUCAAAUUUACUCGUGUAGUUUUAUGCAAAAUGGUAAACAGCCUCUUUAACAUCUUUAGUUAAAUGCUAGUAUAACCUUUAAUUAAAUACUAAAUAGAAUGAGGAUUUAACCACCAUGUAUGACUAUGUUAAUAUAUGUAAAAUUGCAAGAGGUCAAGUGAAUAUUUAUGCAAAUUUAUAGGAGAGCUAAGUGGACAUUAUAAUUCCAUCACAUGCAUUUUUUGAGCGCGUCUAGGUCAGUGUUAAUCAGAUAUACCUUCGAUUCAUUUUUUACUUUAUAUAAAAUUUUGGACAAUUACGUGAAUAUUUUAAAAUGUUAGCGAGUCAUAUGGCAAGUGAUUUAGUAUUUAUCAUAGUAGCUGCUACUUAUUUGGUUUAAGCCCAUGGCAUUAAGCUAUAUGUCUCAAAGCACCCGUUCGAUGUCGCUUUAGGUAGAACGAUGAUACAGACGUAUAAACUUCUGUCUGGACAUGCAAUCUUACAUCCCAUGUUUCUAUCAUUUUCGCUAACAAAUUGUUCAGUAGGCCAAUUUUCUUCCUUUAGGCCAGUUUCCUAAAAAUCCAUAAAAAUUCCCUGCAGAAUGAUACACAAUACUUUGGAGCUAUUGUUGGCCGGGUUGUUAAUCGGAUUGGUGGUGCUCAGUUCACUCUAAACGGAGUUCAUUAUAAGCUUGAUGCUAAUGAGAAACCAAACAUGCUUCAUGGUAAUUUACUCCCAGCUAUAACACAUGUAAAUUUGAGUCAUCAACUUUAACCACUGACUCUGUCUGUGGAUGCUAUGUAUCGUGAGGGAAACAGGUGGUAGAAAAGGAUUUAGCCUGCUCACUUGGAACGUGGAGAAAUAUGUGAAAGAUAGGGCCAAUCCUUUCAUUGUAUUGUCCUAUUACAGUCCUGAUGGAGAAGAAGGAUUCCCUGGAAAUCUCCUGGUUAGAGUGACCUAUGCUCUACUUGAACCAUACAAACUGAGCGUAAUAAUGGAAGCGGAAGCCCUGAACAAGGCUACUCCUGUGAAUCUAGCACAACACAGUUACUGGAAUCUUGGAGGCCAUAACAGUGGUGAUGUCCUCUCGGAUAAAGUCCAAAUAUUCGGCUUACACUACACGCCUGCGAACAACCAGCUCAUCCCGACUGGAGAAAUCUUACCUGUUAAAGGAACCCCGUACGAUUUCUUGAAGCCCCACAAAAUUCAAAGCCAGAUGAAAGGCCUUCCGAGUGGCGGAGCUCCAUCUGGUUAUAAUGUGAAUUAUGCCCUUGAUGAAGGCAAGGACCACAAGCUGAAGCUCGCAGCAAUUGCGUACAGUAAGAAGACUGGUAUUGGGAUGAUGAUAUCAACAAGUGCUCCAGGUCUGCAGUUUUACACGGCUAAUUACUUGAACGUGACAGGAAAAGGUGGAUAUGUUUAUCAGUCACAUGCAGCAUACUGUUUUGAGACUCAAGGAUUCCCUGAUGCAGUGAACCAUCCAAAUUUUCCCUCAACAAUCGUUAAUCCAGGAGACCUUUAUGUACACAACAUGUUGGUUGAAUUCAAAAUCAAACAAAAAUAAGAGCUCGACUAAUGUACACUGUACCCGAAGAGCAAUUGAAGCUGCCCUGAUU
rnacentral:lncRNA from 1 species